rnacentral:lncRNA from 1 species
GUCUUCAAGUUUCAAAAAUUCCUGCCUUCGUGCUAUAUGGGAAACACGGUAAAUGCCAUACACACAAUGAAUGUCAAUCACUGUACAUAAUACACAACAUAAUGUUACACAACAUAAUGUUUGCCAGUUGCCACAUUCACAAUCACAGAGACUGGUGUAAGGUUUUGUUUUGAAACGUUGCUUUCUUACUUUUUCUUUCCCUUCUUUUACAGGGCUCGACAUCCAAGAUAUGAAGCCAUAGAGAUUGAUAGAUAGUACGGCGCUGAGGGGACGUAAAAGAGGGUAAGUGAGCAGGUGAAAUAGAAAUUCAAUGGAGGAGGUGAAAUGAGAGGUGGUUGAUUUGGUGGUGGUUGUGUUGGCUUCCAGCGCACAGGCCACUGCACUGAACAAAGGGUUUCUUUCUUUUCUUUUUUCUCUUUCAUUUUUUUUUCUUUUUUGGCCAAUGUUUUAUUCUUACAGUAUCAAAAUUUCUCAAAUAACAACUACUGUUUCAUCAAUCCGGUAAAAGUCAGAUAAGUAAAGCCCACACUCUACUACGAAAUCAGAAAGUGUGGCUCUUAACAACAGGAAGCUGAAAAGCUUUAUUGGAACUCAUCAAAUCAAAAACUAUACCUACUGCACUAACAGAGACCUAUGUGCCCUUAACCACACUGUUUGGCUGAUGGGACCUACCUUAUUAUUCAUUCUCUGCCCUUCAAACUGGGGAAGGGGGAAGAUUUUGAUCAUCUUUCUUGAGCACUCAACAAAAUUAUGUUGCCCCAUGUCCAUGGUGUACUAGGAAAUUCAAUAAUGGUAUGUGGUCUUUUUGAGUGAGGUCCCACAUGGAUCUCUUCCAUCCAGCUGUCUGCAUGGAGGACCUCGUAAGUUUUGGGGGUCCACCCCACAAAUAGUCCCAAUCUAAUGAUCAUGAUCAUGCUAUUCCCGCAAUCAUAGCACAACUUACUAAUGUUUUUUUUUAACUAUUGAAUUGAUGGUAACUAAUACAUACAUUAAGGUUGUCAAUUGUAAUAUGAUGAUGAUGAUGGGAGAGGAGUUGACCUUUUAUUACCUAUCACCUGUAGUUUCUUUCGCUUUAACCUAUUAAUAAUGUUCAUACAAGCAUUCAAACACCAACACUUCCUAGUUAUCACCACCAAGGAUUUGUGGAACAAAUUUUCAUGUGAAAAUUGAAGUCUAGUAUCCAUUCUUUGUUGAAUCUUGGUACUGCCUAUUUAGAUUCUAGUAGCUCAAAGAACUUCCAAAUGCAGACGCUGAGUUAUGGGCAAUUAAGGAAAAGGAUUUGCCACUCCAAUGACAGCAACUGGCCAACUGCACCUGCACGGAUAAAUGAAUGCAAGGUCUUCCUAAAAACAAGAUUUGUUGGCCUCACGCGAAGGUUUGAUAUGUGGUUGAUUGCACAAUAAUUUGGGUUCUAAUGGCAAGUUCUUCCAGUGGAAUGUUAAUGGUAUUCUCUGUUCCAUGACUUUCCAUCUAACAGUGGCGUGCAUUGACCACUCAAAAUACUCAAGAAUACAUACAGAAUAAAGAUGUCUGUGUCUUGAGAUAUAAUAGCAUAUAUUUAGAGAUUUGUGAAUUGGAAUGAUAGUCUGUCUUCUAACGACUGGACGACUAACCCAUCUGCAGCUCAAUUCUUUUGACGAAUUACUGCUAUAACGGGGACCACAGUAGUUUCCUUCAAAUGGAUUUCAAAUACAAACUAGUGUACUCAAGAGUCAAAUUACCUUGGUGAUCCAUCACACACCUAAACAUUAAAGCACCAAAUACUGGGCAUCACAAGAUGCAUCCUGACCAUUCCGACCAAAAAGGUCGGCGGAUCAUGCAAUGCAAAUCAAAUGGGAUUGCAUCACCACUGCUCAAAGCUAUAACACAGUGGCACAAUGCAGGUUUGUCAUGACUAUAAAAACUUGCAGGAACAUACCCGCUUCACUUUGAAUAGCUUUGGUGUGAACAUGAGAUAGACCAUCAUGCUCUAGUUGACUGUUACUAUGACUUUUGAAUAGUUGAUUUAAUUUGUGGUAUUAGAAUAUAAAUUCUUGCCUGGCAGCUCUGGUGAUGGGUUUUGCAAAUGUAAUUGAGUAUAACAAACUCCAUAAGAACUUGUUAAAAAGUGAAGUCCCAAGACUUUUCAAAAAGUAUAGUCCCACCAAAUUAGCACCAUAUAUGCAAAGCCAACAAAAGGAAGCUCAAGUCAACAAAGUGAAGUUCAUUUCAAUCAUUGCUUUGUCUUCAUUUGUAACCAAAGUAAAAAGCAGCAAUCAACAAUUAUCUACUACAUUGACAAUGAAUAUGUCCAGGUUAUAUACGUAGGUUAUUGAUUCUGAUGGCCAGUUUCUCUAACAUGAAAACUUGCAAAAUUUUAGUACACAAGAAUAUCUAAUGGCAUCAAAAUCAUAGUGAAUAUUAAUAUAAGCAUCAGAAUUAACAGUUAUCAACCACUACCACGACUAAAAUGUUCUCGAAUAAAUCUUUCCGCAUGGGAUGGAUACUUAUCUCGAAUAUAUGCUCGAAGACACUUCUGAUAGGAAAAAUCUAUCCAUCCACCAUCUGUUCUAACAACAAAGAGGCAUCUUGAGUGUCCAAAUUGGGGAUGCCUAUCAACCUUCAGAACGAAGUAAAACAGUUAGUUUGUCCUAAGGACAAUCAAAUAUUGAUCUCAUUAGAUGAAAAACAUCCGCGGAGGUGUGAGAAAAUGACAAAUAAUGAACAAGCUAAAUAAGGUAGAGAAAACAUAAAUAAAUAGAAGUAGAAUUCCAAAUGACAAAUAAUGGAGGGGAGAUAAAGCAGUCAAAAGGCUUUGCCAGCAGAUCUACAUGCCAGUCGCUAGACAAACACCCACUGGAUCUAGCUAUCAAUGUCAAGAAAACCAACAAAAGCUAAUGAGACAAUCUGUGUAAUAACAUUUUUCCAUCAUUUCUGUGGAAAAACAUCCACUCCUCAUAGAAAAGGAAACAAAUAAAUAAAUUAUUAUUGCAAUUCAAAGAAUAUAGAAUCCGAAGUCAAAGACAGAGAACCAAACUGACUUUGAGAUCAAGACUGUCUGCUUGUGCACAUAAACUGUUCUGAACAUCUGUACACUAGGAUUGUCAAUUGGGCUGAGGUGGCCAGCUUCGACACAUUGAGCUUGGGCUAACCUUUAUUUGAAAUUGACAUAAACCAGAGUUUGACUAAUCUAAAGUAAAUGCAAAAUUUUGUGUCUAUGAAUUUUAUGUUUGAUAUUUACUGAUUUUACGUUAUUCUACAGACAAUGAAAGAACUUACUUGAAUUAAUAGGUACAUGUGUUUAACCUUGUUUUGGGUUGAAGUUCCUACUAGUGAUGAAUCUAUGAAAUCUGUUAGCAUGGUAUCAGUGUUUUAAAUGAGCAGUGUUAUUAAGGUCUCAACCACACUCAUUUACCAAAUAAGCUGAGAACAGUAAGUUUGAUAUAUGAUAUGUGGAGCUAAACUGAUAUAGGCUGUUGUCAGUUAAACCAGUUGACAGGCCUACUGCAUUAUAAAACCAUCUCUCAAGUCGUUAUUACAAGAACCACAAUCACUACCAUAAACCCAGAUGUAUUUGUCAGGCAUAAUGCAGUAUGUGAUUCAACUUCAAAUAGUCUCAAUUAGAACAGAAGAUGAGGAGAUUAAAGAUUUAUGUGAUUAACACCCCCUAGUCCACAACUACAAAAUGCUCAACUGGCCUAAUUGUUGCCGAAGAAAAACAAAUGGAUUUCGUGUGUAUGCUCGUGCAUGGAGGGAAAAGUUAGCUGAGAAUUCAACUUAUCAGUUCAAAGCAAGCAUUUCAACCUCACUUCAGUAUAUUAUACCAAUUUAGGAAUUAAAAGCAACACUCUAGAAUACUUUCAUCCACUUUAUAAGAUACAUCCUCUUGAGCAACGACUUCAUCACCAAUUUAUGAACAAACCACAGCAUCAGGUGUCCAUAAGGGUGAUUGCCUUGCAAGAGGCAAGAUGCUACCAAAUAAAUUGCACAACUAUUCUUAAGUAAGAUGGAGAAGUAAUAGAUAGAAAAAUGGAUGAUGAACAACAAAACUCCUCUUUUCGAUCUUACAUAAUAAAAGACAGAGCCACCAAAAUGAGCACUGAGGCUCAAGUUAUAGAUGCAACAAGGAUAAAGAAUUCAAGCUAGGGCUUUAACAGACAAGGUGUUUGACAUGAGAUGUAACUGAUGAAUGGCAUAAAGGACUCAUGAGAAUUACUCAAAAGAAAGAGAUUUAAAUCUUAGUAUCCAUGAUUAGUUCCAAAAUUUUCUAAAGAACGACUUAAUCAAUGCAGAAUGAUGUUGAAAAAGAAGUGAGUACAAAAGUUUCUUGACAGCAGCUUCAAUGAAAAGCAGAAACAAAACUAUAUUAAAUACCAUAAACUACAACUCACCAUAAUAGCAUCAAGGCCACAUCCAAUUUUAUCUUCAGAAUGUGGGUGAUAAGCAAGAAGCUUCUCCACCACAGCUCUCUCAUCAUCAGCUGUAAGACGUUCUCCGUCCAUAUACCUUGAAGCAGGAAACACAAUCAAAUAACUUAAGAAGAUGACAUUGUUUUAAAUUUCAGCAAUAUUGUUUCAUAAAGGGUUAUUAAUCUCUACUUUCUAGCCUCUAUAUCAAAAGAUCAUGAGAUCCAAUUUCAACCUUCAGUAAGUGUGUUUUCCAACGGCCUCCUUCUCAGCUUUAGAACAAUUCUUAAAAAGUUUGAUUACAACACACUUUUUGCAAGUUAGGAUGAGUUAUAAAUGAGAUAAUUAAAUAUGGAGAGCUUUUGACUCUGGCAAAUACCUUAUAUAUAUGUGACGGGGAACAUAGUUUCUAAGAUCCAAGUUGCUCCAAUUUUAUGUACUAGCAGGUUCAGACACAAGUUCAGAAGUUGAAGUAGACUUAAAAAACUAAUCCAAAGAAUUUUAUUUACUAUCGUUUCCUAAAUUCUAGCUCAGAGCAAGAGGCUUAUCAAAAGCAAAACUACAUCUUUACCGGGGCUACUAACUAGUUCAUAUGAUUCAUUUUCAGCUAAGUAGCUUGUACUUCAUGCGGAAGUGUAUUGGUCCUACAAGGAGUUCUAAGCUCCAAAAAAGAGCGCGUACUGUUUCUGUUCGGUACUAUCCAACGGAGUUCAUAUUGCAUUCAAUUAUGCACAUUUUACAAAACAAGUACGACCACCAAGAACAAUGAAAAAAUAUUAGUCCGUACGUUGUUUGAGGCCAAUCUUUUAUUUCCUUGUCAUACACCACAAAUGAAUGGUAGCUGAAACUUAUCUUGUCACUAGGGUUACACGCCUUAAUAGUAGAAAUGAUUCGAAGGGCAAAGUACAUAUCUACAUUAACAUUAUCUAUUACUAUCAGCCUGGAAGUGAAAGAAUUGAACAACAAAAACUAAAGUAGUUGCUUUGUUAUUACGGAAAGAGAAAUGGAAAUUAUGCGUAUGGAAUGAGGGGAAGCUAACCUGCGGGAGUGAAGAAUUUCUUUGGCGAGAAAAAGUAUAGGCUCGAUAUCUCGUAGAAUCUCAUCCUCCUUAUCCUUCCACUUCCUGUAAUCAGGAUCGGCCCACCUAUGGUACUUUGGCGGUUCUUUCACUGUCAACAAUGUUGUGGUGUUAUUGUCCGCAGAUGAUAACUUCUCCUCCGGCUGAGUCGGCUCGGAAGGUGCAGCUGAGCAGAAAGUUACGCGCGGCAGGCCAAGGAGCCUGGCGGCGGGACGGAAGCGCAGAAGCGGUAAUCCCCUAAAGAGCAUAGGUGCGGCCAUGACCACGAGUGAGUCCCGAGUGCCUUCUUCUGCCUCAACUUGAAAAAGUUUGACUCAAAGAUACGGGCUGGGUUGACUGAUGUGGAUAAUACUAUACUUUGAUUUGGGCUUUGUCCUCGGCCUACUGACCAAAACAAAACCAAUGCAAACCGAACCGAUCUCGUACCUAAACGUAUAUAUUUUUAGGAUCUCUCUAAGUUACAUGCAUGUACCUUACAACCCUCUCAUAUGAAUAGUAUCUAUACACUAUUCAUGUGAGAGGGAUGUAAGGUACAUGCAUGUAACUUAGCAUUACCCAUAUUUUUAUGGUGCGCACUGUAUUAAUUGUAUUGUAUCAUUGUUUAUAGUAGUAAAAUAUAUUAUUUUAAAUUAUAAUUCAAUACAAUAUUCAGUGUAAUACGAGCUAUACUAUAUAAAAUAAUAUAUUAAGUUUUAUAAUAUAAUAUUAUAUUAGAAUAUUAUUUAUUUCUAUAAUAUAAUAUAAUUUAUUUUAUUUAGUAUAAUCAUAUUAUAAUAUAGUAUGAGUUAAUAUUAUAUUAUAGAUAUAUAAUACUGUAAUAUAAUAUUAUAAAUCAAUAUAAUAUUAAAUUAUAAAUUUAUUUUUAUUUAUUAAAUAAUAAAAGAUUAAAUAAAAAUCAAAUAUUCUCUAUGCAUUUAAAAUAAAAAUUAUUAAAAUGAUUUUAUUUAGUAAAGCAAAAUAAUCUAUUAUCGUUUAUUUAUUAAAUAUUUAGGUUUAUCACUGUCUUAUUUUUAUGAAAUAAUUAUAAUUUAUGUGGAUCAAGACAACUUGUUAUCUCUCCACCAAAUAAUUCUUCGUCUCAUAAGAAAUGAGAACUUAUCUCCUUAUUUACAUACACUUGAGAUUAAAUAAAAGACAUACAUCUAGAUUUUUAUGAAUGGAUUUUUACUAACGGGGGGAUUUGUGGGUAAUUUACCAUCUAGAAGGCUGAAUUCGCAAUUCAUACAUUUGGAUUUCUAUAGCUUUGAAUUUCCCAACUCAAUUAAUGAAAAUGAUACUUUUAAAAGAUCAGCUGUUUUGAUUAGGUCCAUCGCAGAUGUAAGGAAGAGGAUAAUGGUUGGCUUGAAGGAUAAUGGUUGCUGUUCAGUCAGCUUCAUUUAUGAUCUGGCUGAUGCUAACUAUUUGCAUUGUCACGGCUUAUAGCGGGGUAUUUGCAGAUUGUACGUCUCACUAAAAGAUUGUCAUAAAAAUAUUAACGGGAAUAUUGAUCAAUCUUCUUACCUUCCUUUUAGAAUUGAAUCAAAAUUUUAAAUCCAACUCCAACAUCUAACUUUUUAAACAUUAAAGCUGUUGAAAAUGCAGAAUCUUAGUAGGCACUUUUAAAAUUCAAAGCAAGGAGAAUAUCUUUUAUUCAUUUCAAACCAUGAUUAAAAUCCUUUAAUUAUAGCAUGAAUUGAAUCGUAACCUUCUCUAAUACUCAUCAGAUAUGUUACCGGAUUCGAACUUAAUUUUGUUUAUGGCCAAAGGAAACAUAAUGGUUGAAAAAAAAUAAUCCAGAAAGAUCGCCCUCAUUUGCCUACCGUAUGCCCUCGUCUUGAUGUUCUGUUUUUACUACUGUUUGCUUAGCCAUGUUACCCAUGUGGAGAUGGUAAAUUCAUCCAUUUAAAUUGGAUAUUCAUAUAUAUGUGUGUGUAUAAUUAGACUAGAUAAUAUUCAUUCAAAACAUUUUAUAUAUAAAUAUGAAUAAUUUUAAAAUAUCCAACUCAAUAUUGGAUAGAUGUGGAUAUUAGAUAAUAUCCAUUAUCCCAUUCAUUUAUCCGAUUUUUAAAUUAAAAAAUGAAGAAAUACAAAAGUGUCUUAAGCAACAACAUUUAUUCUCAAAUACACCUACACAACAAACUUAUAGAAAAAUAUUUUGAUCUUAUAAAAUUUAGAAAAACAUUCAUUGGUGACAUUAUCCUGUCGCUAGUAACACUAUUCUAGCAGGAACGCUGUCAUAUGGUGACGAAUUUUAUGUAAUUGGACUGCCGCUUUGUGAUCUAUGUAGUUGUACUAAUUUUAUCAGCAAAAGCGAAAUCUUGGUGGCACAAAUGCUACCAAAAAGUAUGGUGGAUACAUCACACCGGCGUCAAACAACAGUGCCGCAGUGUGGACCGCCAUGUCAAUCAACCAUAUCGGAUGCCAGCAAUGUUUAUUAAGGUGACGAUGCACUUUAUUGCGCAGCAAAAUAUGGUGCAUUGCGUAGAUCACAAAAUUUCAAGUCCGAUGAUACGAGAUUCAUCAAUAGUUGCCCGCCUUCAUUAUCGUCGGCAUCAACGUAGUAGUCGGUCAGAAUAGGAACCCAACGAUUUUGUUUUAGUAUUAUAUUUUUAAACAAAAUAAUUUUGAUUAGUUUUUAAAACUAAUGAUUCCAGGAAAUAUAAACAAAAAUGAAUAAGAAUUUAUUAAUAUAACAUUAUUAAUUAGAUUUUACUAUACUUAUAUGUUACAUCCUUUUUUAAUUUAGAAAUAUAAAUUUAAUAUCCAUGAAUAUCAAUAGUUAUUCAUUUCUAUGUCGAUAAAAAUUCAUACCCAUAUUCAAUAUCUAAAACUAAAUAUAAAGAUGAACAAAUUCAUCAUAAAUAAUCAUAUAUUUGUAUGUAAAUAAUUAAUAUGUGUACAUGGAUGGGCAGUUUCAGUUUGGGAUCGGCAAUCAACUCGAUCAAAUUUUGAGUUAGUCGAGUUGAAAGAAAAAAAAGUAAUAUAAACUUAAUCAAAACUUAUAAUCUGAUUUAAUCUGAUUUUAAUAUAGUGCGGAUCAUAUUAGUUCGAAAAUUUGUGUUAUAAAUAGUUUGUGUGUGCAUGGUGCUGCUUCUUUGGAUUUUUGAGUCAGAUCAGAUUAGAUAAAAUCUAAUCCGAUCAAGUUAGAGUCUUUAUUCACAUUCAAUCUGGAUUUAAAAUUUUCGGAUCAUUGGUUGGAUUGAAUUGUCUGCCCACGCACGGUCACGGACGAUUAAUCAAAACCAUGAGAUGAAAAUCGAAACCAAUAUACUAUUACCGCGAGGCAGCGAAGCGAGUGCUCAAGAAAGGCGUGAGACGCUCGACUCUAUAAAUUUUUGUUAGGAGAAACUAGAAAGUUAAUUAUAUUGGAAAGAUAAAAUCGCUUAAAAAAAAAGAAAAAGAAAAAGAAAAGAGAAGAUAAAAUAAGAAAGGAAAUAAAAAACUCCAGAAAAGCCAAAUUGAAAUCCGAUUUCGUGUCCGUGUCUGCGCAAUUGGCAGCAAAGGGUCAGAGACCCAUAGAGCUAGAGGAGAGGAGGCUCCUGCCCUGAGUAGCUUAGCACAAAGUUUUUUUCUACGGUGGUGCCUAGGAUAACAGUCCUGAGGCCAAAUCUCAAUCGUUGAUUCUUCAACUUCGCCGUGGAUGGGCCAGUCAGCUUCGACGGCCGCAAUCUCAAGCCGCCGAGAAUUUAACCACAGCCAACGAUACAAGUCCAAAUCGACGGCUGUGAUCUCUCCAAUGCAUGCUGACGAAAGUAGCGCCGAACUUCCCGAUGGAACAGCCUAUGAUUACAUCUCGAACCUGCCCGACGAGUGCUUGGCUUGCAUUUUCCAGUCUCUUAGCUCCGGUGACCGCAAAAGGUGCUCUCUCGUUUGUCGUCGUUGGCUCAGGAUCGAGGGGCAGAGCCGUCACCGUCUUUCUCUCAACGCCCAGUCAGAACUCCUCCCUAUGAUUCCCUCUCUUUUCUCCCGAUUCGACGUCGUCACGAAACUUGCUCUCAAAUGUGACCGUAGAUCCGUGAGCGUUGGGGACGACGCGCUUAUUUUAAUUUCUCAAAAGUGCCGCAACCUCACGCGGCUGAAGCUCCGCGCUUGUCGUGAGCUGACGGACGCCGGAAUGUCAGUGUUUGCUAAAAACUGCAAGGGUUUGAAGAAGCUCUCCUGUGGAUCUUGCACUUUUGGAGCCAAAGGCAUGAACGCAGUGCUCGAUAACUGCUCGACUCUCGAAGAGUUAUCGGUUAAGCGGCUUCGCGGAAUCACAGAUGGAGCCGCGGCUGAGCCGAUUGGACCUGGCGUGGCUGCCUCUUCGCUUAAAACUGUUUGCCUAAAGGAACUUUACAAUGGACAGUGUUUUGGUCCGCUAAUAAUCGGGGCAAAGAAUCUAAGAACUUUAAAACUUUUUAGGUGCUCUGGCGAUUGGGACAAGCUUCUUCAGCUGGUUACGGAUCGGGUCACAAGUUUGGUCGAGAUCCAUCUGGAGAGAAUCCAAGUCACCGAUGUGGGACUCGCUGCCAUAUCCAAUUGUUUAGAUCUAGAAAUUAUGCAUCUGGUCAAAACUCCAGAGUGCACAAAUCUUGGACUCGCCGCUGUAGCCGAGCGAUGUAAACUAUUGAGAAAACUCCACAUUGAUGGAUGGAAAGCCAAUCGUAUUGGCGAUGAAGGACUAAUAGCUGUAGCAAAAUGUUGCCCUAAUUUGCAAGAGUUAGUUCUUAUUGGCGUGAAUCCUACCAGAGUGAGUCUGGAAGUUUUGGCUUCAAAUUGUCAAAAUCUAGAGCGAUUAGCCUUGUGUGGUAGUGACACUGUUGGAGAUGUGGAAAUAUCUUGCAUAGCUGCAAAAUGUGUUGCUUUAAAGAAGCUUUGUAUCAAGAGCUGUCCCGUUUCUGAUCAUGGAAUGGAAGCUCUGGCUGGUGGGUGUCCGAAUUUGGUGAAAGUGAAGGUGAAGAAGUGCCGAGCAGUGACCACUGAAGGCGCGGAUUGGUUGAGAGCAAGGAGGGAAUAUGUUGUUGUGAAUUUAGAUAGCGGUGAGGCUGAACAUCAGGAUGCUAGUGAUGGCGGAGUUCAAGAGAACGGUAUCGAGUUUCCUCCCCAAAUGGUGCAGCCUAGUGUUGCAUCGAGUAGGAAUACUCGAUCAACCUCAUUCAAGACAAGGCUAGGGCUAUUGAGUGGGCGGAGUUUGGUUGCUUGCACUUUGAGGAGGUGGUCAAGUGGUAAUAGCAGUUCAAGAAAUAGUUAAUUAUAAAAACUGAACUCUGUUCUUCAACUUUGUUUACAUUAUUUUCUGUUGGAUUGUCUGAUUUACAGCCUUUCUUGUAUUUAAUUAAAUUCUGUGCUGUGUGUUUAUUGUCUUCUGAGUUGAAACUUAAUUGGCAAGAAAGCAAUCAUUUUUAUUUUCUCUUAAACUUCUCCAUUUGUUUGAAUUUCUUUGUUGACCUAUGUUCACUUGAAGUAACAUUUCUUUAUUCAUAGGCUAACUUUGGACAAUAGUUGCUUUCCAGAAUUGUAACUCCUGAUUUAUCUAAUGUGUAAUCUGGGUACAAAGUUUAUUGACAUUUCAAGAAGAUACUAUUUGCCACAUCAGGAAAUGCACUUACAUGGUACUAUUUUUGUACAUACUGUAACUGUGUUAUGUAAAAUAGAAGUAUAUUGGGUAACACAUUAUUGAAGGUAGUGCAUUAGAAGUCCUUUUCUUAUUUGGAAAGUUCUGUAGCUUUAUUAUUUUAUAGUUGUUGAGCAUAAUUCACAAUUGACAAUUUGGCAUCAGUUUAAGAGGUCAUGACUCAUGAGUUCAAGCUAAGCAGAGUCAGGAAUCUGAGGCAGCUAAGCUCGGAUGGGCUGUAUGUUUCGAACUUCUCUGGUGAUUCAUCCUCGGAAAAAGUUUGAUAUGUGAUACAAUUAUUUUUUAAUUGUUAGACAUGCUUUGUUGGCAGGUUCCCAGUAAACUGCUUUAGGAUAUUAUAUUGAAUGUAGCAGGUACGGUACAUAAGAUGUUUGAACAUUGAUUCUAGGAGGUUUGAUAGCAGUAAGACUUCUAGCUACAACUAAAUUCCACGCAAUUUGUGUCCACUGUGAAGGAAGUGCAAUUCAUAGUAGUUAGGGUAAAAAAUUUGACUAGCUUUUCGUUCUGCAUAUUCUGUUUUAGCCAGCUGCAGUUUAUUUACACACUUUCUCUAGUUUCUGGGAGCAUUUGAAGGAGGGAAUUGAUUCAACUCCUAAUGGCUAUCUGAUGCUGGUCUUACAAAAUGGGAGACACAGUCUUCUUUAGGUUUUGAUAGUUUCUUGUGUGAGAUACAUGGAUCAACCCUGUAGAGAUUGUAGCAACAAUUAGCUCAGUGUGUUUCAAAAUGUGCCUGGUCUCCCCUUCUAUCAAAUGAGUUCGGCUGGAGGACCUUAUUCCCAUUUCAGGUCUACCAGAUUAUCAGAGUUUGCCAUUUUCUCUGUUUUUGUUACUGGAAAUUAGAACUCUGAGUGAUUGAUUGUAUGUUUAUCACCUCUCCGGUCACUAGCUGUAUGGUGGCAUUGAGGACAAAGGUAGUUCAAUCCUAAGUUGUCACAUGUGGUGUUCAUUAGUGUAUGAUAGUUCUGGCAUAUGAUGCAAGAAGGUUAAUUAUGCAAUGGCCAUUGGAGUUGAUUGGUGAUUUUUAGUCUUUGUUUCUCAAAUAUGAAGUGCAUUAUUAGGACAUAUAUGGGUAAUGUGUGCACUACUCACGACUUGUCUCUUUCAUGUGGAAAAAGUGUUACCAUAGUCAUUAGCGUGGACAAUGUUCCCUGACCUAAUUGUUGAAGGGCACUCACCACUGAAAUUUGCGAGCUCACUUUAAAACCUUAUGCUGGACGUUUUCCUCCAACUAGCCUGAAAGAACCAAAGCAUGAGAACUUGGCCUGUCUGGCUGGCUGGUCACGGAAGCACAGGAAACCCUGGUAAAGAAAGGCUUCCAUCACACAAGACUCUUUAGAUUUCACGUGUUCAUCUCCCUAACAACAUGCUCCAUUGCUAUUGUGUUAGUGUACUGGUCUUAGAAAGCUUGUCACGAUUUCCAUGCCAUGCAGCAGCAAUCUUUUACCCACUUUCAACCGGCUUUUAAGGUGUUAUAAUCACUUUGAUAACUGUAUUCAAAUCUCACGGGCUCUCAGCUGAUCUUACUGGUUUUCUAACACUUUUUCCUCUCCUGCUCAUGCCAUGAGUUUGAAGAGUGCUGAUAUUGAGACCGACUUCGCUGACCGAAAGUGGCUGACAAAACAAUUUGGCUCUCGUUUUCAGCUUUCGCUCAUUUAUUCAAAUAAGAAAAGGCAAACCACCUAUGUAAACGUACAUGCCACCAUUAUUUUUAUCAUCUUCAACUUUACCAAAUUCUUACAGCCAGUCUCAAAAGUACGAGGGAAAAAAAUUACUUUUGCACCGAAAGCGAACAACAUACAUCCCGCCAAAAAAAACUACCAUUUACUCUUUUUUCUUCACGGCAGCGGCAUCAAUCAUCUUUGAUUUUGCCGCAGGAUAAUCGUUUUACCUUUGUGAGUGGUUUUGCUGGCAAAGUUGAAGAUAAACUUUUCCGGGUAAAAUUGAAGAUAAAAUUUGGUAUCCGUGCAAGUGUGAUUUUACACGGGUGGAUUUAAUUAAUAGUAUUACUAGUGUGUUUUUAGUUGAAAAAAGAGUAGAUGAGAUGCUUCAGUUAAAAAAACAGGGUUAAAUUUACAGUUUUGUCAGCUACAUGGGUCAGCAGCUGCGAUCUCCGGAUCAUUUUCCAAGUUCGAAAGUUCCAUUUGACGCCUUCCCACAUCACAGCCAGGAAAGCAUAGAAAUAAACAUAAUCCAGAUCACACUAAAUAGUAUAAUAAGCCCACAUAUGCUGUCAAGGUUGAUACAGCAUAGCAUUAUUCAUAUUUUACCACCAAAUCAGAGUCGCCCUGCUCAUGCUGGUCCGUGAUAAAGCAAUGAUUUAGCAAAGGUAUAUUCCAAAACCCACAGUACCAAAAGUUUGGAGCCACUAGAUUUUAAAGAUAUUGUAUGCAAAAUAAGAUGAGUUCAUAAAAUUUCUGAUCAAUCUUUCACAAAAUUAUGAAGAAUUUUUAAGACUACUUAGCAAUGCAAACCAUCAAAUAUCUGUAUCACCUUCUCUUUAUUAUAUAUUUAAGAUUAAAACAAGUUGCACCCACACCAAACACAACUUAAAUUAAGUUUAAACCAUUACAUAAUGGCAGAAUGAUAACACCUUGGCCCGGUAAUGACGGCUCACUUGCCAAACCUGUCGAACCUCAUGGUGUCAGCAGAGCGAACCUACCUAUAGCCUGUUCUCCUUUUACUCAUCUUUCUUCUCUUUCUUAUCUUCAGGUUUUCGGUAUAAAAUCAUCUGACUCAGGACGAUCCCAUUCAUCAAGGCACCCAUUGUAGAGCCCAUAACAACUUCAAAAGAAUUAAGGACAAAUACUUGGGCACGUGUAUUUUAUAAGCAACGGCAAAGCUCAGACAGGAAAAGAUAUGUGUACUGGUGAGGUGUUCAUCAUUUGUUCAAAUAUCCAGCGUCCAAUUAUAUAGAAAUUAAUGCAGCACCAAUCAUUAACCAGAAAAUUGCAUAGUACGUAAGAUCAUGACAAAUUCUUUAGACAUGCGAAACUUAAAAUUACCAAUUCGUAGUAAAUUUGCUGCAGGUACAGAAGAUAACCUUCUUGAAGAACACAUGUAACACAACAAUUCCUAGGAGAAACUUAUGCAAUUAACAAUUAAGAAAUAGUAAACAAGGAUACCAUUUGUUGGAGCUUUUUCUUGGAUGCUUGUAAAAACUCUCACUGUGGAAGAGGAAAAAAUGAUUAGUUCUUCAGUUAGUAACCCAACACUACUUCAAUAAACAAAUAAACUCACCCAUGGCACCACCAAAACUCAUGAGACAUGUCAAGAAGCUGAGCUGUCCAGUACUUUUGUUCUGCAAAAUAAAUAUUUAUGAAUCUCUAAAAUUAGGGAAGUUCUCUUUAGAGAUGAUAUGAGAGAUGCAGUUGGUCAUAUCCCACUGAUUCAGCAAAAUGAUUCCAUUACUUACUUUAAAGUUCUUCCAUAUUUGAGGGAUCCUGGCAGAUAAAAAUGUGAUAUGCUGGAAUGCCUGUACAGAUCAAUUCCACAUAACUCAGGCAUCAAAUGUACAGAAACUUAGAAUUAACCACAAAACAAAAACUCCUGAAUGCUUGGACGUGUGCAUGGUUGCAUAAUAUUAUCCCCUAGCCUACCAAUAAGAAUGACACAGACGAAGGAAAGGGACUGAAAAUAUUUGGCUAACGAAGUCUGGAAGGCGAAAGGUGAUACUCACAUAUAUAGUUUCAAAAAGAACGGGAUUAAUUUGACCAGCUAAAAUGGUUGGUGCUAUAGCACAAUAUCUGAAAUACCAUCAGGUCAAGAGAAAAGCCGACUGUAUAAUCUUAUCCUUGCAGGUUAAAAUUUAAACAAAGAAAAACCAAAAGAAUAAAGUGAUUGGGAAAGCAAGCAGGAUACAGCAGUGCCCUGAUCCACGUUGCGGUACCAACAGGUUGUGAAUAGUAGUAAGUUAUAGCAACUAAAAUUAAUCCUGCAAACAACAGGCAAAAGAGGAAUUGUGUUAGACACUUGUUCUCAAGGAUUAAGCAUUGGAUUCAAUCAUGCAGCACAAUGUCAUGAAGAUAUCAACACCUCAUCCAAAUCGAAAUCCAAUACUUCACAUAAAAGACCCAGCAACAUAGAACAGGAACAGAUGGAUUUUGACAGACUUCUCUUUGUUAAAUUUGAGAACUGGGUGGGGAGAUUCACCACCGUAGCAAAUCUAACCUGGUUGUGGCUAACAAUAUGAGUAUUAAACACAGCAUGUAUGUGUUAAACCUAAUCAGAGUUGUCAUUUAUUUAUUUAAUAAUUCAUACUCUCUGCAUUUUGGAAACACAAUUUCACAGACUUGAAAUAAAGAAUCGACACAGAAGAAUAAAACCAAAAUAAUAUAGCAUUUACCUUGGAUCAAAAUAAAGAACACCUCCCCAUAAGCUGAAAAGGGAAUCCCUUUCUGAAUAGAAUACCCCAGACCAAUAGUAGCCGCAACUACUUCAAGCUCGAAGGUAGUGGCGCUAAUCCCACUUGCACUUCUAUGCUUCAAGAUUUUCAAUAUCUACAAUUGUACAACAGUGAACAAAAAUAAUAAUAAUAAUAAUAAUAAUGAAAAUAUUAAUAGAGUUGCUGUAGCAGAGCGAAUCUCACCCGUUGAUCAAUUUCAUAUGAAAUAUUAAAGAUAAGAGGGAAGGCGGGACUGUGACCUGAGGGAGUUUGACGGUAGUGGAGAGGGCGACGAUUAAGUAGCCGAGGACCUUCGAAAGGAGAGGCAGCAAACAAUCUUUCUCUGGAAAUUUGCCAUCUCGCAGAGAUCCGGUCACGCAGCCAAUGUUAAUCCCUAGAUAAUCCAUGGCCCCCUCUUUUUUUUCUUUUGAAUUAUGGAAUUCAAUCAAAUUCCAAUUACAAUUCAACAACAACUACAGCAACGUUUAUAUUAUAUUGUAUUAUUUUAUUACUAGCAAAGUAGCAAGUAGCAACUGCCUUCAAAGGACCAAAGUUUUGACAGCACACUCCACUUUCAAGUUUCCAGAAGAAAUGAUGCUCACGCCACUACACACUUCUCUAUGCGUUCACUUUUUUAAAACACAAAAAAGGACAACUAUGAUUAUUCGGAUAAGUGGACUACAAUUGCCCCAAUGACUAGCUAAUAAGGCCCGUGGCCAUACCCAUUACCCAAUACAAAAUAUCCAGAGAUUUUAUUUAAUUUAAAACUUUUUCUUUUUUAUUUAAAAACAAUUUCAAUUUUGUUGUAAUGCAUUCGGAAGCCCAGGCCCUGCACAUCCAAACUUGGACAGGCUUUUCAAAGAUUCCGGCUUGUUUUGGAAACAUGGGCUUGGGCUUUUGCCAAGCCAUUUAUCAAAUAAAAUUUUAAUUUUUUUAUUUGAAAUAAAAAGUGGAUAUAAAGAAGAUCGUAAUACCCCAAAAACUAAAUUAAAACGUCUAAAUGAUAAUCAAAAUACCAAAUAGAGAUAAAUAUUGUUAGUUAGGUACUUUUCUUACUUAAUUAAUUUUAAAUAUUUCCUUAAUUAUGAAAAUUCUAGCUCUUAAUUUCAUAGUGCCUCAUUAAGUUUACAUGUUCAAGAUUUAAGUUCUUGCUGGGUGCUGGCAAUGAAUGUAAUUAAACGGUUUUCCUUCUCUGGCCGUGCGAAAAUUUCAUAAUUCUUUCACGUGUGGAAGCUAAAAUCAUCGCAAUGAAAAUCUACUGUAUAUAAUCCAAACAUAUCAAUCGAGACUAGUUUCCUUCGAAGUUCUAUCCAAUUAGUAAAUUGUCCACUUUUCUUUCGUUGGUCAAAUUACCCAAUCGAUUGAUGGCUCCAUAGAAACGAAUCGUUUCAUCUCCUCUACGGCUCACACAAGAAGAAGAAGAAGCUGUUCUUGGAUUCGCCUUGUUCAUUUCGUUGUUCCAGUCACUCUUUAGUAGUAAUCUACGUAUUCAGCGGUUGUUUAUUUUUAUUUUUUUACUCAAUAAUUUAAUUAACUUAAUUUUAAUAUAUUUAUUCAAUUUAUUUUUUUUGACUUAAUAAAAAAUUUCAAUUAUUAAGUUUUUAAGUCAAUUUUUUUAACUUUUUAUUUGAUUUAAAAAGUUUGAAUGUUAUUAUUAAAAGAUAUUCUCUGAAAUAUUCGCAUUUAAUUGCCUAAAUAAAAUUUAAUAAUUAAUAUUAUUGUCCAUUUCUAUAACUUAUGUUAAUAUAGUAGUAGACUAUUAUUACUUUUAUUUUUUUAUUUUAUUCAAAUUCGUAUUAUUUAUCUUCACAAUUUUUAUGAAUAUUUUUCAUAUAAAAACAUUAUAAACUAUAAUAAAAAUAAUUAACAUAUACUAAUUUAGAAUAUAAAGAGUUGCAUUUAAUUGAACAUGAUUUAUAUUAUCAUAAUAUACUAUCUUAUUUAAGUUCUUUGAGAAGUGUAUUAUUUAUUUAACAUUUAUAAUUUAUAAGGGCACGAAUGUAAAAAUAUUGAUUUUAGAUUUUUUUUAAGUUAAAAAACAACUUAAUAUUUAUUUUUAACAAUUAAAACAAAAAAUAAACAUAUUAUUCAGAUUGAGACAUUAAAUUUUAUUCUGAAUUUAAAGUCUAUUGUGCUUUUAGGAGGGAAAAAAAAAAAAGAAAAGGAAAAAAGCCACCUAACUUAGACAUUGGUUUUAUGGCCUUGAAUCAUUUUUGCUUUUGUUUAGGGAUGGCAAUGGAUCGGAUCUGAUCUAAGAUCCACGUAAUCAAAAUCCAAUUGGAUCGAAUUUGAGUCGUAUUAAAAUGGAUUUAGAUAUAUAUGCGUGAAUUUAAGACAAAUUUGGAACAAGUUUGGAUUUAUCUUAAUAUCUAGAAAUAGAUCAAUAUCCACUCAUCAUUUAAUUUAAUUUAAUUUUAAAAUUUUCUUAACAAUUAUGUAAUUGUAAAUGAUAAUAAAAUUUAUUCAUAGCAUAUUAGUGGCAUUUAGCAUGUAUUUAAGAAUCUUAAAACUUAAAGGUAUUUAAAUGAUAAUAAAAUAAAAUUAGGAUAGCCGGCCCUAAUUUUUUUAACUUUUUCACUCUACAAUUUAGCCUCUUUCUUUCUCUUUAGUCUACUCUCGCUUCUCCACUUCAUUUGAAUGCUUGGAUUAGUCCUUUAAUUGCUAGAAAAAUCUCUAGACUUGAAUUUAUUUUUUCUCAAUCAUUUUCUUAUAAUUUUAUUUAUGUUGUAUAAUCACUAAUCAGUGGUGGUUAUUACCUAUAAAAUAAUUAUGUUAAUUAUAUAUUUAGUUAAAUAUAGUCAUAAUUAAAAUAGUAAAGCAUUGAAUAUAAUUAAUCAUAUUUAACUUAUAUGAUAUUAUUUAAUGAUCUAAGAAUAAUGAUGGUGUGCCGUGGAUAUCAAAAUAGUAAAAGAACAUUAGAAUAUUCGAAUAAUCUUUUUCGUACGAUUACUUUUGAUGAAUAUUUUAUUAUAUUUUUUAUUUGUUUGUUUUGGUGUAACAACAUAAGUUACAAUACUUAUUAGAUUUUUUAUACAAAUUAUAUAAUUUUAUUGUUACCAAUGCAUUUUAAUCUUUAAAUUUCUUUCUAAAAAAUUAUUGCUCUCUUAGUAUUGAGAUUUAGAAUUCAUGACGGAUUUAGAACAUAUUUAUAUUUUAAUUUUUCUUUUUAUAUUUAGAGCAAAUAUAUAUCUUUAUUUUUUUGUUUCAGAUCUGGAUACAGAGUGAAAAACAUGGAUUUAUGACGGAUCUGGAGUAGUUACGGAUCUAAAUUUUUAUUAUGGAUUUAGAUAUAACGUAAAUUAGAUCCAAUCUAUAUCUACCCCAUUGCAAUCCCUACAUUUAGGUAAUUUAUUUAGUGUUUUGAGUUGGUGUGGUAAGUACAAUUUCACAUUCUGGAAGUAUUAUUAAUUUCUUUUGAAUCAAUCGUGGUGGACAGUAAUUGAGAUAGCCUUCUCUAGAGAUAAAACAAAAAACAAAAAAAAGCGACCAGAGACAUAAUUGAAAUGCUUAUAAGGUUAAAAUCCAACAAAAUAAAUUUUUUAGUAGAAAACAAGUCGGUUGCAGAGUGAGGGGAUUACUCUAAACACAGGGAUACGACGAGUGGACGUUACAUAUUUUUUUAAUUUUCCGGUUGCACGGGAUACUUAGUCAUCAUACAAUAAGCGUUGUGAAAUGGAAGAGCUCAGUAGGGCGGGGGCGGAUAGAUUCCAGAGGGAGGACCUGUUGUCAUUCAGAGACAAAGAGAGCUCAUGUCAAGCACCUGGAGCUGGAGGAUCAGAUUCAUGAGAACUGAAAGUCCGAAGAAAUGUGUGUACCUGGAGGAUAAUAAGUUGGAGGCGGAUAUGGUGUUGGAGGAUACACAGCGGCAGGAGGGGGAGGAGGAGGGUACGCCUGUGACAAUGGAGGAUAGCCAGCUGGAGGGGCGGAACCCGUGGGAGGAUAUGCUAACGGUUGAGGAGGAGGAGGGUAUGCUGCGUAGGGAGAUGGUGCAGUGUACGCUGGGGUUGGCGGGUAAGGAGUUGGGGGCGCCUGUUGAUGUGGUGGUAGGACCUGGCUCAUGCCGCUUGAUGGUGUUGCAUAAUUUGGUGCUGGUAUUGGAGCUAACUUUGCCUUCGAUUGCUGCUCAAUAUCAAACAUUGGUCGAUUAAUUAUUUGGUUCAAAUGCGAAAUAUUCGUCAAGCUGGCAUAGCACUAACGUAAGUAAGUACGGUACGGAUCGGGUUAGAGUUAGACAUAUUACAUUAGUGGCACUUGAGUAGUGCAAUAUCAAUCUGAUUUCCCCCGAGUGUCUGCAUCGUAUUGGAGAUGUAUCAGAGACAUAAAAUUAUGGAAAUUGAAGCUUUUGAAAGAUGAGCUUUGAGUCUGACCUGCCGGUUUUAGUCUGAAGCGGCCAGGCAGCAUCAUCAAAACCUUGGGAAAGGGCUUUGUGAAGUUGGAUCCUGUAAGAGGUAAAGGACGCACUAAUUUAAUCAAGUUGAAAUUAGUAAUUAAUGUUCGGUUCUUAUCUAGUUUCUGAUUUGUUAAGAUUAGUUGUAGAGGUCUCUGAUGAUGGCAAUUACCUUCCAGAGCCAAUGAACUCAUCAGGAGUAAGGGUGUGGCUAUUCCAGACCACAACAUUUAGUUCGCGGAGGCCCUCAAUGAGUGGCAAAACGAACUUUUCUUGGAAAGUGGGAUUUUUACCUCCAUCUAACAAUUUAAUCGGAGGAAACCAAACCCAAAGUAUAUUUCUUAACAAUUGAAAUGAUAUCCAGAAAUUCAACAAUAAUUUAUAUAAAACAUAAGCAACAACAAAACAAGGAUCGGUGUUAUAUAUAUAUAUAUAGAUAUAGAUAUGUACCGGUACAGGUUUUUGUUCGGUACUUGGAGCUUCCGUAUUCAAGGCACACAUAAGGAUCUUGUCUUGAUAUCCAUUCUUUAUCAUCCAAAUUAUAACAUCCAACGACUGCAAAUAAAAUCGAUAAUCAUAUUAGCCAAAACCAAAAUACUGUAAAAUGCUAAACAAAUCGUAUAUACUACUAAUAUACCAGUGAUUUCAAGUGGAAGGCCUUGGAUUCCAGAGAUCGACAUGGGUCUUAAUUCCUGUGAAUUUCUGCCAAUUAAUGAAGCUGGGUAUUGUCAAUUGUGCGACAUAUAUGUACAUAUAUGGGGAACGACUUGUUCUUGAUGAAGGGUUGACGUUGACGCAAGCCUUUACUCUUCCUCGCCUCAACCUCAAUUUCGAUUACGAUAAUAAUAAUGGCACAAUCCCAUCAACUUGCCAAAGAAUUCAUGCCCAGACACAGUAUUCCAAUGAUUAUAAUAACCUAGUCAAAGUCUUCCAAUGGGUUGUAUGAAGGGAACGUGCAAUGAAAGUUGAGAAAUAACAAUUUCAAACAUACGAAUUGCCUAAAGUUUUAAUGUUAACGUAAACUAAAAAUUUUAAAAAAAAAAAGGAUAAAAACCACGCACAUUUUGAAAGCUAAUGUAGCUUUUCAUUGCGCAUUACGCAAUCCGAUUAGCCCAGUAUUACCUACUACGGCUACAGCUUCGGCUAGCGAGAUAUAAAAUCAUUUCUUUCGUUGACUUAAGAAUAUAAUUUAAAUUUCAAAAACCGCGGAAUAAACCACAUGAUAAGCUGCUUCCACUAAUCUUCCAGGCUCCGAUACCGUUGACAAUGUUAAUGCAAUUGGGAGCUAAUAAGACUCAUCCCAAUAUGAGGAAGUCGACGAUUACAUCGUUAAAUGCGCCAACCAAAAUAUUAGCAAAAUUGCAAUUUCUCAAUUAUUCAAUUCUUAUAUUGGCAUAAAAAAAAAUUAAAUUGGCUUAUCCAUUUAAAUUUGGAUGUGCUCGGUCCUAGGAUGAAAAAACCAAGUAGCCCUUCUCUCUCCCACUAGAAAGGUAGAAGCAUUGAAAUGAACUUCUGGGAUCACACCAGAAUUACGGGAUAUUUAAUGCACCCAAAACCGAUUUAGGGUGGAUUAAACAACCCCAAGAUUAAAAUUAAGGAAUUGGUACAAAUGAGUGAACUUUAGUAUUGGGCCACUCUGGAAUGUUGUUCCCUUAAUCGGCUGGAGCUUAAAAUACGCUUCGCAAUUGAGGGAAGAAAACCCAACAAAGCAAGCACCAUCGAAGUUUAAAAUAUCGUAAUUUCCCAUGUUAAAGUCAGUAUAUUUAUGUAACAAAAAUUCAGAAUGAGGAAUAGAAACACCGAUUAUUUUACAGAAUUUCAAACUUACAUUCCAGUGUACUAAUUCUAAUUUAUUACUUCAGGUACGUUAUGAUCAUUUCUUGUACUUUUUAUAAUCUUGCAGUUGCUACAUUACUCAUGGCUGAUUGAAUAUCAUCAUCAUUCGCUGUUUAUUCUAUCAGGUACCUGAUUUUGCAGAUUUUUUUUUUCCUGUUAGUGACGAAAGGACUUAUGUCCCCUAGCAUACAUUAGUGUAUAUUAAUACUAAUACUUAGAGCACAAGGUUUAUGAAUUUAUGACAUACAUAAGGUGAUUAAAAUGACAGAGAAUAGCUCUACUCGUAAUGCAUAUGAGUGCGUGCGCGCGCGCGCACACACACACAUAUAUAGCAGUUUUUUGGUCCGAAAUUUUAAAGUGUGAAAAAGUCUAGGGAAGCUUUGAAACCAUGUGAUUUAAUAGUAUUAUGAAAUUAAGUUUUAAAAGUUCACGGUUUUAAAUUUUGUUCAGACUUUUCCGUACUUUAAAAUAUUAGAUUGUAUAGAAAUAUAUCUUCAUCAAAUAUGUAGAACUGCAGCAAAGCGUGAGCUUUAAAAUAAGAGAGUGGAUAUGGAUAUGGCAUUGAGAUGAGAUGCAGGUAUAAAGUUGCAGCAAUGCCAAUGGGGAGUUAUUGUUAACAUGGUUCUAUCCAAAGGGAUAAGGAGCCGAUAAUUGCAGGGAAGCGGAGGACCAUGGCCCCUUACUAUUUGUUGCUAUCAAUCAUUUACCUUCAUCCCACUGUGGGGUACCUGCACCUUCCCCAUCCCGUGUUUUUCAACCCGGACCGCUUUUAUCAAUCAUGCGAGCUUUUGCAAACAACAACUGACCAUUACCUUUUGAGCGUUGACAACUUCAUUUAGCUUCAUAUUGUUCGCUGUUAUGCAUCUUUGAUCGAUCAAGUGGAGUAUCAUUAAAAUAGAGUUGAAAUGGGAGGAACAUUUUUAUUGAAAUAGACGUAUUAGUCAUUAAAUCCUUCCAAAUUGACUCAAUCUUAAUUUAAUGUUAGGAGAAACGAGCACGAGUUGGCAAUUGUAUAACGAAUAAACUCUGAAGAAGUAAUAUAUAGCAUCCCAUAUCUUAUUAAUCUUAUGCUAAGAGAUGGAGAGUGGAGGGCUGCACUGAGUAUGACUUGCUAUACAGUUUAUGUUAAAGAUGAGUACUGGACAAGGUAUAAAUCUCUCUUGAUCUUUGAUCUAAGGCCUGGAGAAGCGCUGCGUGGAUGGAAAUCUAUCUAACAAGAUAUAUAGUGCAAAGCCGGUGCAAGUAAAAUGCAAGUGGGGACAUAUUCACUAUGUUCAUCAUGAUGCCCUCCAGCAGCUAUUAAAACGAUAGGUGAAGGACCACAAUUUUUCUUUUUGCACCUGUUAGCUAUAAUUUUCAAUGGAAACGUUUGAUUCUUCCAUUUUCAAAGCUGUUAAGACUGCAAAUCGAUGCUUAAUCUUUAUUUUCGGCUCCAAAUUUUGUUUGUGACCAUUCUUUUGUGUGUUUAGAGAACUAUUCUUCUGGUUGAUAGAAUUUUCUGACAAGUACAAUGCAUUGAUUUCAAUCCUUGCAGUUUAAUAUAUAUUGAAUUCGAAUUUUCUAUUCUUCCUGACGGGAAGAGCUUUUCUGCACAACUUUCCCGGGAAGUGUUUGCCGAACAGAUUUAGUGGUUGUGAUCUUGGAUAUUGAUUUGGGAAAUAUGCCUGAGAAUGUGGCUAAUAGGAUGUGUAGCUCUGUAACUAAACUCUGCGACGUGGAUCAAGAUGUGGCCUUUAAUCUAAAGCUUUCUAUCAGACAACUAGGUAAAGAAAACUUAAUUUCUGGAUGAACUAUUUAUAUUACAACUGAAACAUUGCUAAUUGCUAUUGUGCUAAAACUGAAGUAAUGAACGUUUUAAGUUGUUCACAUUACAAAUGGCCAGCAUCAGUCAGCCAGCUAUAUAUGCGGGUACGCAUCUAUAGAACAAUUAUGUGAUUUUAGCCAAUAUUAAUGUUAACACAGAGGUUUCGGGCACUGUGAUGGACCUUAUAAACUUUUCUAGGACCACUGCAACUACAAACAAAUUGAUCCACUGACAUCAACUGCUAUUUAAUGUGGUUUAUGGUCUCAGAAUUGAGGAUCGUUUUUUCCGGGCUAAGUUGGUUUCAGGGUUAUAUUUCUUAUCUUAUUUAUAACUCGUUGAUAUUUUUGGGAGAUAAGUGGAAGUUUCUUGCAGAUUCUGAAAGAAACAAUUCAAGAGUAAAAUGCAUUUUCAGUAUGAUGAAAUUGUUCACAUUAACCUCUUUACUAUGAUAUUGACAUAAUUGGCCUUUCAUUGUAGAUUUGUGAGCGAGCACUUCAGUAAAUCAUAAAAUUUUUACUUAUUACUAGUUAUCUCAUUGCUGAUAUGUGAUUGAUCUGUCUAGGCGAGGGACACACUCACUCACGCAAGAGAACAAAAAGGAAGGUUCCAAGUUACAACUAGGAGAACUUGUCUGCCCAAGAACCCCGUACACACGCCCCAAAAAAAAUCGUGUAACAAACACUCUAAAUCUAUGUAUUUAAAAUGACCAAUCUUUUUGGUCUUGAGAGUAAUAGUCAUUAAGGUGGUGCUUGGAUCAUUAGUAUAAGGGGUCCCGCCAUAAAACUAACUGAGAUGGGGCACUGUAGUACUGCAAUCGUUAUGAGCGUCUUUAAAACACUCUUGAGUCAUUGCGCUUGGGGGUUGAUAAUUGUUCUAGUUCACGCUUUUCCUUUUAAUUUGUGACUUGAAACUAGGAAUCAUUUUCUCGUGGUGGCUUCUAAUGGACGGUGGACUUCCCAUGCUUAACUGUCUCUUGCAGCACACGCUGAGAAGCUUAUGUUCACGUUCUGAUUCUUCUAAUUCCUCGAAGUGGGUGUACGCUGUCUUUUGGAGGAUUCUGCCUAGGAACUAUCCUCCACCAAAGUAAGAUAAAUAGAACUAUGUCAUAUGUCAACUUUCAAUAGUAAGUUCAUGUCUAAUUAGUUAUUAGUGUUCGUAGAUCAUCACAUUGCUUUGUUGCAGGUGGGAUCGUGGAGGCAGUGCUCUUGAUCGCUCCAAAGGCAAUAAAAGGAACUGGUAACUGGGAAGCAUAGUACCAAACUCAAGUUUCAUUUGGUUUAAGUUGAGUUCUUGAAAUGGAAUUUUAUUUCAGGAUUCUUGUUUGGGAAGAUGGGUUCUGUGAUUUUUUUGAAUGUGAACGUGCCGGAAGUGGAUAUAUGAAAGGGAGGUUUGGAGCUGAUAUCUUCUUCAAAAUGUCUCAUGAAGUUUAUAAUUUUGGAGAAGGGUGAGAAUUAAUAAUCCUCUGCUUUGUUUUUCCAACUUUCUUAAAUGAGACAAAGAAACCGAGUUGGAAAAUUCGAAUUGACAAUGUGUGUGCUGCUUGGUUCCAGAUUAGUAGGUAAAGUUGCAGCAGACAAUAGUCAUAAGUGGGUGUUUAAAGAAGCCACAACAGAAAGUGAACCUGGCUUCACCUCCUCUUGGAAUGCUUCUAUUGAUCCUGUAAGGAAAUCGGGACAACUUUUCUGUUGAAUGGAUGCAUGCACGAAAUGUAAUCCUUUUCUUUCUAUCCUGACUCUUAUCAUGAUUUUGUUUCUUACUUGACACAGCAACCCAAGGCUUGGGAAUUUCAAUUUAAUUCAGGAAUUCAGGUGGGCAUUUUUACACGAUCUAUUUUCAGAAGUGUAAAAUAGACAUGUCUGUGUGAGUACUCAAGAUUGAGCCCAACUAUAACAUAUGAUAAGUUUAAUCUAUUUUACAGACAAUUGCUAUCAUUUCUGUGAGAGAAGGCAUCAUUCAACUGGGCUCCUUUGAUAAGGUCUCUCUUCUCUCUCUCUCUCUCUCUCUCUCUCUCUCUCUCUCUCUCUCUCUCUCUCUCUCUCUCUCUCUCUCUCUCUCUCUCUCUCUCUCUCUCUCUCUCUCUCUCUCUCUCUCUCUCUCUCUCUCUCUCUCUCUCUCUCUCUCUCUCUCUCUCUCUCUCUCUCUCUCUCUCUCUCUCUCUCUCUCUCUCUCUCUCUCUCUCUCUCUCUCUCUCUCUCUCUCUCUCUCUCUCUCUCUCUCUCUCUCUCUCUCUCUCUCUCUCUCUCUCUCUCUCUCUCUCUCUCUCUCUCUCUCUCUCUCUCUCUCUCUCUCUCUCUCUCNNNNNNNNNNNNNNNNNNNNNNNNNNNNNNNNNNNNNNNNNNNNNNNNNNNNNNNNNNNNNNNNNNNNNNNNNNNNNNNNNNNNNNNNNNNNNNNNNNNNNNNNNNNNNNNNNNNNNNNNNNNNNNNNNNNNNNNNNNNNNNNNNNNNNNNNNNNNNNNNNNNNNNNNNNNNNNNNNNNNNNNNNNNNNNNNNNNNNNNNNNNNNNNNNNNNNNNNNNNNNNNNNNNNNNNNNNNNNNNNNNNNNNNNNNNNNNNNNNNNNNNNNNNNNNNNNNNNNNNNNNNNNNNNNNNNNNNNNNNNNNNNNNNNNNNNNNNNNNNNNNNNNNNNNNNNNNNNNNNNNNNNNNNNNNNNNNNNNNNNNNNNNNNNNNNNNNNNNNNNNNNNNAUAUAUAAAUAUAUAUAUAUAUAUAUAUAUAUAUAUUUAUAUUAUGUUUUGUACGUUAAAUUAAAUUACGACUGAUAAAUUCUUUCAGAUUGUGGAAGAUCUCAAUCUGGUGAUCAGCGUUCAGAGGAAAUUCAGCUACCUUCAGAGCAUUCCUGGUGUCUUUGCCAUACAAAGGCCAUAUCUGCCAGUCCAUUUUCCAUACAUCAUCAAACCCAAUAAUCAUACAAUGGAAAGCCAGGAAACAGCUCUCUUAGCCGAUAACAAGUGCCUCCUAACUGGAGCAAAAAGAUUGCUCCAUGAAAUACCUGAAGAUUCUCCGCUCAAAUCUAUUAACAUAGGUUGGAACAGCCCUCAAAUUGGAAUUGCAGGAGCACCUAUUUGGUCAAUACCUCCUCUUAUGCCAACCAUGUCAUGUAGCCUUGGAGCUCUGCUAUCAAAGCUACCUUCCGUGAUCCCAUCCUGUUAUGUCAAUGAAUCUCCCAACGCAACUCUGAUGAACAACAGCAGUAGAAUCAAUGCUACAUGCAAGAGAUUGAAAGAUGAUCAUAGUGGUGUUGUAAGCGAAGUCCACGUUGCUGAUAGAAAAGUGGAGUCCUCACGCCUAUUAGAUGAUGAAGAACAAAAGCAGGUGUAUAUAAACACUAACUUACAGGAUAUGGUGGUGAGGGAACUGGGAUUUGAACCUCUGAGAGAGGAAGACAGUGCUCUAAAUUUCAAUUAAUUAGGAGAACCAAAUUAAUUUAUAGUAAUAAAGGCAAGGAGCUAAUGUUAUGGCUUUACAGUCCCCUGCUCAUGCCCCAUUGUUGCUUUGUUCAUAAAAAGGCAGCCCUUAAAAAUGUAUCGAGGUAUCAUGUGAUAGAUGUAACUUGAGAAUAUUCCUUUCACACUACGCCAAUGGCCAUGGAAAACUGAAUGCAUUUGGUUUGUCUUCUUUUCUAAAUUUCUUUUCUCCUUUCGGCCUGUUUGGAUGUCAACAAUGUGCAAUUGCAAAAGUAGCAAUGCAGAUGCUGCGUGAUAGUGGUACUGCAAAUUUUUAAUUGUUUCGCAAUGUAGCUAGACACUGGUGUGAUGAGAGAAUUGAAAUGAAACAGCUUUGUACUUGAAGCUCAAAAGCUACCAAAACUGAAUCUAUAAGUUAAGGUUACUAAUAAUCAAGGCCAGCUUUCAUAAUGAAGACUGAUUUAUAGUUAUGAGAAAGUCGUUCCCCUUUUGUUGGGCGCAAGGUUUGGGUGGCUAUGCGGGUCGCAGCGCCCGUGGUCUAGUUCCCAUCGCUUAGUGUGUUGGAGUCCACCAUAUGUAGUGGUCCCCUGAAAGCAUAUGAAGAUGAAAUAUGACUGAAGAUAAAUUCACGAUCAAGUUGUAUGCGACAUUUGGUAACCAACCUCCGACAAAAUGGAUGGUCCCCAACCUCAACUUACAGAUUUUUUGGGACAUCAUUAUAUCCAAGAAAAGGAGUCGUGAUUUUGUAAUAUACGAUGCAAGCAACCCAUUGUGGUUAGAUGUCAUCCUUAAUAUGAAACACUAUCAAUAAACUCCAUUUGAUUUGAAAAAAUGAGAAGAGAGUAGAGGAGAGUAACAGAAAAGAGAGAGGGGGAGAGAAAAUGAGGGAAAGAGAGAGUAAAUCUCAAUUUUAAUCUCUUUCCCCGCUCCUCUUUUCUUUUCCUCUCCUCUGCUAUCUUCAAACCAAACAUGCCAUAUAUGUUUACUGAUCCCCUUCUCUUGCAGUCUCAGCUUGCAGACCAAUAGCAGCGGAAGGCAGGUUGUGAAGUGUAGAAUCUGUGAUGGCCAGUGCAUGCUUAUUUCAAGCAUUGGCCUACGAUCUAAUCGUCUGACACAUGACAACUCACUGACCAGCUUGGUUGACGGAUUCAUUUGGCAUGGAAUGGAUCCAAGAUUUUAUCAUAAACCAAUACAGCCCGGCAGGACCCUUUGUUAGCAACUUGCAAUACCAUUUCUAUUUUGGUGAUACAGCAUCAGAUAGAACCAGAAUGCAAUUGUGAUGCUUCGUCCUAAAAUGUAAGUAGAUUUAAAACCACAAGUUAACCUUUCUCCCGAAUGUUGGUAAAUUUUUACGAUUGAUAAAUUUGAUGAUAAUACUGACAACUAUUAUAAAGACCCCUAUGUUUUAUUAGAAUAAAAUUGUGAUACCUGAAACCCGAACACACCAAUUAUAUGUGGUUAUGUGAUUUAGAAGGUGUCUCAAAGUUCUUUCAUUAACCAAUACGGAAAUUGAAAAAUGGAUUUCUUGUAAGAGGUAUUUGAGGAAUUCUAGGGCUAAGCUAACUCUGUUCACUGAGGCCCUGACAGGUUUUAGCUGCAGAAGGGAAAUUCCCUCCAAGGCAAAGGCCGUGCCUGUGCCAUCCUCCUCAGAAGAAGGCAACCAUGAAAAUAUUUGCUUUUUCAUGCACUUUCAUUUUCACUGCUAUAUUACUGGAAAAUGGAAAUUCAAAAUUUUUGGAUGAGAAAUUAAAACUAUCGAAAAACAAAUUGGCAAAGUUUGGCUUUUCUGCCGAGCAAAGCUGCGAGCCCAGUAGCUUGUGCAUACCAAGCCUUCCCACCACGGGAUUCGUGGAAUUCCUGUCUAUAGAGACGACUUUUCCAUUGAAAUAUAAUCUCUUUAAAGAAAAUUAAUGAUGAGAUUUUUGAUUUGGGUCCCCUCUGUCACUUCAUGUGACGUUAGGUUCACAGUGCCCCACGCCAUGGAUGCUCACAACUCAUCAGAAGCAGAUUCAGACCGACCUCCAAAAACAAUAUUGUCGUGCACUGAACACAAUUAUAAAUCUUCUAUUCCUAAACAACAAGAGCAUGCGUAAUUCAAAUGUUCGUGAUUCAAGAAGAAUCGUUAAAUAUCAAUUCAUAAAAGCCUCCGCUGAAUGACGCCAGGGAUUUGGUAGAGGACAUUGGAAAUAGAUAACAACAAUUUGUUUGUGCAUUGUUCAGAUUCAACGCAGAUAGAUAACUUACAACGCUAUAUACCAAACCAACGUCCGAAUAAAUAUUUAACAGACCAUCCACCUGCCGGUACAUUAACGUUUGGAAUGAAAUGCAGUAGAAUGAACUAAGGCCGGGGAGAAACUCAUUCACAAGCACGAAUAUUUUCAUCCUCCCUUCGGCCUUCCACUGCUCUUACAGUGCCAACUAUAAUUAAGCACUGCUACUUCCACCUUGAUUUCCAUGAGCCCAGUAAGGUUUAGCAGGGGUGCGUCGUAAUGCCCUCACUCCCAAUGGGUUGUCCUUGCUCUGUUGCAGAAAAUUCAAGAAAGCACAUAAGAAAAAUAAAAAAAUAAUCAAAAAGAGAAAACCAGGACUGCUAAAUUUAAACUUGAAAGCUCAAAAGAAAAACAUCAAACGAUUUCUUAAUAGAAUCAUGCAAUGCAACCAAAUAGCUUGAAUUUAAAACAUGAAUAUCGAAAUAUUUGCCCAUUGGUCUUUGGCACACUGCUGCAAAGCCUAGAGCAGCCAAGCGUACCAACAAAAUUUAGCAUAUCUUACCAUCAAGCAGGUCCCAGCACGAACAUUACAGAUGGGAUAGUCAUGUGGGCAGCAGCUAUAGUGGUCAUCACAGCAGGUGGCAGCCUCAAGCGGGCAGCAUCCCCAUGCAAAGCAAGAGUUACCAUACUCAAAGACACAGCAGCAAGUGUUGCUCUCAGGGCAAGAGUAAUAAUUGUCACACACAGCAGGAGGCUUUGUUGGAGAUGGAGGGGACGGUCCAGGGUUGGGAGGAUUUUGGCCUUUCUUUAUGGGAUAUGAGGCCUCCAUGGCAAUUCCACACUUGCCCGUGAGAGUGCCAGCCACGUUACGCUCCAUCCUAAUAUAGCCAGCCUCUCCCCAGCUACUGCCCCAUGAAUUCUUCACAAUCCAGUAAUCAGCUCCAUUUUCUGUGCCAUAUCCAACAGCAGUAACACCAUGGUCCAGAGAUGUCCCACAUCUUCCCGUAAAUAUACCCUGAAAAUUUGCAAAGACAGAAAAAUAUACUUGAGACUUCCUUAAAACAGAUCAGACACACACAAGACUCUUCCUGAUCCUGUUUAGAAACCAUUAGAAAUACAAUAAUUUUUGUUCAAAUACCAUCCAGUAUUGUCUCAACCAUAUCUUUUCAGAACUGCAAAAUGCAAAUACUUUGUAUCUAGAUAAUAGCAACAUCCCUAAAUCUAAAAUGUGACAAGUGCCAUGAAGAGAUGAAAGUUACCGAUUCAUAUAACUGGAAUGCCAUGCCACCUCCUUCAAUGGCAACACUCACGGGUUGAUUUGCAACUGCCUUUUGCAAAGCUUUCUCGUCAUUUAGGGGAACAUCUUCAUAGUCAUCAAUUGUAACUACUUUGGCAUUUUUCUGACAAAGCCAAAAACCAAAGGCUUAGAAUGAUCCUCCAUUAUAUAGUAUGGCAUUUCUUCGUAAAACAAUAGAGUAAAAAUACCUACCCGAUAUGUGUCACAGCUACCAUCAAUGGCUUUGUAGGGGUAAUCUUCUUCUGUGUCAAUACCUCCAUUAUCAAUAAUGAACUCGAAUGCAUAGUCCAUCAAACCACCAUUACAUCCUUCAUUAUAUGAUGUAUCACAAUCCACCAACUCCUGCUCGGAUAGUGAGAUCAGGCUACCUGUAACAAUCUUGUUUAUACCCUCUACAGCUGCAAUGGUUGAAAAUGCCCAGCAACUCCCUUCAUUCAAGCGAGAUACAAUCAAAUAAUGGUUAGAAUCACACGACACAGAGAGCAACAGAUAAUUUGCUUUCUGAAUUUCUAACCAAGUUAAGUACUUAGACAACUCAAUAUUUGAAUAUGUUUUGUAUCUACAUCAGUUGAUUUAUUACCUACAAAAGUUAGGUAGGGGAAAAAAAAUCAUCACUUCAUAUAAUUCUGAGUUAUUAAGUUUGUUCAGAAUGAUGGAUUGAGGUUGAAUAAGACCGCAAAAGACUUGUAGGACAUAAAAUGUUUAAUAUCUCUCAUUGACAGGUUUUACCAUACUACAACUUUAAUGAUAAAUAAAAAAAAUAAUUAACUUGCUACUACAGGACAAUGACUAAUACAAGUUAUGGCGUAAUAAUUAUUAUCUAAGGACUAAUCCCUAAAAUCUCUUAGAACGGAACAAGAUAUCAAGCUCGAAGCUCAUAGGUGGUGAAAUGAAUUACCAAUAUCCUGUACAAAUAAACAAAAUAAACGCACUUAUUUUGUUCAGAGCUUUAAUAAUUCUGCAGAUGCAGCCAACUGACACACUGAUAAGCGGCCCAGCCCACUGACACGUAUUAAAAUUUUGUGGUGUUACCAACUAUCACCAAAAGUGAUAGGAAUACGAUUUUCACGUCUACUGAACACAAAAAAAAUAUUACUACAGCUUUUAAAAAGGUCCGCCAAUCUGUACCCAAUGGCAGCUAUGUUCAACCAACAAGCUCUGGCCACGUCAGGACAGCCAAACAAGAUUCCAUCCAGACAGUUCUUUUUAUUUUCAUUUGGAAAACAUUUUCUCGUGAGGGAAAACAGAAAAUAUCUCGAGCCUUCCGUCAGAAGAUAUCUUCUUGUUUUUCACACUUCCUAAUUUCUUGUCAGUUUUUCUCUUUAUUGUUUUUCGACAAAACAAUAAAAAAGGAAUACUCAAUUUGGACCAUUGAUUAUCACAGUGGCCCAAGCCUCCGAACUCUCGCCAAAAGUCCGAGAACGAAACAGCACUUUAAAAAAAUAAUCAUAAUAAUAGUGUCGGAGAAAAAAAGAAAUUCACGAAAACCAGAUUCUAAUUGAUGGAAAAGAUUAAAAAAUAACAGUAAUAGUCCUAACCGGUCAACUUAGCACAACUGCCCCCAACCGGAAGCAGUGCAAGAUUCUUCUAACUCUAAUCAUCCUUAAAAUACCAAACAUACCCUUUCCUUUCCUUUCCUUUCCUCUCCGCAAUCGAUUCAUUCAUAAUUUUAAGAUAAUAAUUAAAGUACUGCAGGUAACGAAUAAAAUCUAAAAAAGAAAAAGUAAAUGAAAACAAUAAAAAAACUGACCACAGCUUCCUUGAUCUUUAACUUCAGCGACAGCUCCUUUCUUCCUCCAAUCAACAGAGUCCGGCAACGCCUCGCCGACACGUGGCAGAUAACGGUUGCUCCUCUUUGAUUUCAAGGAAGUCCUUUUAGCACCAAAGCGUGCACCCAGAUGCAUGGACCGGUACUCCUCGUUGGUCAAAUCAGCAAACCGGUUCAACCCAACCUUGUAGGUCCGGUUCUCUGAGUUAUGUUCAUCAAUAAACCUAAGAUUUUCCUUAAAGAUCUCAAACCUCUUCUCUUUUUCACCCAAAGCGUUAUAAGCCUUGCCAUGCUUCACGAGCCAGGCCUCGAACAUAGCCAUAACCUCAUCGUCGGUCCUCCAGCUGCUAGAUUUUGACUCAUGGGUUUUAUCAUAAGAUACAAUCGACAUGUCCAAGGCAGAUGAAACAGUGAAGAGAAAAAGUAAAAACAUGGCCAUGGUUGGUGAUCUAAACAAACCCAUCUUUUGAGAAAAGAACUUUUUUUUUUUCUUUUUGGGAGAAGAAGAUGGAUUGAUGAGGCAGAGUGUGAGGGUGAGGCAGGUGGUGGGUUAUUAUAAAGGAAAUUGAAGAGGCUAUUAAGUAAAUAAAUUAAAUGAGGAGGUGACAAACGUGGAGUAAAUUUUCAGGAUAUUUUAGUCUAGAGAUAUAUUAUGGGGUAAAUGAGAGCUGACAAAUAAGAAUUGGACAACUAAGAAGCAUGGGGGCGAUAUGCGAUAGGCUGGAGUGAAAAGCAAAGCGACCACUCCACUCGCUUCUGUCCAUACAAAUUUGGAGCGCGGUGUCAGCAAGUAACGAAUUAUCGGGGUUUGGUUUCACGCGCUUCCUUUCUUUUCCUUUCUUUUCUCGUUAAGACCCCUGUACUUUGACUUAAUUAUACUCGUUUUUGUUGUUAGACAAAGUUUAUCAGAAAAUACAAAAUAUCUGAAUGUGUUAAUUGCUGUAUUAAAAAAUCAAUCAAAAUGUUUUUCUUUUUUUUUUAAUAACUUCACUGCACUCCUUAAAGGCCUAAUAUCUCUUUUAAAUACACCAGUUUCUUAUAACUGAAAAAAAAAGACGAGAAAUUAUUGCUCGAUUCCUUUUAAAUGUCCAAAAAAAUUUCUUUACAGCCGAAAAUUCUUUAAAAAUAUGAAAAAUUCUCACCUUCAAUAAAAGAAAAUUAUCUUAGUUGUGACUUUAUUAUAAUAUUUGGUCCAUUAUUUAUAAAAUGGAAAAGAAAAAUCUAAAAUAAAUAUAAAAAAACUUAUUUUUUCGUAUGAUAAAUCUAUAAAUGAUUUUGAAAUUGCUAAAUUUAUAUAGUUAAUUAUAUCACCAUCGCAGGUCUAGCCAAAAUAAGUAGGAAAAUUGUUUAAAAACCCUUAUUCUACUAAAUUUAUGGUAGCUUGACAUCAAACUUGUGAUUUUUAAAUUUAGAUUGAUGUUAUUAUUAUUUUGUUUGAAUACCACAUGUCUGCAUCCAUAUGCGUAUUACAAAAAGAAAAAAAAUAUAUUAAUAUUUAUAGUCAGAAAUUUAUUAAAAUAAUUUAAAUCAAUGUAUUUAUUUAAUUUUGUUAAUUGUUGGAAGAGUUGGCACGCCUGUCAUUUGUAGUCUGUGGGACACAAAAGAUGCCUUCGAUGAACGGGAGACUGAAACUGCUCUUUUGUCUUAUCCGGGACCCACUUAAACGUUUGGAGAUAUUUCUGUAAAUUUGCAUCAAUUAUUCAAUUAUUUCAUCUUCAAUAUUUCUCAUCAAUACCAAACAUGUGGACAGUGGAUGCUCUUUGAUGCGACUUUUUAAUUUAUAUUUUUGACUUUUGUAUUUAUUUAUUUUUUUAUAAUCCUCAGCCGUUUCCUGAUUUUCUAUUUUGUUUAAAAAUGAUAACUAAGCAAAUUCUCAUACCAAAAUAUUCCAUGGGUCCUACUAAUUACCAAAAAAAAAAAAAAAAAACCAAAUUUUCAUUCAGCGAUGAGUAUUGAAUAUGCGACCCCCUUUUAUGUAUCUUAUUUUUCCUGAUAAAUGUUUUAUUUUGUACCCCAAAAAUAAAUGCUGAGUCACCGACCUAUAAUAAUUCAAGUCACACUAACCAAUCACGAACCAACAAAAAAACAAGAAAGCAAAUCCCCUAAACUACUUAAAUGCUUUUCUCAAUCACGUGCAAUUUUGGGAAUUACGUAAAAGUACCCAUUAUAGACAUUAAUUACAUAAUUAGAGUGUCUCAAAUUUUUAUAAUACAAAUUCUAAAUUUUUUAUUCUAAAAAUGUAUCUUAAAUGAUGUGUUAUUAAUUGAGUGGUUGAUAAUUCUUUAUAAGAUUUAAGUGAAUUAAUUAUAUUAUUUCACCAACCACUCAAUUAAUGGCACAUCAUUUAAAAUAAUUUUUUUAAAUAAAAAAUUUAAAAUGUGUAGCAUUACUCUUUUUAUAAUAGGUUCCUCACUAGUAACUCGAAACAAGGGGCAAAACGAACGGUUCCUUUAUUGCUUCCGCAAUCCCCAUUGAACGCUGCGUGAGGUUGCUAAGGCCUGGGAAGGGAACACGAGCAGGUUGUUGAGAACAUUAAUGCUUCAUAGAGUCCUUUCCAGCUUGUUAUCAGCAGUCAAGUUAGAAACGCCUCUCUGCAUUAGUCAAGUUAGAAAUUGAAUUGGUAGAUGAACACCUAACAAUUGUUAAAAUUCUAUUGAGUAUUAAUCAAAUUAAUCUAUUUUUUUUCUAUAGUAGGUACACCACCGAAAUAAUUAGUUAAAGAGUAGCGUACUCCCAUGGCUGAUGGUGAUAUCAUGAAUUCAUGAUUACGAAACAAGCCAAUAUGAACGCAGAGAAUUUAUAAAUAAUUACUAUUUACUACCCAUAAACACGAUUAAAUGUAUCUACCAACUUACCAUAAAAAUAAACAUUUAAGGGGAAAAAAAUCCACGGGUAGAGUACCUCCCGAAUUUUCACAUGAUCCAUCUAUCAAUCGACUUUUCGCUUUCUCUUUCAAUCAGAGCCCCACAAUAAAUAAUUAAGGAACAACAAAGAUGACUUGCUUUUCAAGUAAAUGAUGGGGCCAUAGCAUAGCCCAUGGCCCACCGAAUGUGAAUGGAAUCUCUACGAAUCUUUAUUUAAUAUUAGUUAUUCAGGAAUGGACAAUUUACUGAUGCCAUCGAGGCUGGUAAAUGAUAGGAACGAUUAGAUGGUGAUAACGUCAUUUUCCUUCGAUUUAUACAAGUCAAUUUGUACGUGGCUUGAUUAUUUUCCUUACGUUUUUCUUUUCUUAUUUGCUUUGGAUACUGAACUAUGAUUUUUCAAAACGAACCACACAUUUCGUGUGAAGAUAUUUGCCAAAAUGACAGUUAUAUUUAAUUGGACUUGAUAAUGAUUCAAAUCCGAGUUUGGUAGAAGUUGUAUUAUGUUUAAUUUUAUAAAAUUGAUUUCCAUAUUAAGGAUGUGUUUGAAAUUGAGGUUAAAUAACUAUAAUUUAAAAGUUAUAUUAUUAAAAUAUUUAAUAAAUAUUAAUUGUUGUAAUUUAAAAGUUAUAUUGAUAUAAUUUUUCACUUAUAUAAUGAAAAAAUUAUUAUAUUUUUAAUAAUUUUAUUAAAAUUAUUAUAUAAAAUUUAUAUUUACUAUACAAAAAAAAAAAAAAAAAACUAUGCAAUCCAUAAGUUAUAAAUGGAUUUGUGUGGGAAUCAUAUCUGAAAUUCUAAAAAUCAUAUUCAAAUAUUAGUGAUUUUGAUUUUGUCAAAAUAAAAAUUCAUUAUAAGGCAGAAAAAUAGAAAGACUUAUUUAACUUUUUUUUUUCUUUUGAACAUAGUUACCGUUAAAAAAAAAAAAAUUCAUUAUUGUUCAUUCCACUCCACCUAAAAUGAAAUUAAAUGUUUUCCUCGAGAUUAAGCCUAGACUUCUUAUUUUUAUUGCAAUAGUCAAGCAAAUUUGACUAUCGCUUAAGAAUAAAAAGCCUAAUCUUAAUUAGGUUUAAUAUUAGAACUGAAUCUCUCAAGGAAGGGCAAUAGUAUUAGCAGAGUUAAGGUAUGUUAAAUAUUAAAACAAGUUAAACAAAUUUUUCUAUAUGUUUUUGAAAAAAGAAAUCAUAAUUAGCUGAGCGCGCGUCUUUACUAAUUCAAUAAAAAAAUCAUUUUCAUAAUUUAAACACUUUUGAGUUUAGACAUUAGUUGGAUAACUAUUAAUAAUUAAGUUAUUUUCAUUUAUUUGAUUUAUUUAUUGAGUUAAAAAAUCUCACAUAAUUAACAAAAAUCUAAUUUUAUAUUUAUAACAUUAACAAAAAUGGAAAUACCUGUUAUUAUUAUUCUAAGAAAAAAAAUCAAAAUUGCGGAGUAUUUAUUUAGAUAAGAUGCACACCUUUGAGGAGUAUUUAUUUUGACGUAUCUGGAUAUAUCCAUCAAUCUUUUUAGAUAAAAUACAAGAUAUGCAUUUGUAUGUUAAAAGACCGUAUACGUGGACGGUCUCUGAUCACUCUCCAGUAGUAACUAAUUACAAGAAGCAACAAAUUCUGCUUGCACAUGGAACGAUGGAACGGGACGUCUCCUCUUUUUAUUUUUUAAUGCACUUUUUGAUAGCGAAAUUGAACUUAUUAGAUUCAAAACUCAUGAGUAUGAACCUGGGACCCACUCACCCCGGCUUGUUCUCUUUAUUCACCUUGCUGGGCCCCACUCGGAUGUCUUAUAUCGCUUGCAGUACGGCCCUACUCGUAAUUGACAGUUUGAGACGCGAUCAGCCGUUGAUCAACGAUCAAAUUAUGAAUCAGACGACGAUGGCAAUUGAACACAGAAUUGCAGGUUCUUGGACAGAACUUACAGCAUGAAUGAGGGUGUGAUGGUAAUUUUCGCUUGUAGAGAAUUUGAUCUUUGAUCAUAAUUCUUUCUUCCUUUGUCAAUUUGCUCGAGAGGCGAACUUGUCCACGUCUGUUGAGCUGGCUUAUAAUGUUAAAUACUCACCCGUCUCUCUAUCCAAUACGAAAAUAUUUUUGAUCUCACAUAUCAUGAAUUCAACAAACAAAGCAAGACAGUCAAACCACGCAAUCACUUGGGAAAAAAAUAAAAAAAAAGAUAAACAGAAUCUUGCAUAUUGCCAAAGAAGGCAAAUGCUAUGUUACAAUUAAUGUAACAUAAAUACUUAAUAAUAAUCAUAUAAAUUAUGUGGGUCUAUUAUUUAUGUGGUUGUUGUUGAGUGUGUAUGUUACAUUAAUUGUAACAUAAGGACUCCCACCAAAGAAUAUUAGAAGGGUUAAUGAAGAGCAUAAGUCAUAAAUUUCAAUUAUAGCAGACACGGGCAUCAUAAGGUUAAAAUAUAAGAUUACAUGUGUUAUAAAUGAACAUUCUACCUCGAUAGCUGCAAAAUCUAAUAAUAUAACGCUCAAAAAAUAGAACGUCACCCCCCUAACAGAUUGUGGAAUCAAUUUGCCCAUGAGCUGCCUAAUUAUAAAAAAAUAAAAAAAACUAGUUGAUGAUGAUAAGCACACUAAAUUUUUUGUUCUAUUGGUAACAAAACAUCGCUGGCGAUAUUAAUUUCUCACAUGCCCACUUGGACAAAAAUUUCUUAGACCUACGUUUUCAUCUAUACUCAAGCCUCAUUGAAGUACAAUCAUAAAGUAUAAUACAAUUAACGAUGAACAAAAUGGUUCAACACAAUUUAGUUUUACACCAUGCAGCAACCAACCAUCCGAGCUACAUUAUAUUAUUAUAAGCAAACUAUGUUUAUUCGCCAUACAGAUUACAGACAACAUACUUCACACCUUUUUGCAAACAUCAUCACAUAAACAUAAAAGGAACUUUGAUAUGGAAAUACAAUCAAAUUCAAACUCUGCUUGAUUUGGAGUUGCUCUGUGAAUCAACACCGCAGACAAUAGGCACCGGCAUAAUAUCUUGCUUUUGCCCCCUCUUUGGAAGUUCACAGAUGUAAAUGCCGUCUUCACCCACAAGGUCCUGAAACAGAGAGCUCCCAUCAUGGAAAUCCAUUUCCACCAUCCAUCCUUCUGCAUAAGCCUUCCAGGCCAUUUCUACCAUUGCUCGUUCUGUAAGAUAAUCUUUUUGGCUAACUCAAGUCCAAAAUCCUUCGGGACAUCUGUUGGAACACGCUGCAGUGAUGUACAAAGACUAUUCAGAAGCAACUAUAUAAAUAAAUCAAACUCACUUAAAGAGUCUUUCUACAUUAUGAGCAAAGAUGAUUUACCAGGCUCUUCCGAACCCCUAACCCUGCUUUUGCCGCAAAAUAGGGGUUUCCACACUGGGAAGCUGUUCUCUCUUUCCUUUUAAAAUCAUUAGUUGAUUGAGAUAUUCCAUCCCUAGCUGCAGUCAUAACCCUCAGAAUCAAAUUAACACUAGGUUACAUUUAUCUCACAUAAAUCCACGCACGCAGCUGCAUGACAUUAACAAAUGCACAUAGAAUGGAACAACAUUUAAAUUACGAACAAUAAAGAAUAUUCUAACAGGUACCUUUUCCUGCGCUGAUCUUCUUCUUCUCCUUCAACAUAAUCUUCGUCACUGGCACUGUUAUUACUAGCAUCCUGAUAUUUUUCUUCUUCUUCUUCUUCUUCUUCCUCAUCAUUCUCAACCUUAAUCUCUUCUAUUAAUGUUCUCUUCUGGCAUCCUAUCUCCCAAAUAUUUUAACAUUGAAGUCAUAUUCACCAUUGUAUUGGAACAGUAAAAAGUCUCCAGUAUCUAUAGAAUUAUCUUUAGAAAACUUUCGUCAACCAUUUAGAAAAUACACUCUUUUAUCUCUAUAACCUACAUCCACAUGUCAAAGUUUCCCCAUUUCAUUACUGAGGAAGACCUUCUCAGGUAUCAAUCUCCAAGGAUGCUCUAAUAGCAUCGGGAAUUUUCAUAACAGAGUUUCAUUUUAAUCACAGAAAGAAACUACUUUUUUUUUUUUUUUUAGUUCUUAUUCUUAUGUAAUUUUACUCUUCAUCUUAUGUGAGUUUUAAAAUUCAUGGAGUUAUCUAAACAUAUUUUGAAAUGAAUAUAUGCCUGACAGAGCACUAUUUUCCACGGUUGACUAUAUGACGCCCAAUUUCUGCCGAUAGCUGGAGCAUAGUUCAUGUUGUCAUGAUCCUACUUAUUAUAACCUCACUAAAGAACUAUGAUCCAUCCCAUCAGCUUUUUGCAUGUAUAUAUCAAAAGACACAAUUAAAAGCACACAAAGAAUGUAUACAACAACCCAACCGAAGAAUACGGGGCACAUUGCAAAUGAAAUAAUAUUAAACAGAGGAAAAGGGCUGAUUUUAUUUAUUUAUUUUUAUUUUUUUCAAAUGAGUCACGUACUCUUCUGGAUGGGCCUAACGGAAACUUGAAAUUUUCCCUGAACAUAAUUUAUGGGGCAGUGGGUUUUUUUUUGUAACCUGUUGCUUUCGCUCGUUAAAAGGUCUUUUGUUUUUUUUUUGCCCUUUUUGGGAUUAUUAUUAUAAUUUUUGUCCUCUUUUUUUCUUUGGGCUUUAAAAUGGGAUGAUUUGAAUCCUGAAACAUGCUUGGUGUACAAAUGAAAGAGGCAGAUAAUCUUACUCCUUCUAGUGACUGUUGCCAAUUGCCAUUUUGAUGAGAAUGAAACUGUGUCUGUCUGUACUCUAUUUUUAGCUUGUAGUUCUAGCGCGCGCGCUGUGGGGCCACGUUAUCGACGUGGAUUCUUUUCGGAUAACAUAACUGGUUGAUUAUAUAUAUAUAUAUUUAAAAAAAAAGAAUAAAUUAUAACAAAAAUAUAUCCCUCAAAUUGUACGAGAAAGGUGUUAUUUGGGUGACAAUAGUACCGAAUUUGCAAAUUGGGCUGGAUAAAGUUUCUCUAAUGAUCCAACCCAAAUGAAAAAAAUUAAAGAAAAAAAGUCAAAAAGGAAAUAAAAUCUGUUUUCUUCCUCCGCCAGUUCCCCACCUCUUCCCCCGGAAAGACAUUGUGAAAGAAGCUGCCAGAGAAUAUUAUGUAGAAAUUUCUAAAAAGAAGUAGCUUGAUAGUCAACACAAAAAUUCAAAACUCAAUCAAAUCAAAAGACCAAGCUGAUUUUUUAUUUAUUAUAUUUAGAAAAUAAAGAGAAGUUAGGAGGAAAAAAAAAAAAACAGUAUAAGAGGGUACCAAUCCCAAUUCCCAAAUUUCCAUACAACUUCAUUGAUAAGAUUUACCUUUAGUGUUUGAAAAUUCGAAAUUGGAAUUAUUUCUGCUUGGAAUUUUUCUUUUUGACUUCAGGAAGUAGGCGUUGGACUCUCUUAUGCGCUGAUUAUGAUCUUUUAAUUAAUUUAGCAGACAAGGGAAAGAUUAGCAAACAUUUAUUAGCAAGCCAAAAAUUAAAUUGUAAAUAGUCAACAAAAGAAGAAAGCACGAUUCGAACAGAAUAAUAAAUUGUGUUAAUAGGCGGCCAAUACAUUUACUACUUGUGGAAGAAUAACGGUUGGACACGUGUUCUUUUCUCCUUAUCGAGUCCGAUCCGAGUUUUGGUGUUGCCCGGGACCGGACCGGAUGAGAGAAAUACAAGACCGGAUCCGGGUUAAAACCUGAUUUUUUCGGGUGCGGUCCAGGCUUGAGCCCGGCACCUUCCGGUUUCAGGUUUUGAUCUGAGCUUUCUAAACCUGCAUGUGAUAACUUCAAAUUUUUUUUUUCAUUUCUCUAAUAAUGUAAAUUUAAAAAAAAUAAUAAUCAAAUAAACUCAUUCAAUCUCAAACUUUAAAAAAGAAAAUAGUCAAAUACAAAUAUAUAACACACUAACAAUGCAAAUUUUGCACAAAUGAUAAAUUAAAAUUAUUUCAAUCUACUUUCUAAUACCUAAAUUCAUCCAAUUUCUAACUUAAACUCAUUCAAUCUAUAUAUAAAAUAAAUAAAUUAAAUUCAACAACACAAUAAUCACACAAUAAAUUUAAAUAACAUCCAACAUAUCAUAAAUUCAUAAUUAUAUAUUUAUAUAUAAUAUAUUUAUAUUUUCUUUCUUUUUUUUUAAAUUUAUUAAAAAACCGGGUCCGGUCUGGGUUCCGAAUUUUUGGUGUUGAACCCGGACCCGGGCUCGGAAAUGUCCGGAUUUGAGAAUUUCAAACCCGAGUCUGAUUUUUAUGUGCAUGCGGUCCGAAUUUUGUCCGGACCGGAUUGGCCGGGUCCGGUCCGGGCGGGCUUGUUUGACACCCCUACCCAUAUUCAAGUCAUUUCAUCUUGUGAUCUCAAAGUUUGUCACCCUUUUUGGAGGAAAAUAUAUAUUUUUUCUUCCUUUUGAUGCAAAAUUUCAGAGCAGCAACUUAUAUAAUUGCUGUCUAGGGUCUGAUCGAAUAAUUUGGAAGUAAAUUUUUUUAAUUGAUUUCUUAAGUUCGAAUAUUAGGAUAAUUGAAUCAUUUUUAAGUAAACUUUUUAAUUGAUCUCUUAAGUUCGAAUAUUGGGAUGAUAGGGGGUUAAAUGUAUCAAUUUGAGAUUUUUUUUUCAUCCCUAUAUUAAAAAAUUUAAAUAUAUUCAGCUAAUUGUUUUAUGUCCUUUUUUUCUUUUUCUGCUCCCUUUUUAAUUGGGUUUAUUGCGAUUUGAAAUUUCAUGAUUCAUCUACGCGUUAAUUCCUAUUCUUAUAACUUUUUGCGGUGAAUAAUUUAAUUGCAUAGAAUUGUGAUUUUAAAAUUUUACUCUGUUCUUAAUAGUUCAUUGUAUUUAAAAAAAGAAAGAAAGAAAGAAAACAGCAUUAUAAUUUUGACAGAAUCGGAGAUAAAAUAGAACGUUGAAAGUAGCUAGACGAUAUCAAGACAACUUCAAAUUUCAAAACGAAAAAAACAAAGACAAAGUGCGGCGAGUGAUGAUAUCUUCUUUGCCGUUUCAACUUUUUGUGCAUUAUUUUAUGGUAUAGGAUGUUAUAGGCUUUCGAGGUUUCACGUCGCCUAAUAAUGCCUCUCUCUGUUUUUUGUUCGUAUAGUCUUGAUCUGGGUCUGGGCACAUGCUUUUUCGCUUUGUUUUAAUUUUGAAGAGCUGAGCUCUAUGUUGCCGCCCUAACGUAUAAAUUAUUUUUUUUCACAGAUAAAUUAUAUACAUGUACACAUACAUGUUGACGGAUAAAUAAUAAAGCGAAAGAGGAAAUUUGAUUUGAUUAAUUAUCUCUGCGUGCAUGUCAAUAUUAGUUGUUGGCUUUUUAUUUUUUUACUAGAUAACAAUAUAAACUCUUUCUAAUUUCAACGUCCACUCGUGGCCAUCAUUUUCAACGUCUAAUUGGAAGCAUCCAGGAGCAAUGGGUCAAUGCAUGGUGUGGAGCAGCGGGAUUUCAAAUUCAAUCAGCUGUGUAAAAUGGAUCUGGAAAAUGAAAAUGAAUCCAAGGGUGGUGGUGGUGGUGGUGGGCCAUCAUAACAGGAAGUAGGUUAUUUGACGAAGGAAAGAAAAGAAAAGAGGGAAUCCCGGUACAGCAGCCCCCUCUUCACUGAAUGACUUUUGCAUUAAAAGCUGUUAAAGGUCAACUCUACUUUACUGUCCCCAACUAACCUCUCUCCGAUUUUACCGAGUCAUCGAUUUCCAACGGGUCAUCACAACCUUUUGACCUUAUCCCCCUCAUCAUUUUACACGGUCUCCAAGCGGCUUAUCCCGUUACCGGGACCCACAUCAAUGAGGCAGUCAACAUCCUGACAAAAUCUGCCACCUGGGAUGUUUUUAUUGGAGGUUGGGUUCGACAGGUCAGUCAUUUCUGAUGCCUUGCAUUGCAUUUGCGAGAGGGCAUCAGUUUGACUCGAAUCUAUAACAAAACAAAGCCAAGCGCACCACACCCCCCACUUUUAUCAUCAAAAUCUUUAAUAAGUCAUUGUAUUGUUUCUUUGCUUUUUCCUUUUUCUUUGCUUUCUUUCAUCGUCAUUUUAACAAUUUUUCCUUGCCUUGGACAACAAGAUUUAAAUAGCCUUUGGGCUUUGGCUCUUAUUAGCGCUCGGUUUUAAAAGAAAUGGCCGUGGAGCUGAUGAUGGGUUACGGUUGCGGUGAUAGUUUUGCAGCAGCUGUGAAGAUGGAAGAGAACGCUGUACAAGAAGCUGCAUCCGAAGGUAUGCAGAGCAUUGGUGAGUUCAUAAAAUUAUUGUCUCGAAGUGGUCAAGUACCAUCUGAACAACAAACACAGUACCAAGAAUCUACAUCUUCCUCUCCAACAAAUCUCGAACCUGACAAGGAAAUCAAGGUCGCAGCUGAAGUGGCCGUGAACAAUUUCAAGAAAGUUAUUUCUCUACUUGGUAGACCAAGAACAGGGCAUGCAAGAUUCAGAAGAGCUCCUGUUGGUAGCCCUCCUCCUCCUCCUCCUCCUCCUCAAAAAGAAGAAAAAGUACAUCUUCAAGAACCAGCAGGGCCAUCAGUUCAAUCUACAAAUCAUCUUUCAAAGGAACAAGUUUCUGCCUUCAAGGUUUAUUGCCCUACCCCUGUUCAUCGUCUGCCUCCGUUGCCUCACCAUGUUCAGAAGAGUAAUCCUAAUUCUACGGUGGUGACUAAGUCCGAUCAUGUGCCAAGCAGUAUCAAUUUCUCAGCCUCUGCCACAAAUUCUUUCAUAUCCUCGCUCACAGGCACAGCAGGGGAUACCGACAGCAUACAACCUUCUUUCUCAUCUGGGUUUCAAUUUACCACACCAUCAUCAGCUGGAAAGCCACCUCUGUCUUCUUCCUCGCUCAAGAGAAAGUGCAAUUCCAUGGAUGAUGCUGCUCUCAAGUGUGGCUCAUCUUCAGGGCGCUGCCAUUGCUCCAAGAAGAGGUUGGCUUCAUUUCUUUAACAAUCAAUUUCAUUUGCUCUAUUUUUCGUUUGAUUUAAUUCUGAUUAUGCUUAUGUUAAAUUGAAAACGUGUGCAGAAAAUCAAGGAUUAAGAGAGUGACUAGAGUUCCAGCGAUAAGCUCUAAGAUGGCUGAUAUUCCACCUGAUGAUUACUCCUGGAGAAAGUAUGGCCAGAAACCCAUCAAAGGUUCUCCUCAUCCAAGGUGUGCAAGUGUUAACUGACUCGCUCGGUUCAUUUCUCGAACAUAAUCGUUUCACUACAGCAUCCACUAACACCUCCUCCUAAUGACGCCAUUCGGCAUUAAUUGUGUUUGUCUAGUGGGGCUGAUUGAUUUGACUUUUUCACCUGCUGACAUUAUAAUUCGAGUUGACUCAGGGCCUGAGUGUCUGAAUUCUCAUUAGUUUCUUUGGUGUCUCCAUUUUCAGGGGAUAUUACAAGUGUAGUAGCGUGAGAGGCUGUCCAGCACGCAAACACGUGGAACGUGCACUUGACGAUCCAAUGAUGCUGAUUGUCACAUACGAAGGUGAUCACAACCACGCCUUCGCUGUUCAUGAUGCACCUGCUGCUAUGGUCCUCGAGUCAUCUUAGUCAAACCCAUCCAACGGCCAGAAACAACAUUUCCGAAAAGAUGGAAAUUGCGUGGGGGCAGAUCAGGCGAUCAGCACCGUGCUCGGAUGGUCAACGUAGAUACUGCUGGGCUCUGGCGGUCUUUGGUUUCUCUUUUUUCUUGUUGAAGACUUUUGUUUAAAGAGAUUUAAAAAGAAAUAGUAAAAAGUGUAGAAAAUGUGGAUUUUGUGGGAGUUUGAAUCAUGCAAGUAGUGUUUUUUUUCCUUUUUUUUAAAAAAAAAUUUCUUAUUGUUCUUAUACUCAAAUGGAAUUUAGGCUUUUUUAUGAAUUGUAUCUAUGUACGCGAUGGUGGUGGUGGUGGUGGGGAUCUUGUUAGGAUGCUUACUUUAUUUUAUUCCAAUUUCCACUCGAAUAAUAUGCAAUUUUAAAUGAGAAAAAUGGCGCUGCAGUCAAUGGCACCGAAAAAUGUUUAUUAUUUUAGUGGAGGAUGUGUCGUUUAUGCGACGGUUGACCCUUAGAUAUCUUUUUUAAAGGGUUAGGAUACGUUGUAAUCACAUAAUUUAGGUGAUGAUGUAUUUUUUAUUUUUUAUUAUUUUGCUUGUAAUUCAUUCUUUAUCCUUAGAGCAAGGUGGGAUUGCCCUAUUUUAAUUAUGAUAAAUUUUUUAUAAAAAAAUGGUUGAAGAGAAGGACAAGUCUUGGUGGUGGUUUUGUCAAGUUGCAAUUGGUGUAUUUUCCUCGGGUGCUUUGAGAAUAAAGCGAUAUGUUUCCUUUAAGACUUUCCGAUGAAGCAUUUGUGACAGUGACCCCACCAAAAAUAGAGUGCGAAGACACUGCAAAGUCAAAGUGGCUGGUUUGGUUGAUGAUAAUUCGGCCUCCCCCACUAAUUGCUUACUGCUCUCAUGCACUUUAGAAUUAAUUAUGCUUUAAUGAGGAUUAAUCACAUUUACUUGGUUACUGUAUAGCUGGAUUCAUUUCGAAGAAAUUGGUAGUUCCAAAGACUCGCUAGCAAAAUCUAAGAGAAAGAAUUGGAGAUCUAAGUUGUUUGUCUUUCCAUGCUUUAAUCUGCAUCUGCGUGCGCGCGUGUGUAUAUAUAUAUAUAUAUAUAUGCGGAUAUUUGUAUUUUUCUUAAUGUAAACAUACAUGUUAUUAAAUCGUGCGGUAUAAAAGAAUUAAUUUUUAAUAAAUUAUAAAAUUGUGUAGUUUUAAAAAGUUAAAAAUUAACUAUUUAAAACUUCACAGUUUUAAAAUGUGUUCGUAUAAAAAAAAAAUGAGGACACUCGCAUGAGAGAAGAGAUAUAUAUAUAUAAAAGAAAUAGAGUAGUGGAGAAAAUUUGAAGGGUUAAGUGUGAAGGACUGUAGGGCCUUUUGCAAUUUUUAAAAGCCACACUUGCUCGACAACAUGGCACGGCAUCUAUUGUAACUUGAACCUUUGGCCGUAUUUGAGAUGUCUAUUUUUUAAAAAAAAAUUUAAAAUGAAUUAUUGGCUGACCAAGGAACCUGGUGCAAUUUAAAACUGCCAAUACGUUUGUUUUGUUUCACACUGUUAGUAACUUUUUGAAUUAUUAUGUGUACAGUUCAUUGUUAUAUGGAAUCUGUCUUAAUGUAAACACUUAUUUGUUAAGAGUAUUGAUUAUCUUAGAGCUAUUUUAAAAUAGAAUACAAAUUAUAAUUUCAUACGUAAAGUGGUAAAUAAUAAAAAAUAUAUUAUAAUUUUAAUUGUGUGAUUAUAAAAAUAUGUUCUACCUUAGAGCGAUUCCAACAUAACCAAACACUUGUUAAAUAAUGGUUUGAAAAUCUAUUCAUUUAAAAUCUAUCCUUAUACGAGAAAAGUUACUCUCUUCGACACUUGAACUCGUGCCCUCAAAAUAGGGCUUUAUUGCAUAAAACGAUUCACAUGAUUUGAUGUUUAUAUCACGGUCGAGAACAUGCAUGCGGUUGAGUUUUCCAUUGAGAUUCAAAUGUUCCAUUUUAUUAAUUGGUCAAAAGACCGUUGGUCAGUGCUCCUAAAAUCAAUUCUUCCAGUAUGGAGCACCUUCAUUGAUGAUUAAGUUCAUUUGUAUAGGCUUAUUUUCUUAGUCUAAAUUAUUUAUUAUUGUUAAUUAUGAAUCUUAAAUAAAUAUAAUAUUAUUAAAUAAUAUAACAGUAUUAUUUAAAUAAAAAAUAAAUAUGAUAUUUUUUUUUUAAAUCGGACAUAUUAUAUUUCAAUCAAUAGAAUUAUAUUAUAUUUAAUAACGGAAGGAUAAAAAAGGAAGAGGUGAAAGUGGAUUUCCACUCUUACCUCCCCCAAUCGGAGUGGGAAUCCCACUCUUCACUUAAAAAAUGAGUGGGAUUCAAACAGUGAAACACCAACUCAUCUACUUAAAUAAAUAAAUAAAUAUUGUUGUGGGAGGAAUCUAGACUUACUACUCCCACUUUAAUAAGUAAACAUAACAUUAUGUUAUCUCUUUCUUAGGAAAAAAAAAAUUGAAAAGAAAGCAUACUCUAAAUGAUACACAUGUUAUUGUAUAAUUGCCAAGAUUUCAUACUCAAUUACAGCGAUCAUAAGCAUGGGAUUAGCAAUCCAAACAAACAAAAGCACGAGGAGAUUGUUUUUAUAUCGAUAAUAAAGUCUCUUGAGUAACUUAUAAUUUCCUCUUAAGAAAAAAAAAACACUUAUAACUUGUUUUACAUUGCCUUUUAUGGUGCCAAUGAACAACUAACCGUACGCAUAAUUAUCUAAGGACAGAUUAGGUUCGAGCAUUUUUCUGGGUCAUAAGUAGAGUGUUAUAGACUAUUGAUACUUCUCCAAAAUCAUUUUUUAAGCCCUUGCAUAUUUAAAAACCUUUAUCAAAAUUAUACGGAGGACAUAAUGUAUCUAAUUAAACAUGUUUUGAAUACAUUAUAGAAGUGAUUGUUUUACAGGAAAUCUUUAAAUUAUUAUUUUUGCUAAAGAAGAGAAUAUCUUUAUGAUUAUGGGUUGUGAAUAAUAAGAAAGAAAAUUGAAAGAUUGUGAUUGAAUGGGAAAUUAUUUUAAUUAAAGUUUGCCACUGAAAGCGAAAGGGGUUUUUAAAGCGUUAUAAGAAAUAUAUUUUAUUUUAAAAUAUUUGAAUGGGUAAAUAAAGGGAAGUGUUUUCAAAGAUUUAAAUUGGGGUAUUAAUAGUCAAGAGGUAAACUGGGCUAGCAUGGUUUUGAGCCUAGGCCCACAAGUCCGUGUCGUAACUUGGUUUUUCAAGAACAACGAAACCUAAGGGCCGCUUUAAGUUUCAACACCAUGGGUCAAUCUCAUAUCAUUUGGCCCAGGUCCAGUCAAACGCAAAUUCCAGAAAUGGGCCUUCGGAAUGGGAAUUCUGUUAUGUGUUUUCAAUAAGUUUUGAGCUCACAUACUUAUUCUCAUUCCUUUUCUAAAUAAAUAACCAGUUCAAUUAUUGGGAUUCCGGAACGUGAUUUUUUAAUUUUCUAUUUUAAAUUAAGUAGAGCCAAUUACAAUAUGUGCUUUAAUAUUUUAUUUCUAUACUGAAGUAGAUUUGCCCUUUUUUUUAAUUAUUUUUAUAAUCUUUUGAUUAAUAAAAAUCUCAUUUAUUUUGUUCCCAUAUUUUCUUUACCCUCUUUAUCCUUAACCUUUGGAUUUAUCUUUUAACCUUUGAAUUAUAGCCAUAUCUAACCAUCACCAAGUCGGAUUUAUUCGAUGGGGUGAGUCACUGCCCCACAUCAAACUUAAAUUUACAGUCCGCUUCCGCUCCUACUUCGUCAAUUACCCAAUUUAUGUUCCCAUUAAAACAGUACAUUACUUGCAUCUCAAAUUAUACCCAACUGUGAACUCACAUGGCACCGUCCAUACCUGUGGGUCAAAAAGAAUUCCCCCAACAUAACUUGACAGGUGUGACACACAAGAAAAAUUAAAAGAAGAGCUAAAACAUAAAAGCAGCAGACUAGAGAGUGGGACUCACAGGCAGGAGGGGCCCUUACUUGCCUUGCCGGAACACCAAUCAUAAAGAGUAUGCUGGUAACCGUACACAUUAAAAGAUUUAGAUAUUAAGAGCUGAUACUUCUUUCAAUUGUUUUUUUUUCGCCCACUCCCUUUCCCUUCACGUGAUUCUAACCGAGUGUGCAGUCCCAGCCAGCUGCUUCUUAUCAGCUCUUACAAUGACAUUACAUGCUUUGUCACGUAACUGAAACCUUCCAUCACCGUCUCUCCCCUUUCUCUCAAGUCUCUGUCCUGUCAAGGGAAUGAAAUGGACCUGUAAUAGUUACUUUUUACGGCGAAAGGUCAAAUAAACUGAGAAGAGGAAGAAGAGUGCCCCUGUUUCCUGUUUCAGUUUUCAUCACACUAACCAAACACCAUGUCCAUUAGAAGAAAACCCCUUCUUCCACAGUUGUUAUUUUUCCUAUCAAAUACUUUUCUGUUGAUUACAUCUUGUUCUGCUUCUCGUUCUGCAUCUGCAGUGAACUCACUGCUGCCGUCUGAUGCACAAGUGCUACUGGCAUUCAAAGCAAAAGCCGAUUUGAGAAACCACCUCUUGUUUUCACAAAACAAAAGCUUGCAUUUUUGUCAAUGGCAAGGUGUCAUAUGUUACCAACAAAAAGUGGUGCGAGUAGUUCUCCAAGGCCUGGAUCUUGGCGGCAUUUUUGCUCCCAACUCAUUGACUAAACUUGACCAGCUCCGAGUCCUGAGUCUACAGAACAACUCACUCACUGGACCCGUUCCCGACCUCUCGGGCGUCGUUAAUCUCAAAUCUCUCUUUCUUGAUCACAACUUCUUUACAGGUUCUUUCCCUCCUUCACUCUUCUCUCUUCAUCGACUUAAGACCUUGGAUUUAUCUUAUAACAAUCUGUCGGGACCAUUGCCAAAAGAAUUAGCUUCACAAGGCCGGUUAUACUCUCUGCGUCUUGAUGUGAACCGGUUUAACGGUUCGAUUCCUCCAUUGAACCAAUCCUCUCUCAAAAUAUUCAACGUUUCUGGUAACAACUUCACUGGCGCUAUACCGGUGACAUCCACGCUGUCACGUUUUGGUAUCUCCUCUUUUCUUUUUAACCCUAGCUUAUGUGGCGAGAUUAUUCACAAAGAAUGCAACCCCAGGCCACCCUUUUUUGGGCCAUCAGCGACGGCUGCAGCGGCUCCACCGCCAGUGACUGUUCUUGGGCAACAGAGCGCACAGAUGCAUGGUGUUGAGUUGACUCAACCGAGCCCUAGGAGCCACAAAAAAACUGCAGUCAUCAUCGGUUUCUCAUCUGGAGUCCUUGUUUUGAUAUGUUCACUUGUUUUGUUUGCAAUGGCUGUGAAGAAACAGAAACAGAGGAAAGAUAAAAAAUCAAAGGCUAUGAUUGCAUCGGAUGAAGCGGCGGCAACGGCUCAAGCUUUAGCCAUGAUUCAAAUAGAGCAAGAGAAUGAGUUGCAGGAGAAGGUGAAGAGAGCACAAGGGAUCCAAGUGGCCAAGAGUGGAAACUUAGUAUUCUGUGCGGGCGAGGCACAGCUGUAUACGCUGGACCAGCUGAUGAGGGCUUCUGCUGAGUUGCUUGGGAAAGGGUCUCUGGGGACCACGUACAAGGCAGUGUUGGACAACCGUCUGAUUGUUUGCGUGAAGCGGCUUGAUGCAAGCAAAUUAGCAGGCACAAGCAAUGAAAUGUAUGAGCAGCAUAUGGAAUCAGUUGGUGGACUCAGGCAUCCAAAUCUUGUGCCGCUCAGAGCUUAUUUUCAGGCCAAGGAGGAGAGACUCCUUAUCUAUGAUUAUCAGCCCAAUGGCAGUCUCUUCUCGCUCAUACACGGUAAGUUCCUUUGCUCUUGAUUUUUUUUUUGUUUUUUUUCAUGUGUGGUGCAAUUACUCAGUGAGUGAGCCCAUUAGGUGAUUGGACUCGAUCUUGACUCGGUUUGACCGCGGUGACCCCUAGAAUAUGUAGCCACGUAGGAUUUUAAUUUGCAAUCGAAAUUAUUAUUAUUAUUCUAAUUUGGGGUUGUUUAUUAAAUAUAUUAUACAAGUGAAAGUGAUCCUUAAGAAAAGCAUAAUUACGUGCCUGAUCAGUUUGGCAUCGGUUAUAUCAUAGAUUUUCACGAGCAGCGAGAAUCUUGCUGCUGAUUGACAUUGGGAAUUGAAAUGAUUUAUUGCGUUCAAUUAUUUUAAUCAACAGUGGAAAGUACUCUACUCUUUUUACCUAACCAAAAUGCAGCGGCGCUGGGGAGACAAUUCAAAAAUCAAACCUGAAUUCAAGUGGAGAGUAACGUAGUAGUUUUGCAAUUAUUAGUGUAGUGGGUCCCACGUGGAUUGCCUGCGGACUCGGUCAAUUCGUAUUCUUUAUCCGAUGGUGAAUCGAAAAAUCCAACGCACCAUCUCUCUAGAUGAACUAAAUAAUAUUACGCGCAGGGAUGCGCGCAUGAACACACACACUUUUGUUGCUUUGUCCCAUUAUGGAGGCAGAAUCUCUGUUGAGUUAAUAAUAAUGAUAUGAUUACGUCCGAAAUGGCCAAUUGCAGGUUCAAAAUCAACAAGAGCAAAGCCACUACACUGGACUUCAUGCUUGAAAAUAGCGGAGGACGUGGCACAAGGCCUCUCUUAUAUUCACCAAGCAUGGAGACUCGUCCAUGGCAAUCUCAAGUCCUCUAAUGUGCUCCUUGGCCCUGAUUUCGAGGCAUGUCUCGCUGACUAUUGCCUCACUGCCCUCACGGCCGAUUCAUUGCAGGAUGAUGACCCUGAUAACUUGUUGUACAAAGCACCCGAGACUCGCAAUGCAAGUCACCAAGCAACCUCAAAAUCUGAUGUCUAUUCAUUUGGAGUAUUGUUGCUGGAGCUUUUAACUGGAAAGCCUCCAUCACAGCACUCAUUUUUGGUGCCUAAUGAAAUGAUGAAUUGGGUUAGAUCCGCCAGGGAAGAUGAUGGCGCCGAAGAUGAGAGAUUAGGUAUGCUUCUUGAGGUGGCGAUUGCUUGUAAUUCGGCCUCGCCAGAACAAAGGCCCACUAUGUGGCAAGUAUUGAAGAUGUUACAGGAGAUUAAAGGAGCUGUAUUAAUGGAGGAUGGUGAAUUGGACCCACUCUCUGGGAUCUCGUAGUUAUAUCGUUGUUGUAGUAACAUUUGUUCUUAGGCAAAUCAGCAAAUAUAUAGUGUCCGUAGCUAGAUGAAUGGAAUUUACCCAACUAUUUAGUUACUUUUUCUUUUAACAUUAACUACUUGGUUCUUUUUCCUUUUUUUUUUUUCCCAACUAUUUAGUUACUUUUUCUUUUAACAUUAACUACUUGGUUCUUUUUCCUUUUUUUUUUUUUUCUUAAAAUUAAUUCCUCGUCUCGGUUUACCACAUUGUUAUGGUGGGUUCGUAGUUUUGGAUAAUCUCUUCCUAACAAAAUUUUCAUCGAAGAAGAGUUUUCUAAUCACAAAUUUUCCUAAAAUAAAGGAAUUACUAACAAAUAAUAAACUACAAACCCUCCUAAAAUCAAUAUACAAAUCCGUUUAAAAAGAUGGGGUCUUGCACUCAAUUUAGCUUGAAUGGUGUUUACAGAUGCUCUAAGAUAGCCAAAUCUUAAAGGAUGAACCUAAAUUUCCUAAAAAAGUUUACUCCUUAUUGCACUUGUAUUAUUGAAUUGGAAGCCGUGAUAGAACCAUUUGUAAAUUAAUAUUAGUGAGGUCCAUCUAUGUUGUUGGAUAUGUUCUAAUUAACUUGGAGCAUCUCUAUCAUAAGAAAUCUCGUUUUUUUGCCAAAUUUUAAUAAUUUGCCGUUGAUUGCAUCAUCUUUUAAUUUUUACUUUUUAGCAUUUUUUUAAUAUACAAUACAAUUUUCAAAAAGUUACAUCAGCCAAUAGAAAUACAUAAUCAAAGCUCAACAUACAUAAGAACAAAGACAUACGAAGCCGAGCACCCAAAAAAAAAAAAAACUCAACUGUUUAGUAGAUUCGGACACUCAAGCCCUCCAUUUUAAAAUAAAAGGGAAGAAGUGCCAACUUGCAUGUUAAUAAUUUUAGUUUGACAAUAGAUAUAUAAUUGGAGUAAGAGUGGGAAUCGGGUUUAACAAGAAGAAAGAUAGGUCUUUGUAUCGAAUAUAUUAAAGGACUGUAAAAAUGAGAGCCCACAGAGUGUCUUGAAACCCAAAGUUAAAAAGAGGCCCGCCUCGUGAGAAAUUCGAACCCGAAUUCGGCAAUGAAUCCAAGUAACGUACAUGGACAUCAUCAUUGACAUACAAGUGGAAAAAGAGAGAGUGGUGCGCUGUUGCAGAAUUUGCUGGAAUCAUCAUCUAGCACAGAUAACACAAAAAUAAACAUAUAAAUAUCUCAGGGUAUUCCUGCAGGUAAUUUGAUGAUUGAGCUGGAGAAGGUUAUAAGAUGAGAGAUGACAUGGAUCUUCGUUCUGACACCGACAUAAUGGAAACUGACUCCGCCUCUGCCGCCGCCACAGCCACGGCCGCCGAAACGCAGCAGCAUCUGCGGCAAGUCCAAGACGUCGACCUAAGAGAGCUGCUCGCGUUGGCUCGCCAGCUCAUCAAUCAAGGCAGGCCUUCUCAGGCUCUCCAGGCGGUAAUAAAUCCUUUUUUUGUUUUAAAUUUUCUUUGUAAAAAAAAAAAAAAACUGUUACGAUUGUCAGUCAAUAUGACUUGACGUCCACAACAUUGAUUCCUGAUUUUCUUUUACAACAUCUUUCGCGUAUUAAGGAAUAGGGAUGUAUUCAUAUUCAAAAUAAUGAAUGUGGUAUGGCCACUUUAGCCAGUGGAUUUUAUUUUAUUAUUUAAUUAAUGGUCGAAACAGGUGGUGAUGGCGAUGAGAACCAGAGGUGGGGAGGAAGCUGUAUUUCGAUCACUGCACCGUGCGCGCGAAUUGUACAGAAAUAGAAUGCAAGAGAACACUGCCAUGGAUCAGCUGGCUGCUUUAUUUGCUGAAUGUGCCAUUGCUGAAGCCCAGCCCCUGGCUGUUGAACCAUCACCAUGCGAAAUAGCUAGUUCAUCAACUGUACCGGAUGCUGAUGGCUCUUCUAUACUUGCAGAAACUGGAAGAACGCAGAUUGUGCUGGAUGCAUUCUCAGAUGGAAGCAGCUUUGUAUGUUUACAGUGUGGGGGUCUUGUUAGUAAUCAUCGAAAAGAGGAGCACUAUGCAUAUUGGUGUUGCAAACUCUGAUUCGGAGGUAUAUGGCAUUAAUAUUUUUGCUCUUUCUUCACCUCGAUGCACCUACUAAGCUAUUGCCCUACUUGAAUUGCAAUUGACUGCAUUAUGUGAGUAUACACUAAUGUCAAUUAUCCUGGCUCUGGUCGCUGACUGGCAAUCCGGUGCCACUUCUAGGAUAUGUUUAGAGGUCAUGCUUCCGUCUGCAGAGGAGUCUAUAUUGAAACCAUGUUCCCCUUUAAGUGUAGUGUCGAAUCUCUACUCUUGCAGUGAUUAAAUUGCAUCAUCAUUGUAGAUAAAUGCAAGUAAAAAUUACCAUCAAGCGGUUUUUAAAGCUCUGAACUAUAAUAGUAUAUUACUAUAUCUAUACUUUGUAAUAUAAGAUUUUGAGGAUGGCGUGCUUUUAUUCCUGGAGGUCUUCCGUCUUUUACGGCCCCAAAACCCAACACCACCUGCUCGGCUGCAUUCACUGAUAUUCAGCUAUCUAGUACAUUAAUUACUUCAAGACUGCGCGUUCAGAGUUCGCUAAUUUGAUUAUAUCCCUCCCUUGUGUCUUAAUUACUAGAUAUUCAGCUAUCUAGUACAUUAAUUACUUCAAGACUGCGCAUUCAGAGUUCGCUAAUUUGAUUAUAUCACUCCCUUGUGUCUUUCUCUCUCUUCGUCAUGCAAUAGUGUUUUGGACAUGAGCAAUGAAAUCUAGCUCAUAUGCUGCUGAAAAAGAAACGAGGAAGUGCAAGAAUAAAUCAAGCAUGAGUCAUCAGUUAUGACGGGAUGGAAUAGUUGGUGCCCUGUGGCCGGUAAUUUGUCUGUGGACUUGUUGAUGCUUUUGAAACUUGAAUGCUUUUUCGUGGAUUGUUGGGUGCAUUAUUGAUUGGAUUCGAUCAUCUUGAGAGAAAAAAUAGACUUUUUCUCCCUGAUUUUAAUUGAUGGGAGUGGAAGAGUAGAAGGAAGAGAUUAGAUAACUCCAUUUUGUAGAGAAUUAAUGCAAUUGGAUGUUACUAUAAAUGUCUUCAUAUUCAGCGUAAUGUUUCCCUCCCCAUACCUUAGACCAUCUGCGGGUUGUUUUGAAAACUCGGACAAUGACAUAUGGAGAAUUCAUUAAUGGUGUGUUUAGUUGAGGGUUUAGGGAAUGGAAAUGAAAUUUAUGUUUACUUGUUAAAAUGUAAUUUGGGAACGAGAAUAAAAUGUGUGAGUCUCAUAUAAUUUGAGAAUAAAGAAUUCCAUUCCCAUGGAGGGUUGGGAAUAAGGAUUCUUAUUCCCUGAACUGAUUUUUGUAUUCGUUUAAUUUUUUCAUAUUUUUUGAAUUAUUCUCGUUCAAAUCACAAUUAAUUUUAUUAUUUUAAAUGUCGUUAUUAUUAUUAUUAUUAAAAAUUAUUAUUAAUUUUAUUAUUUUAGUUAUUAUUAAUUAUUUUUAUUAAUAUUAUCAUUAUUAACAUUUAUUAUUAUUAAUUUUAUUUUUAUAAUAAUAUUUAUACAUGUAUCUAGUUAAUGAAAAUUACAUUAUUUAAUACUAUAAGUAUUUUGGUAAAUUAAUUCUCAUUUAUAUUCUUUAUUUUUAUUUAUUUUGUCAAGUAAACACAUUAAUGACAUUCCAUUAUAUUUUUAUUCUCAUUUAUUUUUGUCAAGUAAAUAUUAAAAUCUCAUUCUCAUUUCUAUUUCCAUUCCUCAUUCCCUAUUUCUAUUCUCAGUCCAUUCUUAUUUCACCUCAUUCGCAGAAGUAAAGAAUAAUACAUCCUUUAUAUGGGUAGUGAUAUUAAUUUCAGUAGUCAGUUAUCCCAGAAGAUCUUGAUGCUAGGAAGAAUUCCCCAAAACCUAUCAGAGCUACAGUGGAAAAAGGUCUAAAUGACCAUUUCUGUAUAUUUGUACAUUCGUUCAAAGAAAACAGAAAAAGUAAAUGGAGGAGUGAAGACCAGUGCGUUCCAGCUGGAAAUGAUUUAAGCGUCGUAGGAGCAAGACUCCUUGAGGUACAACCUGUACAGUAUGUGAGUUGGUAAUUUGCGGUAGAAGAUGGAAUAGUCAAGGUUGACUCACGGUAUAAACUAAAAUACAGCUUAUUUAUUAAGGUGGUCGAAAAUUUAGUCAAUUCUUUUUCAUAAGUGUUAGUACCACUUGGCCCGUGCCCUUGGUCAGCUUGGUAUCAAAUAUACAACACUUGUUUGUUAUUACAAAUAUCUGGUAAAAUAUUGAUUUUGAGUUUUCACAAAGUACAUUUGUAAGAUAAGUGCAUUUGUAAGGACUAAUGUCUCAAGGGAUGACAAAAAUAUAAUAACAUCGUUAUGCUGGGAAGUGGAAAUGGAAUGAAAUGGCGAAUAUUGAGAAAAUAAUUUUCUUUCACUAUAAUGAGAUAGUAGUUGCUACCGACAAAAUCAAUAUUGCGCUUACACUCAAUAAAACCCAAAAUUAAUUAGACUGAAUACUAUUUCACCAAAAAAAAAAGGAAGAAAAAAUGGAUAUAUCAGACUAGACUGGACCUUCGUACAGAUGUCUGUGCGCUUGGGGUGUCUUUCAUCCCUCAAAAAAGUGUUGUUAUUGAUAGAAACUGCGAGUGUCACUUCUUCACCACCCGUGUAAUCUCAUGUAUCUAGCACCUUCUGGCAAAUUUGCGGUGAACCACCAACGACAAGAACACUACUAUACACAAUGUACUCCUAUUGCAUUAAUCACAGCCAAAAUUUCCAAUCUUCAUAAACCUGACUUUUCCAUCCGAGCUCCUUGAAGCUCUUCACUCUGUAUCCAUCAAGAGAAAGUGUAAGAUUCUGUUGUAUGUAAGCUAUGAGCAAUAUCAAGGCCAACCAGAUAUCAUGCCUGACGUCCCAACCAUAAUAUUUUUCAUGUAGUACUUGACAUCUGAAAUUAUAUUUUGUUUCUGACUAUCUUUUCAAAACAUUCUGCAACUAUCUUGACAUGAGUGAAGAAGUUUGCUCAUAGCCAUCGUAUCGACAUGUAAUAUUACCAGAACAAAUAGAAUUUAGCCCGAUACUUUUUAGUCAUAGGUGAAGAUAACAAUGUGAUAAAUACUAGCCCCAAUGAUGUAGACUACAUUAAGUAUAUGACUGGAAAUAGAUGUAAAGAAUACAUUACCUGCACUCCUUUUGUGGCUCGUCCGUGCACCAUGGGUUGUGAUCAUACUCGUGCAGAGAUUAGUAUAGGUAUAGCAAGAUUAAGCUUGUGACCAGGACCACAGAAUAUCACCCUGCAUGUGGCAGGGCCCGUGGACGAGGCUUUGCCCUCACAAUUGUUUCAUCACUGUGACGGAUCCAUUCUGAGAGUCUCCAUGGCUUUUGCCACUUCCAUUUAAAUUGCAAAAGCCAUUGGUGGUGACUUCUCUUCCAUCUCCAUAAUUUUCCACCCUGUCCUAGGGCUGCUAAUUUUUUCAUUGACAACUGCCCAAGGGGUACCCUCUGAGCUAACACAAAACCUGCUUAUGUCAGCCAAAGUAGGAAGGUGGAUAUCAAUCUAAUAAUAAAGGAUGGAAAAGGACUUUAACCUUUCUGUUUUGAUUUAUAAAUGCUGCUGACUCUCUUAUUGAGCCAUUGGCAAUGCCCGGUGUAUAUUUCAGUUGCUUCUGUGCCGGGACAGACAUUGGGGAGGGAGGACCACUCGUAUCAUCAGCAAAGUGUUCAAGUGAAUUGUGCAAGUUCCCCUGUCCAUGGCCAGGAAUGAAGAGUUAGAUGCACAAUAAUAAAAGUUUAGCAACACAAACUCUAGAAUGCUGAACACACUUCCAUCCAAUAUUAAGAAAACCAUUAAAAUGAACACAAUUUCUUGGCAAACCUAUAGACAGGCCUCAAAAGUCCUAGAAUUUUGUCAAAAAUCAUCUCAAUGUGUGCUUUCCGAUAGAGUAGUCUUCAUUUGUAGACUGAUAAAGUUCUAAAAGUUUUUAUAUGAUGCAUAAGAACAAAACUCAAGUGACGUCUAAUCUCACCGAAGCCGAUCUAGCCAGUGUGAUUGCAACAGCCUGUUCUCUCAAUUUUAGCUCCUCCUCCACUUCCUUUCUUCUUACCUCACUCUGUCGCAACAGACCAACAAGUUCUUUUAGUUGCUCUUUCAUUUCCUUGAUCUCUAUAUCUUUCUCCCACAGUUGACACCUGUUGCAAAUGCACAAGGGGCUAUUUAGAAUUGACCUCUAAUCACAGAAUUCAAAUAAGAGAAUGUACAUGUUCUGUGAAAUCUUUAUGGUUUAAGCAUAUAAAUCAAUGGCCCCCUGAUUAAAGGAAUUCUUUUAAUAAAUUCCAUUUAAUGUAUCCUUAACCAGAUCUACCGUUAGAGAUGCAUAUCACUCUCUGGAAUUCCAAUCAAUUUUGAGCACGGUUAAUCUAGUAGAUUUGUAUAAAUCAUGGAACUAAAGGUAUCAAUAUCCAAAAAAAGUCUGAAACUGAAAAAAGAUAAAAUAAAAUAAUUUGGGUUAUAUUUAUUUAAUAGAAAGCACCUUGCAUCUGCUAGAGAAUUGAACAUGUAUUGAAGCAAGUUCUUAGCAUCAGCCAUUGAACGCAACUGAUUCCAACGUCCACGGUUAGUGAAGAGACGGUCCCGCUCUUCUGCCUCUGAAAGUUGUGAAGCCAUUGCUACAAGUGAAUUAGAUGAUAUGCUCAGCAUAUUCUCAAGUGAAGAUAUUCGGGCCAUUCUUGCAUUUGGUGACAUAGAGGACACUCUGAACAAGCAAUUAAAUCAUGUUAACACGUCAAGCCAUUCUUCAUCAUUCCCAGACCAUCAAAAUGGAAAUAAUUUGGGGUGAAUAAAUAACUUUCACAACUUAUACCUAGCAAAUCCAUUCUUUCCCCUCGGAGGACUGAGUCCCUUUGAAGCAAACUCAUCCACUUGCUUCAGCACUGCCAACUCUUCCGCCAGUGCAGCUCGUCUGCAGAUUAUUUGUGUUAGCAUAAAGAAAGACGUUUUAAUUCAUAUUGGAAACAAAUAUAAAUAAUGAACCUACACUUGGCUCUGCUUCUCAUAUUCAAAACGAACUUCAUGCACAUUCACCAUGACCUCUAGCUCAUGGUCAAGCCACCGUUGAAAGGAUUUCUCAUUGCUCUACAUAUAUCAAUUAAUUCAAAAGUAUUAAUGAGAAUUAUACACAUUUAUUAAAAAUAAAACUUAUCAGUAAAAGAGAAAGCAAAGAUCAUUACCUGCCCAUUUGUUAAAUUUCCAUUUGUGACAGCUGGAAGAUAGCAUGAAAUUAGAUAAAUUGAGUAUAAAAGCAGAGGCCCAUGGUCUAAAAAUGCCAUGUAUCUGGUAAACAAAUAGCCCCUCCAGUAUAGUAACCAUUGAUCAAGUAUGUGAUGAAGAGUGAUGGAUUUUCUAAUCUUUAUAUAAGAGGUGCUGUAUGUUUACCUGAGACAAGGGCUUUCUAGUCAUCAGCCAUAAAAGGGUAAAACUGAAAGUGAAAAGUUUACCUGAAUUCUCACGGGCAGAAGAUUUACGUGAUUCCAACAACUCUUUUAGCCUCUUGGUGGCCAUUGCAGCCUCUUCAGUCUUUCUCUGAAGAACCUGCAUGAAAGAAAUUUGUUCCAGUUAACAGUUUAUUUCUAAUACGUAUAAAUCACGGAGACUUAUGAAGCCUUUUCUACCUAAGCAAUGGACUAGACUAAUAAUUUUAUUUUAUUUUUUAUUUUUUGAACAGAGUAAUACUUGAAAUGGACUCAACUAGAAUGGGCUCCACUUUUUCUUUCUUGAGGUCAAUUCGUUCCUUAUUAGAUUAUUUUGAAAUAUCAACUCAGGAAUUAGAACAUACUGAAUUUCAAUUAUAAUAUUUUGGGCAAUUCGGCAUUUAAAGCGAAACUUCCAUAAUAGGUUCUUAACUUGUCAAAGUGAAACAGCCUUAAAUAUGAUAGCAGUAACUGAACAUGCCAAAAAGUCGGAAACAUAGCAAACAGGGUUUGAGGGAGACAAACCCAUGAUAAGAAUCUAGCUGAUAAAACAAAUUUGAAGAAGCAGCAAACAUAUAUAAUGAAAAUUGGAAUUGAGGCCAGAUAGUUUGCUUUCUUAGACUUUUUGCUAUUAUCUGCUGUUUUCACCACAUUAUGAGGGCAAAGUCAGGAUGGAAAUCUUAAGAGGCAAAUAAAUUGCUACAUUCAGUGGUACAUUCUUCUUGGAAAUAUUAUUGAGAUAGAUUCAUAACAUAAGCAAGCAGGAAAGAUUUGCUCACCAAUUUCUGGCGUUGGUUCAAAGCUUGCAGCUUAUGCCUUUCAUACUCAUUUCUUCUUCCCUCCUUACGUAACUGCUUUCAUCGAUAUGUGAAUAAAUAAGUUAACAUACAUACAUACAUGCAGACAAUAUCUUCAUAAAGUUUACAGAUCUGAAGCAUACUCUAUACAUACUUUGUUUAAUUGUUUUGUUUGCGUUACCUUAUUCAAAUAUCUAAAGUAUAACUAAUCCGUAGGUUCUCUUAUUUAACCUCCUAAAAAAAAAGGUUCUCCUUCAGGAUGAAUAAAAUAUAAAACAGCUUUGGCAAUUAGUAAAUUUGACUACACAUUAUCAUAUGACUUUAUGCAGGGGUGAAUCCAAGCUUGCUCAGCUUGCUGAAUCUUUUAAUUCAAAUUAUUUAUUGGCAGUCAACCAGCUGCUAGAAUUCUUAAAAACGAAUUUAUAAUACUGAGUACUGCCACCGGGAGUUUAGGGUUUAAAGGAACAAAAGUGCAUGCAACAAAAUUGCAACUACAUAACAUUGUGCAAAGAUGAGAAUGAGUUUUGUAGUUUGCAGGCUUAACUACCUAAAGUAGAAUUUCAACAGUAUUGUCAGAAAGACCAAACCACGCCCCUUAAAGUUACAAACAAGUAGUAACAAAGAUACAAACGAAAAAUGUGUUCUGUAUAAAAAGAGAAUUCAAUGGAUCCCAACUAUUCCUGCUCCACCCAAUAAUCUUCCCUUACAUAAAAUCGAAUGGACAUAUAUCAUUUACCGGAAUGAGCAUAAAAGAUAAUGAUACUGCAUGUCUUUUCCAAAUUAUUUGUUUCACAGAACAAGUAAAGCACCUGCAAAAGUUCCUUCUCUCGAGAAGCCUUCCACUGUCGGAAUUGUUCAGCUUCUUGUUUUAUCCUAUGUUGCAAUUGAACCUACACAAAGAUGCAAGGGAACAAGAAGAAGAAAAUCAGCAGUGGACAGAGUAGAGACAACAAAAAAGGACUGAAAAUAACACGAUGCAUUAAAAGCCAAAGUGACAGUUAACCUUUUGAGCCUUUAUAAAUUGAAUUUCAUCUUGCAACCGCUUUGCUGCUUCAUCACUCUUUUGUUUCUGCUUUAAAAGUUGAACCUGGCUCUCCUGUUUUUUCUUGAGAUCCAGAAUCUGUUGUGCAUAGAUUAUGAAGACUGUUUACUACUUGAAUUAAGUUGUGAUAUUUAUAUGGAAUUGUGACAAAAGCCAACAUUACCUGUGCCUCAAGUGAUUUUAAUUUAUGGGCAUGUACAUCUUGCAAUUUUUGUGUUUGCCCAUCAGAAUUUGAGGCAAGAUUUUCAAUUUCAGUCAGCAAAUGAUCUCUUUCUUUCUGCAGCAAUAAAACAGGUGUGCAGAUGAGUCAUCUGUUAUUUCAAGGAGUGUGAAAAUUGAAGAACAGUUCAAUAAACUUCUUUUUGACCUGCACAGUUCGUUUUUCAUCCUCUAGUUCUGCUAUUUUCUUCCCAAAAUGUUGCUUGAGUGCUGCAGUGUCAGAGCCACCAACAAGUUUCAUCUCUGACUGCACAGACAUUAUAUGUAAAUUAUGAAGGGUGCUGAUGACUUCUUUGUCCAAAUGAUUUGCAAAAGUUGAAGAUAUACAGAAGAAAUGUCAGAAUGUAGAAGAAAAUUACUCCAGAAUCAUGAACCAGCCAACAGUUCUUAAGAUUUUUCUUUAAACAGAGGUAAAAUUCCAGGAAAAAAAAUGAAAAUAAAAAAAGAAAAAAAGAAAAAUCAUCAAAUAUUUUUUCAUGGGAAUCCAAACUGGGCCAGACUAUCUUCCAGAUGAUUGAGGAAGGAUGAGAUUAAAUGGAAGUACAUUACCCUUAUUAUCUCAUGCUAUGCUGUGUAAGAAGUUUAUGAAGUAAGAAUACACAGUUCCGAAAAUUGCCAAAUACUAGGAAUAAAAACAUAAAAAAUAUAUAUUCUGAUGAAAAGUACCUCUUUCUCCUCCAAACGCCUGUUCAAUUCAUUCAACUCUUUGUCCAUAGAAUUCUGUAGAAGUGUGUGCUCCCACUCCUUUGCGACUUCAUCAAUUUCUCUGGAAUCACCUGCCAAAAUUGACAUUGUAUUCUCAAUGUCAUAGAUCCAUUGAAAGGAAACUUGAAUUCACAAUAUCUGAAAGAGAAACUGAUUCAAUCCAAUAGAUGAAAGAACAAGUAGAAGACUGGAAGUCAUUUUGAAGCUUACCCAGUUUACCAAUGAUUACAGACAUUUUACCUAAUUACUAUAUCAGAGAAGUUUCAUACCUGUUAUAUUUUCACCCAUUUGAUAAUCAGUUUGCUCAAUACUAUUCAAGCUCCUUUUAAGCCCAUCACUUUUCAGAGGACAAGGACUACCAUCCUGAAAGAUGAAGUAUCAAUUUCACACGUAUAGUGAAUCAUCCAUUGAUCAAGCCUAACUGUAAUAAUAAUCAUGACUAAAGAAUUAUAGUCAACUCUCCCAUGUCCUUUUUUUUUUUUUUUUGUGGGAGGGCAACACAAAAGAUAAAAUCUCCCAUCUUUUAACAAAAGGAGAAAAGAACUAAUGGAAGAGUUCCAAAAGACAGAAGACAUGUUCACAUACUUGAGCGUCUGUUUCACGCUGCUCUACAUCAGUGCAUCUGCUGCGGUAUUCAUGGAGUUCACGGCAAAGAUCUUCAUUAGCAGCUUCAAGCCAAGCAAUCCUUUCCUUGAGAACCUAGGCAAAUGAUUAAUGAGAUAACUUAUGAAAUCGAUUAAGAUACAACUAUCUCCAUAAACGAAAUUGAUAAUUAUUUUGUUCGUUCAAACCAAACUAUCCUUUACAUAGAGAACCUCAUAAGUUUUACCAUAGCGUAAAGUAAUUAAUCCAGUAUAAUUUUUCUAUAUAAGAAGAUGUGAGAAUAAAAAUAUUGAAAAAUUCUUAUGAUCAACAGAAUAUCCAAGGUAAAAAUUUAGAACCCAGAUACCUGUACUUCAUCAGACGAAGAUCCUCCACCACGGGCGCAAAGUUCUGCCUGCAAAAACUCUAGUUGUUGACGCAUCUUCAGCAUCUCAGUGGACAUGGGAUCUCUGUUGACCUAUUUAAGACAAUUCAAAACCAGAAAUAAAAAAAAUCAUAAAUGCAUGAAAAAAAUUGUGCCUUUACACAAGUGUAAAGAGAAUGAAAUCAACAAUUUUCUGUUGAACUUACAAUAGGCUUAUUUUGUAUAUUUCGAGCACGAUUUGCAUAUUUUAGAGUGUUGAGGGUUUCCUCAGCAUUAAUAUCAGCAGGACUAAUGCAGGCUGUAGAAGGUAAAAUUGUAUUGAUAUAAGAAAUAACAUUAAGAUCACCAAUCAAAUGUCAGAGAUUGCCAAUGAAAAACCAGGGUAAGAAGGAACUAGAAUAUAUGAUUAAAGAUAAAGGAUUUACAGAGAUCAAACUUGAGGAUAAAUAAGUUACCUAUCAUAACAGUUCGGCUGUUACCACCAAGUGAAUCCUGCCAAAAUACCUGAACUUAGUCUAAAUAUAUAAAUAGAAAAGGAUGAAAAUAUUUAUAAUAAAAAACACAAUAACAAUUAAGAAAAAUAUCAUCAUAGACUCUCCUAAAGAGUUUCUGAAAAUCACAUCUCAUUUCAACCCAUUAUUUCCACAAUCAACUGGCCGGCUAAUACCAGAUUACGUAUGAAAUGCUUAGGGAGAAAAAUUCCUAUCAAUAGUUCAAUCUUUCUGGACCAUACUUCUUUAUACUAUCAAACUAGACUAGAUAAUUUACCCCUUGCAUCAGACGCAUCAAGUUACCUGCAAAAGCCUAGUAAGUUUACUGUCCCGAUAAGGCACAUGUACGCCUUCUUUGCGCUUUUUAUCAUCACCAAGAGCGCUGAUAACGUUACCAAGUGCAAGAAGGCCCCUGUUAAUAUGAACUCCUGUUUAAAUGUAAAUGCUCUGUUAUCAUGUUUUGACCAAAAGCACAGUAUGAUUCUACUUAUGAGAAAUCUCCACCAACCUUCCUUGAAACGCAAACCAUCAGAACCAGUUCUUUUGGCCCUCUCUGAUCCAGCAAGAUCUACCAAAUGCAACUUGGCACAUAGAUAUUCUUCAUUCAUACUCUCAUUAGGACUGCUGUCUCCCAGAGAAACUGGACUAAGCUUACGCAUUUGCUCUAGGGUGAUGGUGAAGAUGGCAUGUGAACGACUGUAUGAACACAUACCAAAAAUAUACACAUGUUAACAAAUCUGAUAAUACCUCUCAAAAAAUUAAAAAAUCUGAUAGCUACUGUAGAUUUUACAGUCAUUAUAGAGAUGCAAUGUUUUUCAAACCAGCAUGUUACACAAAUACAAUAUUCAAAAGGUUUAUUUGGGAAACUUUUUUUUUUAUGGAGAGAAAUCUUUGUAUGAUCCCAGUAUGUCCAAAAAUACUGAACUAAUAUUUGGAAAGGUACAUGACAAAUUUGGAAAGAUAAAGAUCUUUUUCCAUAUGAUGGAAGGAUAUUGUCAAAUAGCAGUUAUAGAUGAAAUUACCGAAACUUAAAUGUAACUGAUCAAAACAGAGUAGUAAAGAUUUACCUUGAUUGAUUGUUCAUGUUUGUACUCCCAGUUGCCCUGCUCAAUGAUCCUUGCUCUAAACAGGCCGCCAUUUCUUUUAGUGAGCUAACACUAACUUCAGUGGAUCCAGCCAACGUAAUAACACCAUUUGAUGUUUCUCGGAUUUGUAUUGGAGGUUUCCCGGGUACAGUUACUUUUCCUGUGUGUCCAUUUGCAGUAUCUGGUUUGUUCAAACAAGGGGGAUCUAGCAAAUCCCGUACCUCUUCUUUUAGAAUCUUUUGACAACACAGGAUUUUUUGGUUAGAUAUUUACCACAACAAUGCAUUAUACUAGAAACAUAUAAUAUUUUAGAAAAUACCCAAUUAUGUAAACAACUCUUCAAACCAUGACUUCAGCAGUACAUAGUUUGAUAGGGAAAUUCAGCUCAACAAAGAUCGAAAGUUUCAUUCAGUAAAACAGGAUGCCAAAAAAAUAUAUGGUAGCUAGAGAUUAGAAUUACUGUGACUAUGUUGCAUAACUGAACAGAAUGCACACAACAAGGAAUCUCAAAUUGAAAUAGUUGAGAAAAUGAUUUAAAACAAAGAAGCUACAUGAUGAAUAUAAUAGACAUCUUUAUCUCAUAUCUGGUUUGUUCAAACAAGUGGGUGUAGCAAAUCUCGUAAUUCUUCUUUUAGGAUCUCUGACACAGGAUUUUAGUUAGAUAUUUAUCACAAUAAUGCAUUAUAUUGGAAACACAUAAUAUUUCAGAAAAUACCCGAUUGUGACAAAAAUUCUUCAAACCGGAGCUUCAGUGGUACAUUGUUUGAUAGGGAAACUCAACUCAACAAAGAUUGAAAGUCUCAUUAAAACAGGAUGCCAGAAAAACAUAAGGUAGCUAGAAAUUAGAACUACGGUGACUACGAUGCAUAAGUGAAUCAAAUGUACACAACAAGGAAUUUCAAAUCUAACUAGUUAGAAAAUGAUUUAAAACAAUGAAGCUACAUGAUGAAUAUGAUAGACACCUUUUGAUCUCAUAUGACUUCAUGACAAGCAACAAAUACUAGAUAAAUAUAUCCUGUUUAGUACUUUAACAAAAUUUAUCAAAUUUUCUCUUGCAGGGAUUUUUCUGUGUUGCGACGAGGAACAUAGAUUUUCAGUCAUAUGACUGAUGUUUGUUCUGAACUUGAUAAAUUUUUAAGAGAACAAUGCUGAGGCUCAUAUAUAGAAGAUGGCACCACAGAGUGUAACUGAUGGAUAUACGAAGAAGAAGAAAGGCAUCAACAAACCUCAAUGAAGGAAACAUGCAAUUGGAAUUCGGUUUGAUCCUUUAGAGUUUCGAUUUUGCUGAACAGAACAUUCAUAACUAGAGGAAUUAUUCCCGUUUGGUAUCCAUCUUUGAAGCCAGUUCCCAUUGUAUAUGUUUUUCCAGAUCCUGUCUGUAACAUAUUGAAACGUUAACUGAAAGAAAGAUGAUUACUCAAGCAUACAUUGCUUCAAUUGAGCAGCUUUUUCCACGGAACAUAAUCUUUACCUGACCAUAAGCGAGGACAGUUGCAUUAUACCCUUGAAACAAACCAUCAACAAGUGGAGCAAUACAUUCAUCGAACAUGGCAGAUGAAGGAGAACCAGUGCUCCCAUAUACAUGAUCAAAAGUAAAGGAGUGUGUCCCAAUUUGUACCUGCAGCAUAGUAAAAACCAGCAUCAGAAAACACACACGCAAGCACAUAUAGACACAAAAAUUCACAAAAUUACAAGCACUGCAAUUCAUAUCUUAUAACUACUGAAACUCCAGAAACCUGUUAAACUUAAUUCACAAGUGGAAAUUCUGUUACUCAAUAUGAAACGGAAGGAAUAUUUAUGAGACAGCUUAAGUGCUAAAAUGGUGUAUCAUGUUUGGCCCUUUCAUACAUAAAGUACCAUAGAUAUUAAUCAUAUUUACAUAGAAAUACUUCAAAAUAUGAGAAUAGAGACGGGGACAAGCUGGGUGAUUCCAGAAAGUUGCAGAAGCUUUAGCUUGAUCUUAUAGUAAACAACAAAAAUGCAUAUGUAAUUCAGAUUAAUAAUAUACCGAUUGCCAAUAUGAAAUGUAGCAGACGCAGUGAACAGGCUACAGAAGAAAUAGCAAGAAGACUUACGGCACUGUUCAAUUUAAUUAAAUUUUUUCCUUAUCUCCUGAAACUUAAUUAGCUGAGGACCACUAUGGGAAAAAGCUGGAUACUCGUAAUUUACACCAAUAAGCUUAGGGACAGGCUUUGCAGAAGAGAGUAAAUGGACCAGUCUGAUUAUUCUAACGUUUUUCCAUAAAAGCAAACAAAGGCCAUGGCAAGGAAUUUCCUGAAUUGCAUCAUAACAAACAACAAGCGCAGCCAUUGCCUCUGAUUGGAACUUAUGAAACUAAUCCAAUCAGCGGAAGUAACUAGUGAUGACUAAAUUCUGUCAUCCAAGUCAAAAAUGCAAGACUCUCAAAAUUCUCACAAGACUGUUCAGCCCCUUAAGAUCCAGAUCUUCGUAACAUUUUUAACAGUGAAUUCACGCACGCUGAACAUUCACGUUCUUACUACUGUAGUGUUUCCACUUUCCUGCAGUAUCCAUACCUGAGGCUUCCCGGGAACGACAGCGACACAAUCCUUACAACCUUGUGCACGUUCGUCACCAAUGAGCGGUCUUACGUGCACGGCAACCUUCACGCAACAAUCCUCUCCACCGCCAGUUUCCAUAUGAAGCAGCUACGGAUUAAUUCGAGACACUUUUCAGAAACGGCAAGAACAGAGAGAACGAGCGUUAUUAAUGUGUCUGAAAGAUCAAUCAGUCUCAGCUAUAAAACCGUUGUCAUUGUCUCAGAAUUUGGAGAAUUUCGGACAAAGAAAGUGAUGAAGCUAAUAAGGGAGCAAGAUAUGAAAACUAAGAGUUAAGUUUCAGACAAUGUGUUAGAGAGAGAGAGAGAGAGAGAGAGUAUGUGUAGGAAAAAAAAUGGUAAAAGAUUAGAUACAGAGAGAGAGAGAGAGAGCGAAGGGUAGUUGGGGAAUUAGAGGAUGGAGAACAAAGAGGGAUACAAGUAGCAACCGAACAGUUUAACUACAAAGACAACAACCACUAUCAUUUUCCUUAGGCUUCACUGCAUCACAACAGCUUUCACGGUUGUGUGCGCGCAAAAGUUAAACUUUCAUGACACUCUUUCCCAUUUUGCCCUUCUCCUCGCACAACGACUCUCACCUUCCUUCCUUCAUGGCGUCGUCCCCCACUUUUCCGGAUCACUUUUACGGUUUUACCCUCUCUCUUCCACGUAUAAUACAAGAAUACAAAUCAUGAUUGUCCCCACAAUACAGUAGAAAAAAGAGGAGAUGGCACAGCACACAAGCCACGUGACAUGGAAUCAUAUAUUGAUUUCUUGAGAAGUUUUGGGCACGAGCAGACUAAAGAGGACUCCGUGUACAACUAAAUUUUUCUUUGCAUGUGCAGUGCAUGUACGGGAUUUGCUCUAUGAUUGAGAAGAAAGUGAACCGUCCUUAAAUUAUGUACAAUUUUAUUAGAACAUACACUAGCUUAAAAAUAAUAAAUGCGAAACAAAUGAAUAUUAAUUUUCAUUACCUAACUACCAAGGUCUUGAUUUAAAAAAAAAUUAAAAAAAUAAUAAUAGUAGCGUUGUCAAUGAGUUUUGGUAUUUGAUAGGAAGAAGAAAGUGAUGUGGGGGAAGGUGGUACUGGCAAUGGUAGAGGAAGAGAAGUAAAGAAAAGGGUGGGGUGGGAGAGAGAGAGAGACCCACACAAUAGACAUAGCCAGCUGGUGGUCUCCCAUCCUCACAUGGCCUUUUAGUGUCUGUAGACCUGACUGGACCCCACUUUAAAAACUUGGUCAGACCGAAACUGGUCCCCAUGUUUUUACUGAUUUUGAAGCAGUUCAUAAAUUCAUCUUUGGUCUUUUGCAACUUUAAGGAUCAUCUUCCUGUGUCAUGCCAACGCACCCGGCUUAGCCUGUGGAUACAAACCAAAUUAUAUCAUGACCUACGACCAUUUUCUGUUUUCUGACCUUAGAUUUUAAUUAUCAUUAAAGCCUUUUCGAAAUCUCUCUUUCUUUAUGGUUUAAAGGAGCUAGCUAGAUCAGAUCAGAUCAGUGAGUGAGUCCCUUGCAUACUUGCACCAAAUGUACUUUUGUGGCUCAGGAAAACACAUGCGGUGCACGAGCCGAUCAGUGUAAUGGAACAAUUUGUGCUUAGUGUUGAGCAUUCAUGGGGUCGUUUAAGAGGGGUUAAAGCGGACCCUGGAAGUAGAUAAACCUGACCUUCGGUGAUGAUAAACAUAGGGCUGUGCACGUUUUGGCCGGCAUUGGACCAGCGUAUCUGUUACAUGAAACUGUCAGAUAAAUAGUUUUGACAGCGAUGUUGAGGAUUUUAGGAUUGCAUUUUAAGCAGGCUAAAUUGGUUUUGCAAGCAUCAUCACGGGGUCAAAUCACAUGAUUUUUACUGUGAUUUUUUGUAUCCACAGAAAUGCAUAAACGAUAAAAUAAGGUUUUAGAAGGUUUGAUAAGAUUUCCCUACCACAUAAUGGAGCGUGCCUUACCUUUUUAAGUGGGCCUUAGCUGAAACAUCUUGUUCUUGUCAUUAUAAUAUUUCCAUUCUGGGAGAGCGUAACCAACUAAUUUUGCAAAUUUUGAAAAAGAAUAGAAAGUAUCUAAAUCUUGACAAUUAUUUCCCAUCUUUCAGGUGCUGUGCAAAUGUGGACGUAUUUCCUAAUUAACCCGUUAAAAGGCCUAAUAACGUACAAGUGACUUUGCCAUGUUGGCAGGUGGGUAAAAUUUUACCAUUCCUCUGCCUUUCGUAGCCUUUUUCUUUGCUGCGGUAGACUGCAAGUUAAGCAAGCCGCUGGGGAAACCAAUCCAAUUGGCUUCUGCAGUAAUCUAUCCAGUUGCGUGCUUCAUUCACAAGAAAGAAUUGCGAGGGCAAGAAAAUGAUGGAAAAAAAAAAAAAAAAAAAAAAGCUGAUGCAAAGAUCCUAAUCUGAAGUUUCGUUUCACAACCUAACUCUCCAUUCAUUGGAUUUUUCAUUUUUCCCAAUUCGGCCGUUAGUUUGGAUGCACACCAAGCAACCACAGAGACCCCACUUAAUGACUUGUGCUGGUUCAUCAGCUUUGUCCAGGCAUUGUAUUUUGCAAUUUUAACCUAUAAUAUACGAAGAAUUACGAUGAUACUUCUUGUAUAGCAAAAGGGAUUAAUUCUGUCACACGGUUCUUCUAAUACUAUGUAUGCGCUCUUCAAGUUGUCUUGUUGUCAAUCCCCCGACGGAAACCCAACACUGCGUUAUCACUGGAUCAUGAGAACAGUACAAGUAUGCAACGAUGUGACUGGGGGAAAAUUAAGUCCAUAGCUUUUUUAGUUUACUAAUUAAAUUUCAGAGACCAGUUGCUACUUCUGCAGAAGUGCGUUCUUUAUUCUACCCUCAGUGUCACCCGACUUUUUUCGUUAUGUGGAGCUUAGCAUCACAUGCUCCUACCUGCUUUACAUCACACUAUGACUCUCAUUUCUCAGUCCUUACUUUUUAUCCCAGACGCCCUCUUUCUGUCCCCUCUCAUUCUAUCACAGCCCCAUAAGCAGCUCUUUUUUAUUUACGUGAAUAAUUUUUAAUACCGUUAUUAAACUAAGUUUGGAGUGCAUAUCUUAAUGUCCAAUCCCAUUGUUCUGUUACUCAGUGCACUCAUUUUUAAGCACAUUUAACAUAAUCUUAAAGGGGUUCAUCCAUAGAGGAGAUAUGAUUCCACAUAGGCAUAAUGAUCACCGUGGCCCUUUUGUCAACCCAAAGCCAAUAUACAAUCUAAUGGUGCUUUAUUUUUAGUUUUUCUUCUCCAUCAUACAUUGUCUUGGAUAUAAACUGCAAUAUCGCAGCUAAAGCUCAAGCUUUUCCCCCUCUUAUACAGAACCUUUAAGUUAUUAAGCUUAAAAAGCAUUUGAUUUUGAACAGUGUGGAGACAUAGCAUGUGCAUUAUUGCUAGAAUUCAUUAUGCGCAUGCUUCAUUGCGUGGAUAGGCAUACAUCUAGCUGUGGGGCAGGCUCCUCUCAUGAAAUGGAAAUACUUUUUCUGUUGCUACUUGUAUCUAGUGAUAUUCAUUCAUCCAAAUCGAUUGUGUUGAUGAAUGUUAACGUGGAUAAUCUUCGGCCACAGAACAAGCCUUCCAACAAUUUCAUGGCCAUGCUAUAUCAUUCAUUCAAUCAUUGUUCUGAUUAACAUUUUAAGGUCAAUGAUAUUUGGCAAUUCUGGGUUCGUUUAGGGUCAUAUUGCUUCCUUGUGAGGAUUAGAAGAGCACACUAGCACUUGCUUCCGUAGAAGUCACUUAUUUUAGGGGAGAUUUGAAUUUGAAACUUGCCUUCACAAAUCCAUAUCUUCUCUUUGUUUAGUUAACACUUAACCCCUCCUCAUAUGAACCAAAAAGCAUAGACCUCAAAUCACAUUUUGGAAAUGUCGAUUAUGUAGUGUUAACAUUUUUACGAGUUUACAGUUUAAACGCUUGAAGAGGGAGAGGAGUUUGGAAAUUGAAAGAGAUUCCAAUGUGACCUCGGGCUCAUUUUCAACUGUUGAAAGGAAGGGUAUUGUUACACAUUUCAAAAUUUAUCCCCAAAAAAAAAUCCUUCCCAAAUGAGUGAUUUAUUGCGCUUACAUUAUUUACAAGCGAUGCCCAAGUUCGAACGAGUUUGAUGUUUCCAACUUUCCAUUACUCGCUGCAGAGAGCCUUGUCUUUUAUCUGGUUUAUGCGUUCAAAUCUUGUACCAGGUUGAGCCCUUUUUGGGCUCCAACAAACUCUAGGCCCAUUUUUUACUUUAAAAGCCCAACAAACUCAAACUUCAACGGACCUACGUGUGUGCGUGUGUGUGUGUAUAUAUAUAUAUAUUGAAAUGAAAAUUUCGAAAAAGGAGACCGAAAUAAAAAAUCAUACUAGUGCAUUGUUUUACACUUUCACUUUAACUCAACACCAAGCGACUGGGCUCAAACACUCUCCGCUCCUCAGAUAUAAAUAGAGAGAGAGAGAGAGAGAGGGGUGUCAUAAAAUUCAAUUAAAAAUUUUUCGGUAAGGACUACUGUAUUAAUAUAUAAGUUUCAAGUUUGUACUAAAAAGGUUGUAAUACAUAAAUAUGAAUCAUGGAAGAAACAAAGUAAAAUUAAGGGUUGGUUAUUCAAAUCCACCAAAUUCUUCUUUAUACUCAUUUUAAAAAAUAAUGUAUUAUUAAAAUAAAAUUUUAAAAUUACCAUUCACUAAUCUAUUAUGAAUGAAUUGAUGAGAAUUUAUGAAAUUGAGAAGAAAAAUAAAAUAAAUGAUUAAUUCAGUAAUUUUUUGAAAAAAUUAUGAGUGAGACUAUUUGAACCCACCGAUUUCCUUCCUACAUCUUUUUUUCUAAUUAAGAAUUUUAUUAUUUAAAUAAUUUUUAAUAAAAUUACUUAAUUAACCGUUUCUUUUCUUUCUCAUCUCAAUUUCAUUAAUUCUCAUUAAUUCAUUCCGAUAUAUUUUUUUUAACUGUAAAUAAUUGAUGUCACAAACUAAGAUAAACAAAAGCAACAUUUUAAAUUGAAUAUCAACAAUUUCUUAUCAGCCAUAAAAUUAAUAAAUAUCAAGAAAUUGAUUUUUACUAAACAUAAAAGUUGAUGAAUAUAAAGAAAAAAUUCUUAUAUGCAAAAAACAUAAAAUAAAGAUCACGAUCUUAUAAGAAAUACCAAAAAAUAAAUUAUAAAAUAGUAAAAUUGAGUGUUUAAUUUAAAGAAUGUAAGAAUAGAGAUAAUAUUUAAUGGUAAAGUAGGGUGAAAAAUAUUAAUGAAGAAAAAAUUUAAAAUUUUGAGAUUUUUAAUUUUUUAAUGAUAAAUUUAUUUUUUAAAACAGAUAUAAAAAAAAAAACUUGAUAGGUUCAAUUAAUUUCACUUAAAAAUAUUUAUAUAAUAAAAUUCAUAAUUAAACAGCGUAGGGAGUAAAUUGGUGAGUUAGCCCCAGCCUAAAAAUGAUUGGUCCGUGGUGGCAAGCAUUUAGAAAAAUAAAAAUUCCCUUAUGUUAUGUCGGUGCAGAGAAUUAAAAAAAGUGGAAAGAGAAAGUAAAAUAAUAAAUAAAUGGCUAAAAGGACGAAGCAUAUCUUCGUCUUCGAGUCGGCGUCGUGAAAUAUAGAAGCAUGGAAGUUGCGUAAGCUUCAAUCUUCCGUUUAAGAAUAUCAGAAGUCAACAUCCCGGGCAGCAAGCACGUACACGGUACUCGGUACUCGGUACUCGGUACUCGGUACUCAUAAGCUUGUUUCUUCUGCAAACAAACAUUGAUUAAUACAGUUAGUUAUACAAGCGAUCAUAAUUCAAACGUAAGAGUCAUCAUGUCGGGUGGUAUUGCUCGCGGCCGUCUCACAGAGGAGCGAAAAGCCUGGCGCAAGAAUCAUCCCCACGUAUUUGAUAAUUUUUUUUUUUAUUUUUCCUUUUUGUCGUUUUAACCGCUCGCUAUUUUCAGUUCUGUGUCUCUCCAUUUUAUUUGCACAAAUGUUGUGAGGUUUGAUUUCCUGUUAUAGGGUUUUGUGGCCAAGCCUGAAACCAAAGAUGGUUCCGUGAAUUUGAUGAUCUGGGAGUGUAUCAUUCCUGGCAAGACUGGGGUUAGUCUUUCUUUUACUGAGAGAGUGAAAGUUGGGAUUUUUUUUUUUUUGGGGGGCGGAUGGGGGGCGCUUUUGUAUAAAGUUUUGAUCUCGAAGUUUAAACCUUUGAAUGAUUCAAGGUACUGUGUAUUAGUUAGGGGUUAGAAUUAAAAGUUGUUAUAUUUUUCAUAUAUUCUUCAAUUAUCUGUCAAUGUUGUUUUUUAAUUGUAUGACCUUUUAUACAGCAUUGUCUGAUCUCUGCCCUGCGGGGAUUACUGUACAGUUUUGUAGUUCUUAUCAAUUUUAUUCCCCUGUUUCUUGUCCCGCGGCUCUUUUCAAGCUGCCCAGUAAUUUGGAAGAUGUAGUCUCAGUUUAAAUUUGCUGGAUGCUCCAAAUUCCAUUCUUGUCUAAAUGUCUCAUCAACUAAAAGAUCGAUAUUGUUGAUUACGUUUUUGAGAUGCAAACAAUAUCAGAUGAUUAGUUUAACAGACAGAGUGGAGAUACUGGUGCCAUUUGCUUGUCCACUAUUGAAUCUCCUAUUUUAGACAAUUUUAUGGUGAUUUACAAUUUUAUUUUUUUUCCCCCACUGAAAAAAAAAAAAAAAAAUGGCAGGGCUUAGCUUUAAGUUUUAAGGGAUGUGUAUAGUUACUUUCUUGUUAGUACCCAUAGUGAUUACAAUGAGAUGUUACUGCCUCAUUUGAAUAGUACCAUCCUUCUUAAUCUUGCAGACUGAUUGGGAAGGUGGCUACUUUCCUCUUACUCUCUACUUCAGCGAAGACUAUCCCAGCAAACCCCCAAAGUGUAAGUUUCCUCAAGGUUUCUUUCAUCCUAAUGUCUACCCUUCUGGAACAGUAUGCCUGUCAAUCCUCAAUGAGGACAAUGUAAGUUCUUCUUGCCGCUUUGUCAUAUACUUCCAAAUUAUGUAUGGUAGUGGAUUAGCUAAAAUUUCCAGUUUAGAUGACAUGAUGGCUUUCUUCUAGGGGUGGAGACCUGCCAUUACUGUGAAGCAAAUUUUAGUGGGCAUUCAGGAUUUGCUGGAUCAACCCAAUCCUGCUGAUCCAGCACAAACUGAUGGAUACCAGCUUUUCAUCCAGGUGCUUUAUUGGUUCAUAUAAACUCUCAGUUUUAAGUUUACUGUAGUUUCCAUUCUUAGUAUUAAAGAAUGCGGCCUUUUCCUUAAGCAAUAUGGCUUGACAUGAACAGGAUCCUGCCGAGUACAAGAGAAGGGUGCGACAGCAGGCCAAGCAAUAUCCACCUGUUAUAUAAUGCAAGCUUGCUUAAAUGGAUAUGAGUAACUCAUUUGUUACCUCACAUGGUUUAUGUCCAUCAUUAUUUACUACAGUAAACGCAGUUACAAGUGCACCAACUUUGGUGUUGAACAUGUUAUAAUAUGCUACCUGUAUCAUUUGUGAAGGGUGCUUUUAUUGGCUGUCUUGUUUUCUUCCUGUUCUGUUGACCGUUUGGCAACUUUUAAGGGUGUUACAAAUUAUGCUGGUAGUUAUGGAUAUUGCAAAUUAUGCUGAUUGUUAUGAAGUUAUGUGUUGGCUUUUCAAUUAAGUAUACAAAGAUGGAGUAGGUGAUAUAGUUGCUAAUACAUAAUUAUGAAAUUUUUUGGCAUUUAAGACUAUACAGUUCUUUUCUGGAUACAGGUACCUCAAUGAUUAGUGGGUGGUAUUGCUGUGUUGUAAGUUGCUUAAAUAAUUUGUUGCUUAUUUGAUGUGCUUGGUUGAUACGGGGUACUUGCAAUUGCAGUAAAAUCCGAGUGGGUUGAGAUUAGCAAGGUGAAUGUGUGAAAAUACUGGGAACGACAUGUAAAAGCUGAUGAUAGAAAGUGGCGUCAGCAAAUGUAUAAGUGUGGAAAGUAAGUUUGGGUGAGAACCUGAGAAAAUGAUGAUGGUAUAUGAUGCCACUGGGAGGAGGAUUCUGGUGGAUCAGCUGAGGGUGACAACCUGAGAAAAUGAUGGUAGUAUAUGCUGCUACUUCUGCUUUGACAAAACAACAAUUGAGUUGAUUUCUAGUACUUGUAGAUAUGAAGGUUUACACUUGUAUAUGCGUAUAUGUUUUUUUUCAAUAUAGUGGGUUAUUACUUGAUAUCUGAUUUCCACCUCUUCUGUGUUUCAAGGCUUUGCCCUUGGUGGCAUUUGAGAAAUUGCUGGUAAAAAUUGAUAGCCUGUGGUAAUAUCAAAGGUUUAUAACUUCACAUGAUACAAUUAACAGUUAAAAAUGGCAUUUUGUACAUCCAUUUGUGCCUUUGGAGAUCCUAUGUUCCUUGUACAACUGCCUUCUUUGCCAUUUCCUUCAGAUGGUUUUGCAUUUUUCCCCAUCUGUACUGAUAUAUCACUGUUCUCAUGACUGCAUAUGUGCCUUCUUGAUCUUACCUUUCUUUAUUUGAGGUGAUUCCUCAGUUUCCAACAUCUACCUAAUUUUUGGUGCCUAUUUGUACCCCGAAUCUAGGCCCUUCACUUACCAGCUUUUCAUUGUGGAAUUAGCAUAGCAAAUAUGACCUUAGGAAGUCAGGCGCUCACCCGUGGAAGUACUGAGUUGCAGUCCCACUGUCAAACACCAUCUAAUCAAGUGGAUGUUCAAGUAUCAAAACUGUGGCGCCCAUCUAUUACUGUCAUCUAUGGUUAGUCUGUUCUACCAUCCUUGUAGUUACCUUUUUGAUAGUCUUUUAGCACUUUUCAUCUGACAAUAAAUGAAUGGUCUGAUUCUUAAAAUGCGCUGGUUAUAUUUGUGGAGUGAAAUACUGAAAUAUGCUGAAUAUAUUUAGCCUUCCAAAUGAGAUCCAUUAUUUAUUUAUUUAUAUAUUGUGCGGGGACAUAUGAUUGAAGAAGUCAAUUUAUGGCGUUUUGUUUUAUAUGCUGACGAAGAAUUGGAUGGCAGUUUAUUAAGUUCUGUUUCGCAUAGUCCUAUAACCAACUGAAGAGAGUAGAAUUUAAUUAGCAAAAGCUAGAGGAAAUUAGGACAGCCUUCAAAAAUAGACACGAUAUUAAAAAAUUGCCAUUUCACCGGCACCCGAGGAUUCGCUCACAGCCUUCUCAAUCAUCUCCUUCACCACAAUUAAACUCCUCCUCUAUCAAUUGAGUCCAUCUCUUAGCCCCAGCCUCCAUCCACUCCUAAUCUUAGCACCCGAGUAACCAACCUCUCGAUAUAAAAUUGCUUACCCGAGAUUGGCCGAGUCAUUGUUGGCAGCAUUCUUAGUAUAGCUUCAUCUUCAAAUGUCAGCUAGUCAGCUAUAUAUGAAAACUCAAGUGGGGAGACGGAACCUGUAAUUUCUCCGACAAUUUAAAGAAUCUUCCGUCGAACCAAGAGAAAAUUUAAUAGGGUGGAAUUUUGUGAACUUAUUGUUUUCACGUGUCACAAUUUGGUUCAUAUUUCAAAUAAGAUCAGACCAAGCGGUGACUAAAUAAGAAGAGACCAAGCAUGGAAUGAAAGUUGCAAACUUGAAGAGCUUAGACAAAAAAUUUUAAUAAAUUGAAAGCCAAAACAUAUAAUUUUCAAAUAGUUGAGCUAAAGUGUAAUUUGAACCUGUAAUUUGAACCCUCAUUGUGGAUUUUUUUUGUUUCCGCCGGCCCUGCUGUACCGUANNNNNNNNNNNNNNNNNNNNNNNNNNNNNNNNNNNNNNNNNNNNNNNNNNNNNNNNNNNNGUGGUGGUGGUUGGAGAUAAUAAUAGGAAUAAGCUUGUUCAAAAUUUCAGGGCGAUUCAGCGGUAAAGGUAGCAAAAAUUUGUUUGUUAUCGGCAAUAAUUCUGUAACUUUGUUAUGGUUCUUACUAGACUAGAGUUUGAUUUUGAUGUCAUAUGACUCGUGUCAUACCUAAAAAAUCUUGUUUGUUCUCCCUGUCCACAGAGCUUGACCAAACAACCCAUAUGAAAUACGCUCGUUUUUUUAAUUCUUAUUCCUUUAUCAUGUGCGUUAGGUGUUGCAAUAACGACGUUGCGUGGGCACCCAUUAGCACUUGUGUCACUUUGCCAUAGUCUUUUGACCAGUGAAUAGGUGUCAUGUUUCUCUUUAAGGCAUUUAAUCUAGAAUCUGAGGUUGAUUUGCUCCGUUCUCUUUCAAUCAUAUCAUCCCACAACAUGUUACCAACAAACGGGACUCGACUAGCUUACAGAAUCUGUCAGGUACAGACUGCAGCAUCAGCCGUUGGAUGUGGUUGGAUGUGGAGUGAGAAACUAAACAAUAGAAAAUCGGAUGGUGGGAUGACGGGAGAUGUUUGUUACAGAAUCUGUACCAUAGACAGGUCCCCAACAAACGUAUUUUCAAGCAUCUUAUUUUGACCUUCAACGCAUCCCAACAAAUAUUUGACACCACAUUCUCUGUUUUUAUUUCUUUAUUAAUUUCUCAUUUUUAAUUGUCAACCAAUGCCUAUUUUUUUCAGUAUGCUGAGCAAAUUGUCUUCUCUUUUUAUCGAAGGAUCAAACCAUCUUAUCCUGAGUAAGGAGCUGUAAUUUUAUCUAUCAAUGUGGGGCAUUAGACAAUCUUUAACACUUUAAUAGUUAGAGCAUUUGUUUAAUUUAGCUAUUUGGCAGAUUAUCCCCCAAAGUGUUUGAUAACUCUUGCAACUUAACUUUGGCAAGAUAAUUGAUUAUUUUUUCACAAUUAUUUACUGAAAAUGAGCUCUAAAAAUGAAAGUUACUUGACAUCUAAUAUUUUUUGGGAAAUUUACGAAAAUAAUCAUAAAAUUUUUGCUUGUAUUAUUAUUGUAUAUUUAUAGUUAUAAAAAAAUUAGGUUUUAUUUCUUUUAGUAAGUUAAAUAUAAAAAUAACGAAUGGCUCUUUUAAAAAAUAAAUAAAGAAAAUAAAAAUUAAUUGGUUGUAUUGGAUUUUAACACGUUGAUACAUAAAUCAAUCUAAUAACAUUGAAUUUUUAUUUUACAAUCCAAUCCAAUUCGAUUAAAGGUCAAUCCAACAAAAAUUAGAUCGAUUUAGAUUAAAUCAAUCGAAUGCCUAUUUAGCUCUUUUCAGUAGCACUUAUCGUCAUACUUUUCUUUUCUUCUUUUUCUUUUUUUUUUCCUCGAGGGGGGUACAAGAUAAAUCCAAACUUUAGAAGCUCCACUUCAAAAAAUCAGUUGCGUCACGACGCAUAAAACCAGCAAAAACUGUGAUACGAGUCGUUUGAUAACAAUCGACAAUCACAAUUAGGCAUUAGCCUUGUAAUAAAAUUUAUAUAAUUUUCUUAAAUUAAUUAUAUUAAUGUCUAUUUCAACGACAAGUACCUAACUUAGCGGUCAAGGACGGUCCGCCCGGAAUCUGCGGGCAUAAUUAACAAAAUAAAUUUGAAUAAAAAGCAUGGACCGUUCGUUUUCGACAUGGUUAUGAUUACAGGACUUGACUAGCUUACAGAAUCUGUAAGCUACAGACUGCUGCAUCAGCCGUUGGAUGUGGUUGGAUGUGGAGUGAGAAACUAAACAAUAGAAAAUCGGAUGGUGGGAUGACGGGAGAUGUUUGUUACAGAAUCUGUACCAUAGACAGGUCCCCAACAAACGUAUUUUCAAGCAUCUUAUUUUGACCUUCAACGCAUCCCAACAAAUAUUUGACACCACAUUCUCUGUUUUUAUUUCUUUAUUAAUUUCUCAUUUUUAAUUGUCAACCAAUGCCUAUUUUUUUCAGUAUGCUGAGCAAAUUGUCUUCUCUUUUUAUCGAAGGAUCAAACCAUCUUAUCCUGAGUAAGGAGCUGUAAUUUUAUCUAUCAAUGUGGGGCAUUAGACAAUCUUUAACACUUUAAUAGUUAGAGCAUUUGUUUAAUUUAGCUAUUUGGCAGAUUAUCCCCCAAAGUGUUUGAUAACUCUUGCAACUUAACUUUGGCAAGAUAAUUGAUUAUUUUUUCACAAUUAUUUACUGAAAAUGAGCUCUAAAAAUGAAAGUUACUUGACAUCUAAUAUUUUUUGGGAAAUUUACGAAAAUAAUCAUAAAAUUUUUGCUAUUUUUACAAUUAACCCUCUCAACUUUUUUCUAUCAACAUUAGCCAAACACACGCUUGUCUACCCAAAUUACCCUUCUUUACAAACCAAAAGCAACUUUCUUUCUCCCUUUCGUCAAACCAAAUGCAGCUUUCCACUCUUGAAUCAUCAACCAACGGCGACGGCAAAAGGCAACGAUAAAAAUGAAAUCCGAUCAUAAUCUAUCUGAAUCCAAUACUAAUCGGCAUCACAUAGUGAUAUGAGUUAUUUUCUGAACUUGCUCGAGAGUUUCAGUGAACUGCGAAUUGUUGGUGAAUUUAGCGACAUGCUGUCUGUCGCACAAAGCUUGGUGCGACAGGCACCAAAAAUGGAUAUCCCUUGCCUAUCGCACCAACACUUGGUGUGACAUGCACCAAAAAUGGAUAUCCCUUGCUGAAGUGUUGGAGGAAUGUGUUGGAUAUCCCUUGGUGAAGUUGCCAAGUAUCGUGUUCUUCCCAUGCAGCAGCCAAGUUAGAAACUGGGGCAAAUGGGGCCUUAACUCUCUAGUUUGGGAUUUAAUGUUUGAAGAAAAUUUCGAUUUAUUGCUGCAGCAGCAGCUAUAUAUUGCCAGGCUGCUAGCCAACUUAGAAUUACAGAGCUGUUUAGCUGAAAAUGAACUUCGGCAAACUGUUACUCUUGUUUCUGACCAUAGGCUUGGUUGAGUCAACCGGUGCUUUGAUGUUUGCCUUCGAUGGCUUCAACACUUCAAAACUGUUGCUUUAUGGCAACGCAAAACUGGAUUCUGGUGCCAUUUCACUCACCCAAGAUACCACCUUCUCCAUCGGAAGAGCUCUCUAUCAUGCUCUGGUCUUCAUCUUCGUGCCUUCCGCAGGCAUCCAAGGCGCUGCUGCAUCUCAAUAUCUCGGCUUCCUGAAUAGAACAAAUGAUGGUAAUAUGAACAACAAUGUUUUUGGCAUCGACAGGAAGAUCACUGCAGAGAGAGGGGUAUUUUAGUCUCAAAGGUCUUUUUAUGGCUAAUAUUGAUAGAAGUUUGUUUGGGGGGUUAAGAUGAAAAAAGUCAAAAUGUUUAUGGUUAUUGAUGUAAAUUUCCCAUAUUUUUUUACCAAACACUUGUCCCUUGAUAGCAAUCAAGAACUUUCAUUUCACAACACCUUGGUAACAAACAAAAGGAGCCUCAACUUUCUAAUGAAUCAACAUGUAAGUGUUUUAUUUAUUUAUUUCCAAUAAAGGAGCGUACAUUGAACAUUUGAACUCCUGAAAAAAAGCAUAUCAAGGAUCAAUAGAUUGGACAACUUGAAUGAAACAUCGGUAUUAAAUAUGUACAAAGGAAUGAAUUCUUGAGAAGGCAAAAGUAUACAAGACACCAAGUUAGAAGAGCAAAAAUAUACACCCUCUAGUCCUCUAACUAUUUGCAGCGUCUGUUUCUGUCAUGUAAGUUUCGAAGUACAAAGUAGUCGUCGAGAGUCCGAUGUAGAAAUCCAUGGCGCUCGCACAAGAAACACAUGACUCAAAACGGAAGAAAAAAUAAUAAUAACAAUAAAACAACACAACUUGCAUUGGUGAAAAUUUGCUUGUGAUCGACCCUUUAAUCUCCUAGCUACAACACUGUGUUUGGUGAUCGUCCAGAACUCUCCAAUACAAUUUCAAAUAAAUCAGCCUCAGACUCCUCAUCAAAUUCCUCUGUUCGAUUAUUAGCACCAGUGUUGUGACCGCCUUUGGUUGAGGAUCGGUUAAGCCAUUGAGAGUCAAUUCUUCCCAUAGAGAAGAGCUCUUUGCUGUCCUCAUAGCCUAGUGCUGCAGCAGGUGGGUUUGCAAGAGGGCCAAUGAAGCACGGGUUUGAUGUUCUUUGUGCAUUUGCUGGUGCAUAUGUGAAAGCACUUUGUCCAAAAUUGACAAGUAUCAAAACAUCAAUAUUUGCCGCUAUAGUUGGAUAGAGGGGAGUUUCAAAUUCCUCAGAUUUGCAAUUGAUCACGUGCACCAGCUCUGAAUCUACUGUGAAGAACACUUUCUUUUGCCUCGGAUCAAACCCACAACCAAUCACCCUUUCUGUUCUUCCCCAUUCUGCUUUCUCGGAUUCAAAAACAAGCUUAAUCCCUGAAAGAAAAAGAAAUCAUAUGAUUGAUCUUCAAAAAGAAUUUUUAUUAUUUUAUUUAUCCAUUUUGUUCUUUUGUGGCCACCACAUAGAAGUCACUUGAGCACUAAGAAUGCUAAAGAAGUCACUUCACCACUAAGAAUGCUGAAAUAAAACUGUUUAAAAAUUGAGUUAUACAGAUAAUAUAGCAAUAGUUUAUAUGACCCCUAACUAAAAAUUGGGUCAACAGCUUCAUACCUACUUUAACAUACAUUGAAGACAGGCUAAAUAAAAGGAUCUUUGCAAAUAAUAAAUCUCUAUUAUAAGCCAUGAUCAUGUCAUAUAGUGGGCCUUUUAUCAUUAUCUUUCACCAAUAUUGGGACCUUUUAGGUGGAAGAGAUUUAUUCAUUAGUGGGAUGCUACUGCUCGCUGGUACAGUGAAUAAUAUCGUAACUGUUGUAUAUGUUGUAACUCUAGCCAUGGAAAUUAAAAAUAUAUUAAUAAAUAAGGAAAAAGAUGAAAGAUUUUACCGUCCAGAUAGACAGAACCAUCAGAAUUGAAUCCGAUUGAUCCCGGAUAACUUCCGGGGAGUCUCAAAGGAAGGGAGCCACCGGGAGUGAGCCCCAAAGACAACAUUACAACUUCGCCCUUGCCAUCAUCUUUAGCAGCAGCAAGCUUCAAUUCUUCAACCUUGUUCACACUAUGACUGCUAGUAACAUGGACUAGAGAUUCGGAAUUCGCAUUUGCAUAAGAAUUUUCUUGGAUGAGUUUAGUCUUCUCGCCUUCUCUAGUCUUUCCAACUGAUUGAGAUUGACCAUCAUCGCGAGCAUACAGAAUGGUAAUUUCAAAAUAGGCCUCUUGAGGAAAAGCAGAGUUGCCCAGAGGCGGCCCAGGCAAAGGCAGGGCUGUUCUAAUCACGGCAGCAGCAGACAUAAAAGGGCUGCUUGUAUUAACCUUCUUUAGUCCUGAAUUGAGCCUAAUCUUUUGCAUAAAAUCUGCUGAUCCUUGGCACACGUCCCAGCUUAUAUCCGCUUGCGUUUCUCUUCCGUAAUCACCAACCGCGCAUAUUCCUAAUAGGCUUGAUCUAGUGGACGGAGAUGACAUGUAGGUCGUGAAACCAAAUCUAGACCAUCCAUUUUCGACAGCAUCUGUCACAAGUUCCGGAUGAUCAGCCCAGUUGAACAAUGGUUUGGCUGAAACUCCACGUCGGAAAACGUAGUAAUUUCCUCUCCUCUUGCUAUCUAAAUCAAGAUGAUUAUGCGGACUCGGACCGUUCUGUUGAUGAAGCUGCUGCGGAAUCCGAGUUUGAAGACUCUCGGGGGUUGUUUGGUUCGCGUCAACAAAAUCCUUACGGUGUCUGUUGCAACACCAUCGCCAAAUAAACACGAUCAAAAGCAUUAUAAGAACUCCUGCGGAAAACGCCACGAGUAUAACAUGAAGCAUCUCGUAUUUUAUGUGGGAUUCGGAGAAUAGUUCUGUAAGGAAAUGGGGCAAGAAUAUGGAGAGGCAUCCAAUUAAGAAGAAACAGAGGACAGGUCACAGGCCGACGCAGGCGUGGACUAGGACUGAUUCAAGAAAGGCAGGAGAGCAAAAUAUUGUGCAAGCUAACGCAGUAAACCCAAAAAAAUAAAAAAUAACGUGGGGUUAAUGUAUUAAUUUAAUUAAUUCUAAACCGAAAAUAUUUCCCACUUAAAAAAAUAACGCGUUCUUUGAUUCAUUAAAGCUUGUGUUUGUUUAUGUCGCUAUGCAGUCACAAGCACUUCUAGAAGGGCCACGUGGGCAAAUACUUAUGGUGGGCUGCCACACUUUUCUGAAUUGACUUGUCUGACAAAUGGAAUUUAUGGAGGAGACAACAUGGAGAUUGGUUAAAAGGUGACGUGAAUGAAACAAAGGAACAUCAACUUAUUGUAGUACGAGUUUGGGAAGUUUUUUGUCUGACUAACACAGUAAACAGUUAAUCCUAAAAAUGUUGUGACCUCUGCUAAUUAACAGUGGUGCUGUCUGUCUAAUGAUUCAAUUCUGUUUAAACGAUAAAAGAAAGCAAUGAACACCAAUCCCUCGUGAAAAAGUUCAUUAAAUUUGGGUAAUUGAAAAUAAUUUGUUUGAUUUGCCCUCCUUUCCAUGACUCCACAUGUACAUUCCAUAUAGAAAUUUUGUCUCAUUUGGAUUUUGGGCGACAGCAAAGGCUAACUGUGCCUAGAUACAUCGGAGGGGGCACGCGCCUAGUUUUGCCAAAACCAAUUUGGGGUGCAUGUGGGGAAAAGUAGACGUGGGGACUUCAAUUCUUGUGUUAUAGCCUUUCUUUAAUUCAUUUAUUUAUUUAUUUUACUUUUUGUAUGGUAUCCUUUGGUUUGCAUUUAGAGGCAUCUUGGUUUUAUUUAUUUGAUUGUAAACCUUUUAUGCCAUCAAAAUUUGGUUACAGAUAGAAUGAGUUCUAUCUUCUGUAUGGAAUAUUUCUGCUCGCUGCAGAGGUAAGUUGAUUAUGUACAGGAGCUAAAAGAUGAAAGAUUUUGUUUUAUAGCAUUUGGGCAAUGGCUUAAAACUCAAAUUUUAUUGUGAGCCAUAACUUCACAAGAGAAACCCCACCAUAUAUUGUACAUACUUGGUUUGCCUUAAGUCAUUAUCAUUCAUCCCCUGAAUCGAUUGGAAAACAUGAGAGCAAUCAUCAGAAUAGUUUAUAAUUAUCCUGUUUCGUAGUAGUUGAUGAAAGGUGAAUAUAAUAAUUCUGAGGAUAACUGCCAUAAUUCAAGGAGACAUCAUUAAAGGGAAACAAGAAAGUUAAAAAGACACUUGAUUUGCAAAACCCUUAAAAUUCUAUGAAAAAGAGAUCUUAUAGGGCUUUGCUAAGUUGAAAAUAAGAAGCAAAUUUUGCUUGCGCUUAGAAAAGGUAGAAGGAUCCUUGUUUUUGCCAAAUUUUUUGCAAUAAGAAAUUGAGUGACGAGACAUAUCACUCAAGAUUAUUAGUGAAGUCAAUUAACAAAAGGGUUUUUUAAUUUUGUCCUUCUAUUUCCCUCUCAUACUGGCAUUGAUGGACGUCUCUCUCUUUUUAUAAAGGAAAAAAUGAGAAAGUGAAAGAAUGGCAAAAAAGAAGAAAAGUUAGCAUGACGAUCAUAACCUGCAACAAAUAGCUUCUUCUUUUUUUCUUCCCGGGGAGUGUGGGGAGAAAUUAAUACGGGCACGGGGACAAAACCAUUUAAGUAGGAGCCCAUUCAUUUCACUUGUCUCUCUUGUUGCGGACAAGACUUCUCACAAGUAAUGAUUGGCUAUAGAGUUGCUUAAUUCUACUGGCAUGCUAAUCUGGGACUUGUGAAAAUGAAAAUUACAUUUGACAUAUUUCCAGACGUUGGAAUUGCAUCAGCGCAGAGUAUCAAGUAUCGGUUCGUGCGUGUUAUAACAGUGGAUGAGGAUAUUCUCACUGGUAUAGUGGAUGUCACAGCUUUAUUAAAAAAAAUGAAUUAUAAAAGUCCCCUGCUGCAAAAAUUAAGAUUCUAAUGAUCAGAUUUUUUAAGCUAUCAGAAAUUAAAUUGGAAGCCGAAUCUACAAGCUAAAAACUUCGAAAUCGGAGACAACCUCAAUUGAGUUAAGAUGAAGGAAAAGCAGAUAAAAUAAAAUUCAACUCACUUAAACACUGGUUUCAUGAAUGUACAAAGUCUUCUAACAGAGCAUGAAUUGUCAAUAAGUCUUCUAUAUGAAUGUACAGUGCUCACUUGUCCUCAAGUGUGUGAUUUUUGAGAAAUGGCAAGCAACCCCAUUGUCUUCUUUGCCAUCAUAUUCAAUUAUUCAUCUUGAUAACACACUUCCGUGUCUUGAAACUUUCCAUCCAUCUCUCUCAAAGCUUUUCAAUACUACAGUUAAAUGCCAUAUUGGGUACUGGUUUCGAAUUCUCAACUUGUGAUAGUAGGCCCAAAAGACACAUGUCUAAGCCCAUGUUGGACAAUGGCAGGUCCAUUAAGAUCGGAUAAGACCCCCCAACAAUCUAUCUCGGUAUCCCCUCUAUCUGAUUAAAUUCAAUUCGCGUCUUAAUAGCAAACAAGAACAAAGAAAUGAAAAAAUGAAGUGGCUCUGCAGCUCGCUCGACGCACGCCCUCUGAAACCCCUGGUUCGUUAUAACAAAAGUGACUUCCAUUUCUCCCAAUCCCUUGUACUUGAGAAACUCCCCACUCAUUUCAACACCAAACUCGCUCUCAAACCCUCGAAGUGUUGCAUCAAAGCCAGCUCAGCGUCGGCGUCCAUUGAUAUCGACAUGGUGAGAAACAAGCAAGGAAUCUACACGCAAAAACAGAACAACAAAGUGGUGGUUCUGUGGGACCUCGAUAACAAACCCCCGCGGGGCCCGCCUUACGACGCCGCCAUGUCGCUGAGACGAGUGGCGGAGAGGUUCGGGGAAGUCACGGACAUCUCGGCUUACGCCAACCGGCAUGCGUUCAUUCACCUGCCUCAGUGGGUCAUCCAGGAACGCCGCGAGCGCAAGCAAUUCGACAUUCUCGAGCGCAGAGGAGUGGCGGUUCCAAAUGAUCCGUACAUUUGCGGGGUGUGCGGACGCAAGUGUAAAACCAAUCUUGAUCUGAAGAAACACUUUAAGCAGUUACAUGAACGCGAGCGGCAAAAGAAGCUGAAUCGGAUGAAAUCCUUGAAGGGUAAAAAGAGGCAGAAGUACAAAGAGAGGUAUAUAAGUGGGAAUGACAAGUAUAACGAAGCUGCCCGGAGUUUGUUGAAGCCUAAAGUUGGUUACGGAUUGGGCUCGGAGUUGAGGAGAGCGGGGGUGUUUGUUAAGACUGUUAGGGAUAAACCACAGGCAGCUGAUUGGGCGUUGAAGAGACAAAUGCAGCAUUCCAUGAGUAGCGGGGUUGAUUGGAUGUUUUUGGUGUCGGAUGAUAAUGAUUUUAAGGAGAUGUUGAGGAAAGCGAGAGACGCCAAUUUAGGGACGGUUGUUGUAGGGGAUUCUAAUAGAGGAUUGGGGCAACAUGCCGAUUUGUGGGUGCCCUGGAUUGAGGUGGAGAAUGGGGAGUUAACUGAGAGGGAUUUGGUGCCUAGGACGAGGAGGACCACAACUGAGGACUUUGAGAGGGAUGGUCAUGGUUUAUUUUCACUUAUUGAGUUUGACGGGGUAGUUGGUUUCGAGGAUGAGACUGAUUUGGAUAGUGUGGUUAAUGAACUUGUUGCUGAAAGGACCGAGUUUGGUGGUGUAAGGAUUUCAAUGUUUUCUGAAGGGGAAGAGGAAGAGGAUUAUUGGGUGACUGAGGAGGCAGGCGGAGAUUAUUUGUUGGAGGGUGGGGAAUUGGAAGAGCAAGAUAGUUACUUUUGAUAUAAGCAAGUGUGCUUGGUUAUAGAAGGCUUCUUAUUGUUUUGGUUUCGUUUCGUUCUCUAACCUGGGAUUAGUUUUCAAACUAAGAUCGAUUAUGCAUUGAGAACACGGUUGGGGAAGUGAAUUUUUCUUGUUGAUGGUUUGGUUUCUCUUGAGGUUGGAUAAUUAUGAACGAUUUUAUCCAUUUGAUGGUCCAAAUCAUUGUGCAAUCAUGAACAGGUCGGUUUUGCUAUCAAACUCUGAAAGUUGAUGCUUUUUAGUCUUCAGACACACAAUGGGUAGAUAAUCUCCUCAUGUUUCCUCUUUUAGUGUAUAGUAUUCCUAUAUUUAAUUUGCAGUUGCUACUGAUGGGAAUAUUACAAUACUGUGAUUCAUCCGUCUGCAUUGCUGUUUCAACUGUCCUCAUAGUAAAUGCUUUAACAUGCCAUCUGAUUGUACUUGACUAGAUUAAAACUUUAUUGGUGGUAUAAGACAGCUCUUUAGUUCUUCUCCAAACUUUUGUCUUAUAAUCCUAUCUAUGUCGAAGAAACUUAUUAUGGUAUUCUAAAGUUUAUAUAUUUGCACAAAUUUUACCAUUGUAGUUUCCCUCAGAGUUUGUGCAUAUCUAGGUUAAUUGGGUGGAAUGCAUUUUACCUUGAUUGAAAACCUGUUCAUAUCAUUGUCGUCUAUUUGUUGUUGUACAUGCUUUUGGUUUUCAACGUUGUGGCUUUUUGAGAAAACGUGAAAAUGUUUUAACGGUCCUAUUAACCAGUAUCUCAGGGUGAUUCUUGGUGUGUCAAGGUGCAGUGGAUAAAUACAACUAAGUUUAUGGCAAGUUCUAAAGAUUUAGAAGAGCAAGACAUGAGAAGCAAUGACGAAGAUUAGGAACCAUCUGUAUUCUGAUUCAAGAUGGAUUUAAUUAUUUAUUUAAAAAUAAAAUAAAUUGUUUCUUGAGAGUACCAUGGUGUGUUGCUACUACCUGCUCUGAGAACAGUGGAGUUUAGCAUUAACUGUGAUUCUGGUAUCUGCAAUAAGACCAUCAUUAAGGAUUUGAUAUAUUAUUCUGCUCAGUAACCUAUGAGCAGUGGGAACCUAACUUAUGCCGAACUAAGAAUUAUCCAAUAAUAUGACUUUGGGUUAGCUUAAAGUUAGGGCUUGAAGACAUCAGCACACCUAUAAGUUUGAUUUUUAAAAUAAAAAAAUGUAGGUUCUAGUGUUGGUUGUCAUGAUAAUAUCGACAUCUUACCUUGACUUUGUAUAAGAGGGUAUUCAACAGUUCUGUAACUGUAAUAUCUUUGUGAAACAUGAGAUGACAGUAAUUUUAUGCUAAUUGAGUACUUUGGUUUAGUGGUGGUGGGGUACAAAACUACAUUGUUUAGUGAGGUGGUUAUUCCGAUGACAGAAUUAGUAGCUCUUGUGAACUUAUCCGGGGUAAUAAUUGUUGAUUAAUUACUCUGACUACUCUACCUAGUUUUUCCUCUUAAGAGUACAAAAUUAAGUGGAGGAGGAAUUCAAAUAGAGAAAGAAAUGUACUGCUUAUGAUGGAACAAUUGAAGAAAAAUCAUUGGCCAAUAGCAUUUGGAUAUCUAUUGUACGUUAAGUCAUUUGUCUGAAAGAGAAAAUUCAGUGUCAUAAACUGGGAUCAGGCUAAGGUUCCCCCCAUAAACUGUUGUAUUUUUCUUCUAGAUUGUUCAUUAAUCUACAUAUUAGAUUUGGCUUGUGCUGCAAAUGCUGUGUGAAACUUCUACUGUCUUCAAAGAAGUGUUAGUCGGCAGGUUUUGGGGUGGCUGAAUCCUCCUUCAGAAGCAUUAGUUCCAUGGAUUCAUGGUCCCUGGCCAGCAGAGGUCCUUUUCAGUCUAGUGGACUUUAGUGAUUCUGAUUGACAGUUUGGAGGUAAGGUUCAAUGACUUGAAUCUUAGCUUAGAUCUUUACCCAUAGGCAGGAACUGCCGCCACUCGUACUUCGUUUGGCUACUUGAAACAGUGAGUUUCAUCACAUCAUGUUGUAUGACUGGGAUGUCUUGCUGUGGGCAAAGCUUACGUUACAUUACCUGUAUGUUACAGCUAAAAAUUUUUAAACCCUUAGAAAAGAUAAUAAUUAUUGAAAAGGUUAAUAAUUUUUAUAGUUUUACUUUAUACCCUAAGCUGCAGCCCGGUAAUAGAACUGUUAGUCUUUUAAUUUUUUUUUAAGUUCUCCAUUUAUAUUUAUAGCAAAUUUAAUACUAAAUUACUCAAUUUUUUUUCUAUUUUAUUUAAUUGAAUCUCUAACUUGUUUAAUUUUAUAUCUAUUGAGUAUUUAUUGAUUAUAUUAAUGGUCUCUUAUUUUAAUAUAUCAUGAUAAUCAAUAUUGAAGCCUUUUAUGAAUUGUUUAAUUUUAUUAAAUUCUUUACUUAGUUGAUCUCUUAACUUAUUAAUUUAUUUUAUAUUUCCUUCAUUGAAAUUAUUAAUUUCUAAUAUUUUGUUUACCCUUUCUAUAUCAUUUAUAGAUUAAUUUGAGUUUUCUAAUUUAUUUAAUAAAUACAGUGAUAUUUAAUUUAAUUGAUUAUUUCUCCACAUGUUUGAAUCAUUGAUUAGAUCAAAUGGUUGAAAUCUUUCAUUAAAGGUUUUGGUAAUUUAUUCACUGUAACAUCUUUUUAAUAAUUCAUUAGAUUUAUAAUAUAUAUAUCACAUAUAAUAUCUCUUAUAAUUUAAGAUACUAAAUUUAGAUUAAAAAAUCUAUGUGACAUCACUGAUAGUAUGUAUUUAGGAUAAAAAAUAAAUUGAAUGUGUGUGUGUGUGUGUGUGUGUGUUUGUUAGAAGAAAAACCUAGUCUAUGUCUCAAGAGAGAAAAUAAAUUAUAAAUGUAGGUACAAAAAUUUAUUCAGAAUUUGUAAUUUUUAUGAAUAUAAUAAUAAUAAUUUAAAUCUUUAUAAAAAUAUAGUAAAAACUUUAUAAAGUUUUUAAAAUAAUUAUAGAAGAGAUGGAUGAGAAAACCAUUAAUUAUAAAAAAUUAAUGAGGACUUAUUUGAAAAAAUAAGUAAAUAUAUGAUUAGAAAUGAAAUUUUUGAUAAAUAACAAUUACACCUGUACUUUGUUUUAGGUUAAAAUUAUUUUUAUCCAUUAGAUUUAAGAAAUAUCAAAAUCAAUGAUCUAUAUUUAUUGAUUGUUUGUUACAUUAUUUGUAAGGUAAGCUUUGCCCUUGCUGUGACAUCAAUGGAGAAGUGGAGAAAUGAUAUAAUGACGGCAGUUCCUGUGUAUCUGGGAGAGAAAUUUGUGUAUGAUAAGUACUGUGGGUAAUGAUGACGAAUUUUGAAGUGGACCAUCUGAGGGAAAGACUAGUUUGUUCAGCUUUAAUGCGAUAACCCAGUAUUUUGUUACAAUUUUCAUGAUUUCCAUGAUAUUUGAAAAUUUUGUAAUGUUGGAGAAAGUAUUGGGCACGUUUGAAAUUGAAGUGCAUUAGUUUUUAAGUUAAAAUUAUUAUGAAAAAAAAAUUAUAAUUAUAAAAUAAAAGUUAAUAAUAUAUAAUAAAUUUAAAUUUUUCUGCUGUACGGCCAAGGCGGAUGUACGGUACAGCAGAUAAAUUUUAAAUAAUAAUUUUGAUAAAAUUAUUAGAGAUAUAAUAGAUUUUUUAUUAUAUAAAUAUUAACAUAAUUUUUAGUCGUUAGUGUUUAUUAAAUAUUUUAUUGUUGUAAUUUUUAAGUUACGGUUGUUCAACUUCAAUCACAAAUGCACCUUCAAACAUGUAACUAAGGUAGCGUUUGUUUUUUUGUCUAAAAUCAGAAUAUAUUUAAAUUAAUCUGAAUUCUGAAUAGAUCUGAAUGUCUGAAUCUGAAUAAUAUGUUUGUUUUUUUGUCUGAAUUUUAAAAAAUAAGUAUUAAAUUGUUUAUUUUUUUUCAACUUAAAAAGUUGAAAAUAUAUACUUUUACAUUUGUAUCCUUAUUGAAUUUAAAUGUCAAAUAAAUAAUAUAUUAAAUACCAUAAUAUUUUAAUAUUUAUAAAUAAAAUUAUAUUCAAGUGAAUACAUAAUUAUUUUAGAAUUUUAAUAUAUAAAAUACCAUAAAUUUCAAAUUUUAUCGUAUAUAAUAUAAGAAAGAAAAAUAAGGGUAUUUUUAUGUGGAUUAAAUAUUUAUGGGUGAGUUUUGGGAUA